rnacentral:lncRNA from 1 species
AGUGUCCCUGCAAACAAUUCUGAUUUUCCUGCCAGAGAAAAAAAACUGAGAAACAAUGGCGGCUGAACAAGAAGCUGUGAGCAAUAAGCGAGUGAUUCUGAGCAACUAUGUGACAGGUUUUCCAAAAGAAUCAGACAUGAAGAUAACAAGUGGAUCAAUAAAGCUGAAGGUAGCAGAGGGUUCAAAAGACACAGUGCUUUUGAAGAAUCUUUAUCUUUCUUGUGAUCCUUACAUGCGAUGGCGUAUGAGCAAGCUUGAUAGACCUUCUUUUGUUGAUUCAUUCCAUCCUGGUGAGGUUAGUUCAUCACGACCCAUCUCUUGAUUUUUCCAUUUGGUUUAAGUUUUGGUGAGUUUCUGAGUUCAUUUUUACGGUUUUGGAAUGUGAACACAAUUUUGGUGCUGUAACUGUCAUUAAUGAUAUGUAGUAAUUCAAUCAGAAUUUGGAUUUAUUGCUGAUAUAAGCUCUGCUCAUUUUUUAAAAUCUGGUGUCCACAUGCAUGUUUAUAAUCUUUUUGGUUGAGAUUGUAUGUAGAUUCAUACAGUAUUCUUGUCUAACAAUUACUAACCACAACCUUAUAAGACGAUCGAAACUAAGCUCAGAUCAAUAAUCCAAUCAAGAGAGGAUCCUAACUCAAGCUUGUCAUGUAUGGGAAUAUUUCGGUUAAAUUGUAAUCAUGAUCAUGAAUCAUGCAGGAAAAAGGGAAGUUGAGGUCAAUUUAUGCACUUGAUGGAAUUAAAGAACCAAUAUUUGGUUUACAUUAUUUCUUAGUAAUGGUGACUGUGCCUUCUAGCAGAAUUUUACAUGCUUUAUGUUCUAACUAAGCAUCAAUAUUUGAUCGUGAUCAUUAGCGAGGUCAAUAAUUUUUUUUGACUAUUUUUUCAACAUAAGGUCGAUUUGUUGAAGAACAAGUUUGGAUUUGAUGAUGCUUUUAACUACAAGGAAGAGCCAGACUUGGAUGCAGCACUCAAAAGGUCAGCUGCAACAAACGUUUCAACUCUAAUAUUUCAUUUUAAUAUUACAGAGCUUUGGUUGAAGUGUGUGAGUUGAUCCCAAAAACGUAACUUCAUCAGUGUCUCUGUUUUCAAAAAACAGGACAAAUAGAAAUCUGAUUUUGCUUUAAAAAUUUCCUAGAUGCUUCCCUCAAGGAAUCGACAUAUAUUUCGAAAACGUUGGGGGAAAGAUGCUGGACGCAGUGCUACUCAACAUGAGGCUCCGGGGCCGCAUUGCGGUAUGCGGUAUGAUCUCGCAGUACAACCUGGAAAAACCUGAAGGCGUACACAACUUAGAGCAACUAAUCGGGAAACGGAUUCGCCUGGAAGGAUUUCUAGCUGGUGAUUACUAUCACCUCUAUCCAAAAUUCUUGGAACUGGUCAUUCCUGCAAUCAGAGAAGGAAAGAUGGUGUAUGUGGAAGACAUAGCCGAAGGACUCGAGAAUGCUCCCGCAGCCCUUGUCGGGCUCUUCACUGGCCGGAACGUCGGCAAGCAGCUAGUUGCAGUUGCUUAAUACAAAAGCCAAUAUGGAUGAGCUGAGAAUAUGUGACUGAAUCCAUUGUCCGGUUAAAAAUGUUUGCAUGUGUUAAUAUGAACUAUCCUCGUUUAGUAAUGGGAUUGGAUUGUCCUGUCAUUACUUAAUUUUGUUGAGCUAGGGCAUCUGUGUGUAAAGUGUCAAAUAAUUUGGAUUCAGACAAGAACUUAGUGGAUGCAUUGAAGGAUUUUUUUUUUCUUUUUUUUUCUUUUCCAAGAUAUUGAGAUAAUGAUUGGAACAUUUGAGGGAUAAGAUCAAAGUAUCUUUUAGGAUACCUCAUUGGUAAGUAUUAAAAUAUCAAUUGCGUCUUUAUAAGGACAGGUGGUCCAGGAUCAAGAUUAAUGAAGAACAAAUUACAGCCAUUAGAUUAAAGUGAAAUUAAAGCUGUGAAUAGUACACACUUGUUGUGUGAAAAACUUAAAGGAGACAUUCCUCUGUACAAAAUUAACUUAAUAAUAUGUCCUUAUUCAUUCAUUUGAUUCUUCCUUCUCAAUCGUCAUUAAUAAAUUAAUAAUACAAAUAAGUCCCCGUUAAAGGUUAAGUCCCCGAUUGGCUUUACCGUCACGCUCAUGCAUGAUCAAAUUUCAGUUAAUGCUGACGUGAUCGAUGAUGAUUUCAUUGGGAGCUUCCUUUGUCGUGGCACUCUCAUGUUCACAUUUAUUUUUAGGGUUAAUAAUAAUAAUAGCUUCUAGAAACGCUUUGUUUUAAUGAGAUUUUAUUUUUCAAUUAGUGUAAAAAAAAAAUAACAAAAAUUAAUAAAAACUGAUUAUUUAAUGAUGUUCGGCCCUCGAGACAGUUUAUACUCGUAAUUUAUUGUUUGAAAAUUAUUUCAACAUAUGAAAAACAAAAUUUCCCAAAUUUACAACGAAUUUUAAAACAAAAUUUCGAAAUUUCAAAGAAAAUUACAAAUUUGACUAGAUUGACUGGAAAAAAUAAAAUAAAUAAAAUCGUCAAAAAUCCUGGGACCGACCAUUUCAAAAGUCUGGCUCUUUUCCAGGCUUUCCUUCCAAAUUUUCACACACAAAAUUUCUCGUAACUGCUACACAUUAAACGCGUUUCACAUUUUCACUCUCUCUCUAUAAAUAAAUACGCACAUAAAAUUUCUCACCAUCCAAAAACAAAAUCUACAUAAAAAAUGGCGGGUGAAGAAGCAGUGAGCAACAAGCAGGUGAUUCUGAGCAACUACGUGACAGGGUUUCCCAAGGAAUCAGACAUGAAGAUAAUAACAGGCUCAAUAAACCUGAAGGUGCCAGAGGGCUCAAAAGACACAGUGCUUUUGAAGAAUCUUUAUCUUUCCUGUGAUCCUUACAUGAGAGGACGUAUGAGUAAGCUUGAUAAGCCUUCGUUUGUUGCCUCCUUCAACCCUGGCGAGGUCAGUUUCUUCAAUUCCCACCUCUUGGUUUCAUAAUCUUUUAUGGUCUUAGAGGUGUUUUAGGGAAACAUUAUGGUUUUGGUUUGUGGGCAUGAAUCCUUGAAGAGAGUAUGAUGUGUCGGACUAUGUAUGCAAUAAUAAGUAUAGGGGAUCUUGUUAAGAGAAGAUUCUCUUAAUGAGAUUAAAACUUUUGUCUUAUCAAAACAUAUGUUUAGUUAUGAUAUCAUGUUAGCAUUGUUUCUGAGGAUUUGAUUGCUUGCUUUGGGAAAGGGAUGUUGAGGUUACAUUAUUCAGUAAUGAUUUUUUUUUUUUUUCAAAUGUUCAAAUUAUGCAGCCUUUGAGCGGAUAUGGAGUGUCCAAAGUGUUGGAUUCCACACAUCCAAAUUAUAAGAAAGAUGACUUGGUCUGGGGCUUAACCAGUUGGGAGGAGUACAGUCUCAUCCAAUCACCACAACAUCUGAUUAAAAUUCUGGAUACAAAUGUGCCUCUGUCAUACUAUACUGGGAUUCUUGGUAAGUUGUUACUAAAUUUAUCGAUGUCCAGUUUGCAUGAGCCGAAAAUCGUGUUUUAUUCAAUGCAAUGAGAUAGGGAUAUAUAAUAUGCCUGCUUGAACGUCUAGCAUUUUGAAUUUUCAACAAUUGGUCCGUCUGUAUGGGCAUGUAACUGAAGGAUUUCAUUUGAGGAAUUUACUAUUGUUGCUGAUUAUUGGGUAUUUUUCUGUUGAUUCUAGGUAUGCCUGGUUUGACUGCAUAUGGUGGUUUAUAUGAGCUUUGCUCUCCUAAGAAAGGAGAGUAUGUCUAUGUAUCUGCAGCAUCUGGAGCUGUUGGUCAGCUAGUUGGGCAAUUUGCAAAGUUGGUUGGUUGCUAUGUUGUUGGAAGUGCAGGAAGCAAAGAAAAGGUGAGUUUGCACUCUUGACCCUUAAGCUCCAAAUAAAAACAUAAUAACUUCCAAAAGAAUUGUGCAUGUCACAGUAUUUGUGUUCUAACUGAUCAUGGAUAUUUGAUCAGUAGUCUAGUAGAAACAGACCUAUUAAUACAUAGUUGAUUCGUCCUCAAGAAAAUUUAGUUGAUAUAUGCUUGAAAUUAUAUUCUGUUUUUUAUGCCAGAUUAUAUUAUUAGAUGACUAUAUUAACCAGAUUCUUUUUCUUUGUGCUGUUUCUCAUUUGAUUACGUUUUCAACAUUAGGUCAAUCUGUUGAAGAACAAGUUUGGGUUUGAUGAUGCUUUUAACUAUAAGGAAGAGCCAGACUUGGAUGCAGCUCUUAAGAGGUUAGCACGAAUGAAUGCUUUAACCACUUUUCUCACUUCAUUAUUACAAUGCGCUGAUUGAUGUUAUCUGCGUUGGUCCUGUAAAUGUAAAACAGGACAAACAGAGAUCACUGAUCUCAUUUGUUACAUUGAUAUUUUCUACCAUUGCCAUACAUAGUAUAAACUUGGAAUGAAGAUAGAUAUUCAAUUCAGAGGGAAAUUUUCACUUGCAGCUAACAGAAUCAUGUUUGUGAUGUAUGUUUAUUUAGGAAAUGAAAAGAUUCGUUGCAUUAUUUUAUUCCAAGUUUGCUGAAAUCAUAUUUGUUUUCCCAGGUGCUUUCCUGAAGGCAUCGACAUCUAUUUCGAAAAUGUUGGGGGUAAGAUGCUUGAUGCAGUCCUACUCAACAUGAGAAUUCAUGGCCGCAUCGCCGUAUGCGGAAUGAUCUCACAGUACAACCUUGAGAAGCCUGAAGGCGUACACAACUUGAUGCAAGUAGUUGGAAAACGAAUUCGCAUGGAAGGGUUUCUUGCCGGUGAUUUCUACCACCAAUAUCCGAAAUUCUUGGAACUGGUUAUGCCGGCAAUCAAAGAAGGAAAGUUAGUAUAUGUCGAGGACAUAGCUGAAGGCCUGGAGAAAGCUCCAUCAGCCCUAGUUGGGAUAUUCACUGGGCAGAAUGUUGGAAAACAACUGGUUGUAGUUGCUCCUGAAUGAUAUGAUUACAAUAUGCUUUAAAAGUGGACUGUGCCAUGCACUUUAAAAGCUUAGUGAAGAUGCCUCUGUCUUAUUUUUGAUACAUGUUAUGUUUGUUUGAUCAAGUUGUACUCAGCUAUAAAUGAAAGAUUCAGAACAUGUGUAUGGUACUGGUUUCUAAAUCAAUGAACGCUUUGAAAUGUUAGUGUUUUCACUGGAGAAUGCAGUUUAAUUCAUCAACAAUGUCCCAACAAGACCCUCAAGAGUGGUAGCUUGCAAAGUUAAUUACUAUAUUUUUUUCUUUCCGAUAUAUUGUUCAUUUCAUAGAAAGUUUACAUUAAUUAAAGUCUCAUGUUUCUUUGAAAGGUAAGCAAGUGUGAAUGUUUCUAUCUAGAGCUGGAAAAUGCAUUUCCGUGCAACUUACUUGAUGAAUGAAGUUUUCAUCUCUGACCUUGAUGUUUCCCAGAGCUGCAUUCAUUUCAGCUGAUCUAUUUCAUUUCGUUUGCAAAGGAGUGACACAAAACCUCCUUUGUUAAGGGGAGAAUUUAGAGUGGCUUCAACGGUUAACAAAUAGCCUAAUGUAAGACUUAAUCAAUUUCCUGCCCGGUUGCUUACCACUACUUAUCACUUUAACGUAUGAAACCUAAUCAAGAUUCCUUUGAUGAUUUUUCUAUUUGCUAAUUGAUUGAUAAGCUCUUCAGUGAAGAUAUAGUGUCCGCAAGCCAUAUGUUGAUAGAGUUAGAGUUUGCAGAAGCUACUGUACCAUAUGUUGUUAGAGGCGGUAAAAACGGAGGCAGAUCAACACACAUUUAAAUUUCAAUGACAAUUUACUGGAAAUAAAUUUCCUAUGACCCUACAUGUGACUAAUUGAUGAGAACUUGACAAUGACAAAAGAAAGUGUAUGAGCUUUGCAGGCUGGCUUGCCAAUAUUGACUGUAUGGCACCAUCCGCAAGUAAGUAUCAUUACUGUUUAAUCAACUUGGUGGAGUCCACUGGGACCACCCCACAUGGUCAGUCUUAUCUCUACUCCUAAAUUUUCAAUAUUCCAUACAUCAAACCAAUUGCAGUUUUGAUAUCAAAUUCAAUUUUAUUGUUGGUGACGAUUCUGAUUCCUUUCAUUCUCACAAAACGGAACCAUGGUUGCUGUUGGAGAGAUCUUACUCAACGCCUUCCUUGAGGUGUUGUUUGACAGGUUGGCUUCUCGUAAUUUGCUCCGCUUUGUGCGUCAACUCCAAGGCGGGGUUGAUUCGGAGCUCAAGAAGUGGGAGAAAAAGCUGAAGAUGAUUCAGGCUGUGCUCUGCGAUGCAGAGGAGAAACAACUGACCGAUGAGGCUGUGAAGAUGUGGCUGGACGAACUCCAAGACUUAGCUUAUGACGCUGAGGACAUUCUUGAUGAGUUUGCUACUCAAGCUUUGGAAAGCAAGUUGAUGGCGCAAAACCAGGAUAGCUCUGGCCAGGUUCUCAGUCUCAUCCCGGCUAGUUUGAAUCCGAAUGCUAUUAUGUUCAAUUAUAGCAUGGGGUCCAAGAUUAAAGAUAUGACUAGCCGGCUGGAGCAACUCUGCCAAGAAAGAAUUGAACUUGGACUGCAACGGCUUACUGGAGGGGCGUCAUCAACCGCUGCUGCUGCACACCGGAGGCCACCCAGUUCGAGUGUCCGAACAGAACGUGAAGUAUUUGGAAGAGAAGAAGAUAAGGCCAAAAUUCUUGAUAUGGUCAAUACCCCAAGUGAUCACGCCAACUUUGUUGUAAUACCUAUUGUUGGAAUGGGCGGGAUAGGAAAAACAACUCUUGCUCGGGAGGUCUACAAUGACAAGGCAGUUGAGGAUUCCAAGUUUGACGUAAAAGCAUGGGUUUGUGUCUCCGACAACUUUGAUGUUUUCAACAUUUCAAAGGCACUUCUCGAGUCAAUCACCUCCGCAGCUAGUGAUCUCAAGACUUUAAAUGAAGUGCAGGUUCAACUGAAAAAAGCAGUGGACGGAAAAAGAUUCUUGCUGGUCUUAGAUGAUGUUUGGAACGAGGACUACAGCUUGUGGGUAGACUUAAAAGCUCCGUUCCUGGGUGCUGCACCAAACAGUAAGAUGAUCGUCACCACACGCAAUUUAAACGUUGCAUCAACAAUGGGACCAAUUGAACAUUAUAAUCUCAAGAGUCUGUUAGAUGAUGAUUGCUGGUCCAUUUUCAUACAGCAUGCAUUUGAAGGUAGAGAUCUUAACGCAUAUCAAAUUUCAGAAUCAUUCAGCAAGAAAGUUGUUGGCAAGUGUGGGGGCUUGCCUCUGGCAGCAAAAACGCUCGGGGGCCUUCUGCGCACAACAAGGCAUGAUGCGUGGGACGAUAUAUUGGAUAGCAAAAUAUGGGAUUUACAUCAACAAAGCAGCAUUCUCCCUGUGUUAAGAUUGAGUUACCAUCAUCUUCCGUCUCAUUUGAAAAGAUGUUUUGCUUUUUGUGCCAUCUUUCCAAAAGAUUAUGAAUUCACUGAGAAGGGGCUAACUUUCUUGUGGAUGGCUGGAGGUAUUAUUCGACAGUCAAGAAACAGUGAGCAGCUGGAAGAUUUGGGCAGCAAGUGCUUUCAUGAUCUAGUGUCAAGGUCUAUUUUUCAACAAACCAGCUCUGGUAGUUCUAAAUUUGUAAUGCACGACCUUAUCCAUGAUUUUGCUGAAUUGGUUUCUGGAGAGACCAUUUUAAGGUUAGAGGAAUCCACCAACUUGUCGUCAAGGAGAUUUGAAAGAGUUCGCCAUUCUUCCUAUGCCCGUGGUUGGCUUGAUGGUAAAAAUAAGUUUGAGGUUUUCUAUGAAAUUGAACAUCUGCGAACAUUCUUGCCAUUCUGCAUAAGAGGUGGCCCUAAUACUAGUUACGUAACUAGUUUACUUCUAUAUGAUUUGUUGCCGAAGUUUAAAAAGUUGAGGAUGCUAUCUUUAGAAGGAUACCAGAUUGGUGAGUUACCAAUUCCAUUUGAAGAUUUGAGACCUUUAAGGUUCCUCAACCUUGCCGACACUGACAUAAGAAGUUUACCCGAGUCAACAUGCAAAUUGCUGAACUUGGAAAUUUUGAUAUUACGAAAUUGUUCCCGUUUGAUAAAGCUUCCGCCCAAAAUGAGGAAUUUGAUCAAUUUACGCCAUCUCGAUAUAAAAGGUGCAAAGCUGCUGAAGGAGAUGCCAUUGGGAAUGAAAGCGUUGAGGAGUCUUCAAACAUUGUCCAAUUUUAUUGUAGGCAAGGGUGAAUCUGCAUCUGGUUUGGAAGAUUUAAAAAGUUUAAACUUUCUUUGUGAUGAACUCUGCAUUGCUGGAUUAGAGAGUGUGAAUAGUCCACAGAAUGCAAGAGAAACCGCAUUAUGCGAGAAGCACAAUCUUGAAGCAUUGACUCUAGAAUGGGGGUCUCAAUCUAACAGUCCUCGGGAUGCAGUACUAGAGGAGAAUGUACUUGACACUCUACAGCCUCAUAAACGUAUAAAAGAGCUGGCAAUCAGGCACUAUGGUGGUGCAAGAUUUCCACUUUGGAUCGGACAUCCUUCGUUCUCCGAGAUGAAGGUCCUUAAAUUGGAGAACUGUGACAAGUGUGUAUCUCUGCCAUCGCUUGGCCUGAUGAAUUCACUUAAGCACCUUGCUGUUAAAGGGCUGAAGAAACUAAAAAGCAUAGAGUCUGCGGUCUUUCCAUCAUUGGAGAUUCUAAGUUUUGAGAAUUUGCCAGAAUGGGAGCAUUGGGACACCAAUAUCAAUGGAAAUGUGCACGUUGAAAUAUUUCCUCAUCUCCAAGAACUUUCCAUUGCAGAAUGUCCCAAACUCUCUGGAGAACUGCCUGAGCUCCUGCCCUCCUUGGAGACACUUGUCGUUAGUAAAUGUGAACAGUUGGCAGUUCCAUUGUCUUGCUAUCCGAUGCUCUGCAGAUUAGAAGUUGAUGAGUGCAAAGAACUCGUGUGCGGGACUCCAAUUAAUUUUAAGUUGGUAAAGUCUUUGACCAUUUCAAAUAGUUCAUUAGACAUGAAUGGAUGCAAUGGGAUGCUAUACCAUGGUCCAGCUGGCUCUUCACUGUCUAAACGCAUGACUAUUACAAAUGUUUUGGAGUUUGGAAAAUUAUUGAAGCCUGGAUUUCAGAUAUUAGAAUAUUUGGUAAUUGGCAAUUCUGAACAGCUCAAGUCAUGGAGGCGGGCCAGGAGACCUAGACGUUUUAAUGAACCAGAACACGGGCUAAAAAUUCUCGCUUCCCCUGAAGAGGUAACAAUUGAAGAAAGUUGCGUAAAUCUUGUUUUGUUUGCAGAGAUCAAUUUCUUUCCCAGAAAUCUGCGCUCUCUUCUAAUUUUCAAUAACAUACCUUUAAAAUCCUUACCCGAGGAAAUGAUGGACAACAAUUCACAACUGGAAAGCUUGUGCAUCAGAAAUUGCGAUUCUCUAACAUUCAUCACAAGACACAAGCUACCUUCAUCUCUAAAAAGUAUAGCAAUUAAGAAUUGUGAGAAAUUGCAACGUCCGUUCGAUGAUGAAGAGGAUGCUUCUUCUUCUUCUUCUCCUUCAUCCUCGUCUUCCCCAGUGAUGCUGCAAUGCCUGACUAUAGAGAACUGCCCAGAGCUCACCAGUUUAUCAUCGGGAAUCCAAUUCCUUGAGGCGCUUGAAGUACUCGAGCUAAGGGAUUGUCGAAAGCUGGAGUCAUUACCGGAUGGCCUGCAAAAUCUUAACUGUUUACAGAGCAUUCAUAUAGAUGGAUGUCCAAGUCUUGUUUCCUUCCCAGAAAGAGGGCUUCCCAACACCAUUUCGAGAGUUUACAUUCGUGGUUGUGAGAAGCUUGAAGCCCUGCCCAACGACAUGCACAAACUCAACUCUCUCGAAACUUUAAACAUACGGAAAUGUCCAAAUCUUGUAUCGUUUCCAGAGGAAGGUUUUCCUACCAGUCUAGUAUCACUUACAAUUGGAUAUGUCAAAAUGUAUAAGACACUCGUCCAGUGGGGGUUGCAUAGGCUUACCUCUCUUACACACCUCGAGAUUAUUGGAUGUGAUGAUGAAGCAGAGUGUUUUCCAGACGAGGAGAUAGGAAUGAUGCUGCCCACCUCUCUCACUCAUCUGCAACUUUCGGAAUUCAAAAAAUUGAUAUCUCUCUCUUCGACGGGUUUUCAGAGCCUCAACUCUCUUCAAUCUUUGUGGAUAUUGGGUUGCCCAAAUCUCACAUCAUUCCCAGAGGUGGGCCUUCCAUCCUCACUUUUGGAAUUACACAUUGUCAAGUGUCCAAAGCUUAAAGAAGUUUGCAAAAGAGACCAAGGAGAAGAGUGGCCCAAAAUUGCUCACAUCCCUUGUUUUGAGAUAGACUGGAAAUUCAUAUACGAUCCAGAAUCAGAGGAGUAGAUUCUCCUAUUAAGGUCAGUUGAUUUUUUAUUAUCCGUUAUAACAAGCUCCUCCUUUUUUAUUUUUUUAAUAAUAAUUUAGCAGUUCUAUAUAAUUAUAAAUCCUCCGCCCUUAAUUGAAAAUGUCACUCAUUUGAUUCCAUUUUCACAAGUCAGAUCGUAUGUUGAGGUUAUUUGCAUUUUAUCGGUGUUUAUUAAGGUAAUUAGUGCGUUAUAGGUUGAUUACUCACAGAUUAAGUUAUAACAUUUAUCUUAAAAUUUAAUGUCAUAGACAGAGAUGAUUUUUUAAUCCAAAGUUUUCUUGAUUCACUUCAAUUAGCAUUUUCUUUUCCCCAGAUCAGGCACGCGGAGAGUUCCAAUCAAGAAUUGGAGCAUGUGAAUGGGAUUUUUGUGAAAACAUAAUGAUGCAGGAACUGGGAUCUCAAAGUCAACAGAAUUUUAUUUACUCAUUGACUUUUCAACUCCUGUGGUUAUUUAUGGGUGAAAGAAAGAUAAGGGCAAUUUCAAGAAAUUUGCAAACUCUGUCAAUUUCUUUUAAUUGUACCAAUUUGUCGUUUAUGCUUUGGUUUUAUUUUUUCAGUUUUGUUUAUUGCUUAGAUGGUAGCAUACUUGAAAUGAUACAUAGCCUUCACCGGCAGAAUUCUAGUCUUGGCUUUCACCUCUCUAACUCAUCUCAUCUGUUCCUAUUGGGAUUCCAGAAAUUGAAAUUUCUGUCAUCAAUGGGUUUCAAAGCCUCACCGCUCUCCGAUUUUUGUGGAUCGGGAAUUGCACAAAUCUCACAUCAUUUCCAGAGGUGGGCCUUCCAUCCUUGCUUUUUGGAAUUACAAAUUGGAAAAUGCUACUUUCCCCGGGUCAAAUCCCAGGUCAAACCCCGAAUUAAACCAAAACGACACCGUUUUGGUUUCUUUUUUUUGUCCUUUUUGCUUCCAUGAAACGUGGUCGUUUCAGCCAAACAAAAGCAAAUGUCUUCGUUUUUUACUUCCUCUCCUCUUCGAUUCUCCUCUUCGUUUUACCAACAGACCAACAGAGCACAAAUUGCAGAAGUCACUUGCACAUCAAUUCAUCACAAAAUGCAGAGUUUUACUAAAGAAAAAAACGAUGCCGUUUUUCUUGCCAAAUAUUUUCCAUUUCCUUCGUUCAUGGAGCUCCUGCCACCGCCAAAGCCAAAUAUUUCCCCUUUCAUUUCCUUCGUCAAUCAAGCUCCAGCCACUUGCUUCGUCGAUCGAGCUCUAGCCACAGCCAUUCGCAAAUCGCAGUCCACAAUCCGCGCCUGAAAUUGUCAUUCACAAUCCACAACUCACAACCAUGACUUCACACAGAGAACGACUCCCACAGCCUUCACGCGACAGCGAGAUCGAGCUCUUUAACAUUCGAAGAACAUAUCUGGUUGCGAAAGUUGAUUUUUAAUUUGCUUGCGAGCUGAGAUGCUUCGAAUUCUCUGUUUUUUUUUUUUUUUUGUAAAUUACUAAGCCAAAAGCUUUGCAUAAGCUUCUGCUUCGGUUUUGAAGAUUGUGAAGCUGGAAAUGUUUUUUCCCUUUUUAUAAAUGGAUAAUUGAAAGUUUGAACUUUACCUUCGUACUUUCUUUUUCAUAAAUUGCUCAUGGUGCAGUCUCAUUUUGCUAGUUGAAGAAACAGUUAAGGGGGUCUGUAGUUGGGAAGAAAGAGGAAACGAAAAUGAAAAGAAAAAGCUUAAGUCUCGGUGCGUUCAAGUAGCAUUUUUUCAAUUAAAAAAUUUAAUUCUCAAAACGGCGUCGUUUUCUAAAGUUUCGGGGUUUGACCCGGGAUUUGACCCGGGGUAAAUAGCAGAACUCUUACAAAUUUACAGUUGUCAGAAGCUUGAAAAAGUGUGUAAAAGAGAUCAAAAUUCUUGUCUUGGCUUUCACGUAGGGAUGGCAAAAAUCCCCACGGGGACGGGUACCCUCGGGGAUUUUCCCCAUUCGGGGAGGGUAUGGGGAUAAUUUCAUACCCAAUUUCUUAUUCGGGGAGGGGACGGGGAAAUUUUGUUACCCAAUUUCUUAUUCGGGGAGGGGACGGGGAUGAGGUGGAAUCCCCAUCCCCUACCCAUUUCCCCAUUUUAAUUUUUAAUUUUAUUUUAAUUUUUUAAAAUUACUAGUAAAUAAAUAAUAAAAUUUAAAUUAUAAAAUUAUAAAUAUUGGUAAAAAUAAAAAAUAUCAAAAUAUUUAUAUUAUUAAACUUUUAGGCUUAAUUAACUAAUUAAAGUCCUAAAUUUUUAUUUAGGACAUUAAAAAGACCGAGUAGAUUCUAUUAGCCCAAAAGUUUUUUAUUUUUAAUAUUCUUUAAAUAUUUUAAACUUAAAUCUAUUUUUUAUUUAUUUUUAGAUGUUAUAAUUGCCCACAUCGAAUCACAAUUUUAAUAUCUAAUCUAAUCUAAUCUAAUCUAAUAUUUACUCUUGAUUUGCUCCGAUUUAACUAUUGUGUUGUAAAGGGAAUAGUCCACAUUUAUAAAGUGCCCACGCCACCAUUAAAAAAGUUAAUUUUGAAUCUAAAUUCGAUUUUAUUUGUAACAAUUUUGUAUUAAACUAUUAAUUUGUUCAUGAUAGUUUGUAAAAGAAGUUUGUAUCCCUUGCAUGCUGUGUUACUUACUAAUUUAAUGUAUGUGACUUUUGUAAUGGAUAUUAAUGUAAGAUAUAUUUCAAAUUUUACUUUUAUUUGAAUUUUUUAUUUUAAUAUGAUUAACUCAAAAUCGAAAAAAAAAUAUUAGUUAUUCGGGGAUCGGGGACCCUCGGGGAUCCCCUGUUAUUAUUCGGGGAGGGGAUGGAGAUUCGCUCAAGUAAUUCUGACGGGAACGGGGAGGGGACGGGGACAUACGCAAAAUAUCGGGGAUGGGUACGGAGAGAUUGGUCCCCUCCCCUCCCCUCCCCAUUGCCAUCCCUACUUUCACGGAUAGUUUUUAUCACGUAACCACGUGAGGAAGCAUGUGCUGGAGCCUGAAUUCAGUUAGUUAAAGUUUGUUAACCACGUGUCAACAAACUGUAUAAUCUGGAAAAUAAGCUAGCUAUUGAAACAGGGUAUAAAGGCUGGUUUUUCAGGGACUAUCGAGAGCUGAUUCUAGAGUCUUGUAGAAAGAGGUUUGUGAGAGAGAAAGUGUCAUCUUGUUCUCUGUAAAAUCCGAUAUAGGGCUCUGUAACGAUCUCCAUUGUUGAAUCAAUAAAACUCAUCUAGAAGCUUCUCUCGUGGACGUAUUCUGAGCAAUCAAUGCACAGCUGAACCACGUAAUAUCUUGGUUUCUGUGGGUUCUUGUUUUGGUUCUUGAUAAAUUCUUGUUGUUGUAUUGAGGUGUGAUUUGAUCUGUCUAAACUUGUAUCUGUGCAACUUGAAUUGAUUUGAUGAUAAGAAUCUUGGGCAGUGAUCAGAUUCGUUUAGUUUAAAGAACAAGCUGAUUACUACCGUACCUAUGCAUGGACCUGCAACCUGUGCUGACAAAACUGAAACUGUGAGUUUGAGGUAAAAAGGUCCUGGACCCUCACAGUUUAACUUUGACUUGUUGCUUUCUGGAUAAACAUAUUUUAGAAAUUUGCAAUUUGUUGUUAAUUAUGGUAUGUGAUUUUCUUCUUUGUUUUCGCUUUUGUAGAAUCUACCGUAUUACAUAUUGGCAGUUGUAUCUGAGGUACCUUUUUUGCAUUUAACUUGCCUUUAUCUGUUUUGCCUGUUACUUAACAACACAAACACAUCAUUUCCCAAACAUUUGGAGAAGCAUCUCAAGAUGCUUAACAAACUUGACAAACUUCAAGAUGCUCCCAAGCCUUGAUUCUUCACAAUGGAAGACCUGUGAGUACACUUAUGCCCGCAAUUAUUGUGAAGUGAUUGCAACUUUGAUGCAGCGAAAUGGUUUGCUGAUGCAAAGCUUUAAAACUGUUAAGAAUUACCCUGCAGGCUUGUUGGAUGUUGUAUACUCCAAAAGCCACCAACACCAAGAACUAUAACAGCAAGACUAGGUUUGCAUUAAUUCAAUUAGCUGAAAUAAUGAUGCAAAUGGCACUAUCCAGCUCGACUUAGAGACUAGUCAGGUCAAUCAUCCAUUUCAUCAACAGUUAAUGUCAGGAUGGUGGCUAGCAGAGGAAACAAAGGAUAUGUUGGAAUCAAUAAGAACAGUGAGAAGCAUGAGAGGAGCUUUGAUUAUAAGUAGGCUCAAUGAACUAGUGUUGGUAAGUGGUAAUUAGAGCAAUUUGUGAGCUUAGUAGAGUUUCAAUAUUUUCUGUUUGGGAUAUAGUUGAUAAGUUGAUACUCUGAUUAAGAAGGCUGAUUAUAGUAGCUGACUAUAUUAACCGGGUUCUCUUUUUUGGUUUGCUGUUGUUUUUUCUUUCAAUAUCUUUUUCAACAUUAGGUUUAGCUGUUGAAGAACAAGCUUGGGUUUGAUUAUCAGGUAAGAACAAAUGAAUGCUUUAACCAUGUUUCUCACUUAUCACAAUGCACGGAUUGAAGGCGUCUGAGUUGAUCCUGAAAAUUUGAUGGAAACACUUCUCUGUUUUCAUAAAACAGGACAACCAGAAAUAUCUGAUCAUGCCUGAGAAUUCGUCGCAUUGAAAUUUUCUACCAUUGCCAAACAUAGAAUAAACCAGGGAUACAUUAGCUUAAGACUCAAUUUUGAGAAGGAAGUUUGUACUUGCAGACUAUAAAAUCAUGUCUACCUUGUAUGUUUCUGUGGGGAAUGAAAGAUUCUGUGUGUUCUUUUACUUCGGGUUUGCUGAAAUCACAUUUGUUUUCUCAGAUGCUUUCCGGAAGGUAACAACGUCAAUUUCAAAAAUGUUGGGGUAAGAUGCAUCAUGCAGUGCUGCUCAACAUGAGAAUUCCUGGCCGCAUUACCCGUAUGUGGAAUGAUCUCACACUACAACCUUGAGAAGGUUGUAAGGAGUACACAACUAGAUGCGAGUAGUUUCAAAAUGAAUUCACAUGGAAUUAUAUGUUGCCGCUUAUUACUAUCACGUCUAUCCGAAAAUUCUUGGAAUUUGUCACCGGCAUUGAAGGAUUGUAUACGUGAAGACAUAGCUGAUGGCCUUGCGAAAGCUCCAUCAGCACUUAUAUCGGAAACAGCUGGUUGUAGUUGCUCCUGAGUGAUAUGAUUAAUAGAUACUGUAAAAAUGAACUGUGCCACUCAUAUCGAAAACCAGCUGUUAUGAUGUGUUGGUAAUGUGUUUGAUGCUUGUUUGAUUUAUGUUGUAUUCGGCUAUAAAUCAAAGAUCAGAACAUGGGUGUGUUACUGGUUUCCAAAUCAAAAAAUGCCUUGUGAUGUUAGUGUUCACUGUUUUCACAGGAGACCAGGUUCCUUGUUAAUGAGUCAAGAAGAAGACAAGUGAAUCCAUGUCUGAGUUCAAAUGUGUCUUUUCUAUUUCUUUUACCGACACAUUUAUUUUGAUUUCUUUGACUAGAUGACUAAAGAGUAAAGAUAGAAGAAAUCAAAACAAAUGAGUCAGGUCCCACCUGGCCCAUUGGCCCAUCUCUCUUCCAGCCCAAAUCACUCUCAUUCGCUAUUUUGCCACCUUCAUUUCACUGCCCUCAUAGCUCCCCGUUCUCACGGUGGCUGCCAUCUUUCUGCUCACGCAUCUUUCAAAUUUCAAACCUAACAGCAUUCUGUUGCUCUGUCGUGGGUACUUCAACUUCUGUCACCUUCGGUAAGCUUAUCUCUGCCCCUCUGUGGCUGUCUCUCUCUUUACAAUGUUGUUUCUUAUUCAAUUUACAGAAUUGAAUUCACUGUUCAGUUUAUGGGUUAGAUUUUUAUUCAAAAUAAUAUUAAACCCACCUCAGAUUUUAUCCCGUAGUAUGUAAAGUUCAUGUAAAGUUUCCACCUUUACGACCGUCCGAUGUUUAAAGUUCUAAUUUUGUUCCGGGGUUUUAUCAGUGUAUUUAGAAAUUAUGUCCAUUGUUUUUAUGAAAAUGGAACUAUUUUCAUUUGUUUAUUUCUCUAUGGAUGAGAAAACCGGUCUUUAAGCUUUAUAAUCUUUAUUUGAUUAUUAGAUUUCUCUUUUGUUAUUCAGAUGAGUUCAGUUUUCCAAUUCUGUGCAAUUGUUUUGUUGCAUUUUUCAAUUUUAUCUUUUUCCAAUGCGACGUUUAUGUUUGUAUUUUCUUAAAAGUGGACAUGAAUUUUGAUUUGUUGUUGCUUUGUUGUGAUUGAGUAGCCAAUUUUAAGUCCAUAUUAAACUUUCUCAAUUAUUAGUUGAAUUAUUUGGAUUUGAAAUUUUAAGUUCUUAAAACCGCCAUUUUAACUUGUUUGUUAAUGGCUCUGUUGAGCUUCAACAUUUGUUUUCAAGAACAAAAUUGAUGGAACUAUAAACCUUCGUUUCUCACAUGCGGGCAACAUGUUAUGUUAGACAGAGUGAAAUCGACAGAAGAAACCAAAACAUUGGAAACAGAGACACAGAGAGAGAUCAGCAGAAAUGGCUUGGUGCAGAGUACGCUCAGCUUCAUCGACACUCUUCAUUAGGCUUCUCUGCCCUUUCAUUCUCAACAAUAACACUACUUAACGCUAUCAGUCCUGUGGUACUCUUGUUUCUAUACUUGUGGAAUCUCUUUUUUAAUCCUCAAAGUUUGAAUUAAAUUAUAUUGCCUCUGUAUUUCUGCAGAAACGGAAUCAGUUGGUGAUGACAUUAAUUCUCAAGUUGGAAGUUGCAUGCCACUUUCUUGUAUGCAUGUUGGGACCAUCAUCAACAACAUUGAGGUAAACUCAGCCAAGAUUUUGAAAAAGAAUCCACUUCAAGGUACUGCUUAGUUUCUGGAAAUGAGAAAUUGAUUGACACUAGACGUCAACCCACCAUUGAUACAGCGUCUAACCCCAGCCAUGAAGCUAAGAUGCUUAGGAAGGCUGGUCAGAGCCAUUGGUUGGGCCAAAGACCUGUGAUUAGAGGAGUACCCAUGAAUCCAGUUGAUCAUCCUCGUGGUCGAGGUGAGGGACAAGGCAAAAGUAGUGGUAAGCAUGGAAGGUGUUCACUUACACCUUGGGGCAAGCCUUGUAAGUGGUGUAAAACUGCAUCUCGUAAGAAGAAAAGGAAAUUUAGCCGUCUGAUAAUAUUGUCCUUCUGUGCUAUUUAGCCUUUUUAAUAUUGUUACAUUGUUUGUUAUAUCUUUGAUGUUAGUUUUGGACCAGCUUUUAACUGAUCCAUAAUGAAACUGAAGUUUAAUUUUCGAUUGAACUUUUACUGGUUUUACUCCUGUCAUUUCAAUUUAGCUUUGAUUUAAGAUGCUGAAUUCUGUGAUUGGAGUAUGUAGAUUGGAAAGAGAGAUAUUAUGGGAUAGAAUAUAGAUUUUGUGUUUUGGUUUCUCAUGUUUAGAGAUAUUCUGUUCUUUUUCAUUUAUUCAAUUUGGUUAGUGGUGAUCUCUUAAAGAGUUAAUGCAUGUGUGUUUAUGUACUUUUCUUUUGGCCUUGAUUCUAUUUCUUGGGGAGUUUAUACAGAUUCCUCUUUUAUGCUUCACAUGCCACAUGCCACAUGAAAGAUGAAAGCCUUUUGUGUGAUUAGAAUUGACUUGCAUCAUAGUAACUUUGAACCACUGUAACAUUUUUAUAAUAGCAGUCUGCGAUCUCCUUGAAGGAUUCAAAGCAUUUUUUUUGUUAGUCUUGGCUUGCAUUAAAAUCCUUUAUACCGAUUGGUUGGUCUCCUUUAAAGCAAUUCCUGUUUUAAGUAAUCAAAAUCUUGAUUCGGAAGUGUGUUUUAGCACUACUAAAGGUUCUUUUAAAUACUAAAUUGAUUGUGAGUCUUCUAUAUCAUCUGAUUGAAAUACAUGAAAGCGAUAUUGGCUACAAAAGUACACUUGGGGUUGUUUAUAAAGUCUUCAACAGGAUUUUUUUUUCCCCUUCCUCAUGGUUUAUUUUUUAGUUGUUGUUUAACAAAACACUUAAAAGGUUCUCUUUAUAGGUUUCUGAAAAUAAUUUUAACAUAACCAUUUUUCAGAAGCACUUUAGAUACCUGUGGCAUUUAGAAAAUUUUGUUCCAGCAUUCACAUAAUAUACAUAGAAAUUUGAAUUUAUUUAAUUAUGAGCAUGUGCUAGUGCCUAUUGGCAUCCACUUGUAUAUACAAAUGUAUUAUACAAUACAAUAUUAGCUUGACUGUAGCAUAGAGGAGAAUAGGGUCGGAAUUGGUCUGAAUUCUGAUCUUUGAAUAAAUAUAAUAGCUGAUUGAAGCUGCUCAUGUGACUCCAUUGUCAGCAGCUUACACAAGGUCUUUUAGCUUUUUAAAAAGUUUUGUGAUAUUUCAUAGUUCACAUGGAUUGCUACAGUAUAGAAUACCCAAUUAGGGCAUUUUUAAUUCCUAUGCAUAGGAGUCUUCCUUCAUGCGCACGCGCGUACACACAUAUAUUUCCCACUUCCGUUCACUCCAAAAGUGAAAAUUGCGGGCAAUUUUUAUCUUCAGUAAAAUUGGAGUAGAUGUUGUUCUUAUUGGCGCAAAUUUGCGUACCAUGUUUGUGGGACCCUUAACCUUGCGCCUUUGUUACAAUCAUAUGCAUUCAGGCUUUUGGUAGACCCUUGGAUAGUAUGAUCAGUGUAUUAGAAUUUAGAAUUCGUGUUUAUAAGGGUCAGUUUGGUAAUGUUAUAAUUUUUAAAAUAAUUACUGUUAGCUAUACUAUAGAAAUAAUCAGUUGUGAAUAAAAUCAGUUAAACAGUUGAUAAAUUUUGUUUUUAAGGUGUUGUGAGUUUUAAACAAUUUGUAUGUAUUUAGUAAAUCUCGCUUUUAAAGUAUUAUAAGAAUGCAAAGACUUAAAUAGAUAGAAAUCUAUAAAAUUUAUUUACAUGUGCAUUUAUACAAUAAUAUUUUAUGCAUGUAUAUAAUAAUUAAUAACAGAAAUAAAUAUUUUUAUUUUAUUAAUUAUAUAUUUUUCUUAUUAUCUCAAUAUAAUUGGUAAUAAUAAUCUUUUUAAUAGUACAUUUAUUAAUCAGUAAUCGAAAUGGGCUGGAAUCGGAAUGGGGAAUGAAAAUCAUAAUAAUUUGUUUACUUUAGCUGUAGGAAUCAAAAUCACAUGGAGCUAUAUUAUCAUUAAUAUAUUUAUUUUGUCUUGGAAUCGAAAUAGAUUGUUACAAAUUACUAAACUGAUUUUAUUAUUAUCAAUAUUAUUAUUAAACAAGGUAAAGGGAAUUUUUAAUUUUCACUAGGUGUAGAAAUGUCGAUUCACUUCUCAUUCUCAUUCUCUGUUCUCAUUCCCCCUCCUCAUAGGAUUACCAUUUCACAUUCUCAAAAAUUUAUAAUUGACUCACAUUUCAUUCUCAUUCCUCCUUAUUUUGGAAGUAAAUAAGUUAAAGAAUCAUAUUCCUUUAUUCUUGUUUUUCAUUCACAUUCCUUCUCCUUAUUUUGGAAGUAAAUAACUUAAAGAAUCAUAUUCCCUUAUUCUUGUUCUCGUUCUCGUUCUCAUUCUCAAUUAGUAAGCACACUACAAAUGCAAUGAUUUUGUUUCCUAAUUAAACAAGGAUAAUUUUUAGAUUUUUAUAAUAUAUGUUAAGAUAUAUGUAGAAUUGUAUUAAAUAUGAAACUGACUCCCAAAAUCAUAUUUUAAAAAACUAUUUUUUUCUUAUUUUUUGAAAUUUAUUGUAGGCUAGGGUGAUUUUAUCAAAGUAAUUUUUUUAAAAAUUUUCGGACCCAUUUGGGAUUGUUUUUGGAAGACUCAAAAAGGAUUUUGAAUAGCUAAAAUCUAAGUUUGGUGUUUUAUAAUUUUUUUUUAAAAAAAUUACUUCUGAUAAAAUUAUCUUAUCCACGUUAAAUUUUAAAAAGAAAGGAAAAAGUAAUUUUUUAAAAUCUGAUUUUAAGAAUCAUUUUUAUACUUAAUACAAUUUCAUAAAUAUCCUGAUAUAUAUCAUAAAAAUUCAAAAUUAUCUUUAUUAGUUAGGAAAUAAAAUCAAUAAUUUUAAAAAGAUUAUUAUUAUUUCUAAUUAUAUUGAGCUAACAAAAAGAAAUAAAAUUACUAAUAUAAAAUUUAUUUUAACUAUUAAUUAUUAUAUUUACCAAUAAAAAACAUUUUAUAUACACGUUUAUAAAUAUUUAAAUAAAAUUUAUUCAUGUCGAGUUCAACCAUUUAUAUUAUUACAGCAAUUUAACAACUGGUUGUCGUUGCUCGGGAAUUAUAGAAUUACCAUAUGUUGUAAAAAUGCACUAAGCCAUGCCAUGUGUUUGAUACAGGUUAUGCUUGUUCGAUUAAAUUGUACUCACCUAUAAAUCAAAGAUUCAGUACAUGUGCAUGUUAGUGGUCUUCAGAAUCCAGAAUAAUAAAUGCCUUGAAAUGCUUGAGUUCAAUGAUUUCGCAGAAGACCAAGUUCCUUGUUAAUGAGUCAGCAUGACUGAAUCCUUCACUAAGCCAAAUUUGUUUUCACUUUUAGUUUAGAAAUUGUCAUUAAUUAAGAAAGUGUUUGAUAAAAUGCUUUGGAAGGCACUGUUCGUUGGACGUUUGCCCAGAAUUUAUGAAAUCAUUGGUGUUUCAUCCUACUUGUAACACUCUUCUUUAUUUUCUAUUCUAACGAAGAAAUCUUUUAUUAGAAAAGUGACAAGAUUGCACCUUUCAUUUGUAUGUUAAGGAGGUGUAAAAUUUUCUCGUUAAAAUCCCAUCAUGAAAAAAACUCACGGGCAAAAACCUACUGCAAAUUAAAGAAAGAAGAGUAAAUCAUGAUAAAUACACUCUCUUUUACAAUGCAAGCGGAUGCUUCAAUGAGUGGAUCAUGCGCCAAACUUGUAUAUCGUUGUUGGUAGUGCUUUGUUGAAUCAAUAUGAUAGAUUUUCACUUUUCUUUUUUUUCUUUUCUUUUUUUUUUCCUUGUGGAUACGAAAAUGAUUUGGGUUAAACUAUACUUAAUGCCGGUUUGGUACGACUUCUCUACUAAUUAAAAGAGUUUUUUUUCUUAAAUGUUCAAAAAGAUUUUUUAUUAUAAAUUGUAAUUUGAGUGGAUUUCUUGGGAUUAAACAAGUUACAUUUUUGUCUCUAUAAAGAAGUUCAAGUUAUAGAUUUUGGCAAUAGAGAUGUAGAGGUUUUUUUUUUUUCAGAGAACUAAAUUGUGGAGACUAUCUUUAUUUGGUUAUACAACUUUUUUUUUUUUAAUUUCAUAACAUAAUUUUAAAAGACUUAUUUAAUAAAUUUGAUAUUUUUUUGUAAAAAUUAUCAUUCACGUCCAAACUACUGAAGAUUUUUUUGUUAAACGCACUACUUAAAAGUUAUAUUAAUUAUAAACUUUCUAAAAAAAAAAAACAAUUCAAAGAGUUAUAGCAAACAAAGUGCUAGUUAACUUCAGUCGAUAAUAAUCUUCUAAUCCGUCCUACAAAUGACUUUCGACAAGAGUGGUGCUACUCACAUCUCUUCAAAACCCAUUUGACACCCCGUUUUCUUUAUUUAAAAUUUUAUACAUUUGAAAAUUAUUUUUUCUUUUACUUGACACUCUUCAAAUUCUAAAACUAAGCUUCAAAGAACCUUCGUCAUUAAAUCUCAUUGCCUUCCUUUAUUCUUGUUACUUGAGAAGAAGAAUGAGAGUCUGGAAGAAUGAAAGAAAAUUCAGCGAGAUAGAAAUCUAGUAAUUUCAUACCAUGAUUCAGAAUUUUUUUUUUCUCAAAAGAAUCUACUAUUCUUCUAUAUUUUAUAUAAAAAAAAGAGGAAAAGAGGAAACUGAGAGACUCUUUGUUUAAUGCUUGAAAGUUAGAAAGAAAAGGUCAGGAAGCUGCCUGGUAAUGAGAGUGAUGCAUCAGCACUAAUUUCUAUCUCGAUAGCUACCAAUUACCACCCCUAGAAAGGCUGUUGAUCAACAAGCCAUAUCUACUGGUUUCCUUUCUUUAAAAGUUCUAAUGGUCCCCUUAAAAAUCUCUAUAUGCUCAGUCUUCUCAUGAUAUAUCUGAUUUUCGCUGAGAAUUAUAGCAAGCGCUUCAGAUAUCAUAAUACUUUGUGACUGACUACUGUGCAUGCUUAAUUAUAAGAUUAUUCCUUGUGGCCAAAUAAAAUGACCCCCUUUAGAGCCUCUGUAUUUGAAAAAGCAAGACAAUGAGCUUAAUUAUUGUCAAGGUCUCCAGUAGGAUACUCCUAAAUCCAUAUACCCACCCACCAGAACUCCAAUCUUGAAACUUAUAGAUCAAACCAUAACUUAAUGUGCCUGGCAACCAGGGAUAUGUCAGGCCUUUAAAAAACCACUACAUACAUUUGAGUCUGAAAUUGCUCCAAUUAGUAUUAUGAUUAUUAUUUUAAAAAACUCAACCUAAGCAAAGUGCCUCAGCAUACAAUAUUUAUUGACAACUAAAAAGUAAUAGUGGGUGGGGGUUGCCCUGGGUUUUGUUUAAAAAUUGAAGUAAAAAAUUUUCAAAUUUCAAAUUUCUAGUACAAAGAAAAUUGAUGACUAAAUUAAAUUCUGCAAAUUAAUUUCUAAUAUUACAUGAAAAUAUAUCAAGUUAAUUGGUAACAUUGUUAAUCACUUAAUCCUCAAUCUAAUACGUUAUGUAUUUGUUACUCUGUCUUAAAUCAAAAGUGGCGGUGAUUUAUUUUUAUUUUCACUAAUAAGAAAGGCAUGUUAGAGCUUUUAUUUUGUUGAAAAUGAACCAAAAAACUCCGAUUGGGAGAUUAUAAAUGUAUUUAACAAUAAUUUAACUUCCAUUUUGAAAGUCAUUAUAUUGUUUAUUCAGGAGAAGCGUUCUUUUAUAUUUUAUAGAUAUAAUGUUUGCUAAUCCUAAUUUAAGCUAAAGCAUAUGCAUUUCCUAAUUAAUUCUAAUUUAAGCUUAUUCAACUGCAUUCAAUUAAUGUUCGAUAAUACAAAUUCUAAAUACUAUAUACUCUAAGAAUUUUAAUCGUAAUGACAAGGUGAUCAUUUAAUUAUUACCGUUAAAUUAUAUAUGUAUGGUGGAGACGAGUCCACACGGUUUUGACGAGAAAUUAAAGACAAUAUUUAGUUAAGCUAGUAGUAUUUGUUCUGUUUAGUACGUCGUUUUACCAGCAAGCAUCCCGGCAAUGCACGCAUUAAUAAAAAAAUUUAUCUGUUUGGACUGAUUGGUAGUGAAAAAUUCCACAUACUUUAAAUUAAGAAAAUGCUAAGUAUCUUAAAGAAAACAAUUAAAAUAUUGUCACUUGAUGCUUGAAUCAUUAUUGUUAAAUAUCUCCGUUGAGUUGUAUUCCCCAGCUGUGAGUAUCAUUAUUGUCUUUGCUAUCUAAUCAAUUCAAUUUUCUUUCUGGAGACAAGAUUUUGAUUCCUUUCAUCGUUACAAAAACGGAACCAUGGUUGAUGUGGGAGAGAUCUUACUCAACGCCUUCUUUCAGGUGUUGUUCGACAGGUUGGCUUCCCGUGAUUUGCUCAGCUUUGUCCGUCAACUUGGAGGGGGGGUCGAUUCCGAGCUCAAGAAGUGGGAAAGAAAGCUGAAGAUGAUUCAGGCGGUGCUCAACGAUGCAGAGGAGAAGCAACUGACUGAUGAGGCUGUGAAGAUGUGGCUGGACGAUCUCCAAGACUUGGCUUAUGACGCUGAGGACAUUCUUGAUGAGUUUGCUACUCAAGCUUUGGAAAGCAAGUUGAUGGAGCAAAAUCAGGAUAGCUCUGGCCAGGUUCUCAGUUUCAUCCCGGCUAGUUUGAAUCCGAAUGCUAUUAUGUUCAAUUAUAGCAUGGGGUCCAAGAUUAAAGAUAUUACUAGCCGGCUGGAGCAACUCUGCCAAGAAAGAAUUGAACUUGGACUGCAGCGGAUUACUGGAGGGGCAUCAUCAACUGCUGCUGCUACACAGCAGAGGCCGCCCAGUUCGAGUGUCCCAACAGAACGUGAAGUAUUUGGAAGAGCAAAAGAUAAGGCCAAAAUUCUUGAUAUGGUAUUGGCCGAUACCCCAAGUGAUCAUGCCGACUUUGUUGUAAUACCCAUUGUUGGCAUGGGCGGGAUAGGAAAAACAACUCUCGCUCGGGAGGUUUACAAUGACAAGGCCGUUGGCGGUUCCAAGUUUGAUGUAAAAGCAUGGGUUUGCGUAUCUGACGUCUUUGAUGUUUUGGGCAUCUCAAAGGCACUUCUCGAGUCAAUCACCCGCAGGCCAUGUCUUCUAAACAGUUUAAAUGAAGUGCAGGUUGAAUUGAAAGUAGCUGUGGAUAAAAAAAGAUUCUUGCUGGUCUUAGAUGAUGUUUGGAACGAGGAGUACAGCUUGUGGGUAGACUUAAAAGCUCCGUUCCUGGUUGCUGCACCAAACAGUAAGAUGAUCGUCACCACACGCAAUUCAAAUGUUGCAUCAACAAUGGGGCCAGUUGAACAUUACAAUCUCAGGAGUCUAUCGGAUGAUGAUUGCUGGUCCAUUUUCAUAAAGCAUGCAUUUGAAUCUAGAGAUCUUAACGCACAUCAAAUUUCAGAAUCAUUCCGCAAGAAAGUUGUUGCCAAGUGUGGAGGCUUGGCCCUGGCAGCAAAAACACUCGGAGGCCUUCUGCGUACGACGAGGCAUGAUGCGUGGGAUGAUAUAUUAGAGAGCAAAAUAUGGGAUUUACCACGACAAAGUGGGGUUCUCCCAGUAUUAAGAUUGAGUUACCAUCAUCUUCCUUCUCAUUUGAAAAUGUGUUUUGCUUUCUGUGCAAUCUUUCCAAAAGAUUAUGAAUUCAAAGAGAAGGAGCUGACUUUUUUAUGGAUGGCCGGAGGAAUUAUUCGACAGUCAAGAAGCAAAGAGCGGCUAGAAGAUUUGGGCAGCAAGUGCUUCCAUGAUCUGGUGUCAAGGUCAAUUUUUCAGAAAUCAGCAAUCUCUGCUAGUUCUAAAUUUGUAAUCCAUGACCUUAUCCAUGAUCUUGCUGAAUUGGUCUCUGGAGAAACCAUAUUUAGGUUAGAGGAGGCCAAUACUCUGUCAAGAAGAUUUGAAAGGGUUCGCCAUUCCUCCUAUGCUUGUGGUGGAUAUGAUGGUAAAAAUAUGUUCGAUGUUUUCAAUGAAAUUGAACAUCUACGAACAUUCUUGCCAUUACGCUUACGCAUAAGAGGUGGCUUUAGUUCUGGUUACAUAAGUCGAACGGUCCUAUCUGACUUGCUGCCAAAGUUCAAAAGGUUGAGAAUGCUAUCUUUAGAAGGAUACUGUAUUGGCGAGUUACCAAUUCCAUUUGAAGAUUUGAGACUUUUAAGGUUUCUCAACCUUGCUGACACUGACAUAAGAAGUUUACCCGAGUCAACAUGCAAAUUGCUGAACUUGGAAAUUUUUAUAUUAAGAAAUUGUUCCCGUUUGAUAAAGCUUCCAGCCAAAAUGAGGAAUUUGAUCAAUUUACGCCAUCUGGAUAUAAGAGGUGCGAAGUUGCUGAAGGAGAUGCCAGUCGGAAUGAAAGAGCUGAAGAAGCUUCAAACAUUGUACAAUUUCAUUGUGGGCAAGGGUGAAACUGCAUCCGGUUUGGAAGAAUUAAAAAGUUUAAACUUUCUUUGUGAUGAACUUUGCAUUGCUGGAUUAGAGAAUGUGAAUAAUCCACAGAAUGCAAGAGAAGCGGCAUUAUGCGAGAAGCACAAUCUUGAAGCACUGACUCUAGAUUGGGGGUCUCAAUUUGACAAUUCUCGAGAUGGAGUAGUAGAAGAGCAUGUACUGGAAAUUCUACAGCCUCAUAAACGUAUAAAAAAGGUGGCAAUCAGGAACUAUAGAGGUGCAAGAUUUCCACAUUGGAUAGGAGAUCCUUUGUUCUCCAAAAUAGAGUUCCUUGAAUUGGAGAACUGUGACAAUUGUGUAUCUUUGCCAUCGCUUGGCCGUUUGAGUUCACUUAAACACCUUGCUGUUAAAGGGCUGAAGAAACUAAAAAGCAUAGAGUCUAAGGUUUAUGGGGAGGGUUUCUCAAUGCCUUUUCCAUCAUUGGAGAUUCUAAGUUUCGAGAAUUUGCCAGAAUGGGAGCAUUGGGACACCGAUAUCAAAGGAAAUGUACUUGUUGAAAUAUUUCCUCGUCUCCAUAAACUUUCCAUUGUGGAAUGUCCCAAACUCUCCGGAGAACUGCCUGAUCUCCUGCCCUCCUUGGAGACACUUGUUGUUAGUAAAUGUGAAAAGUUGGUAGUUCCAUUGUCUUGCUAUCCGAUGCUCUGCAGAUUAGAAGUUGAUGAGUGCAAGGAACUAGCGUGCGCGACUCCAAUUGAUUUUAAGUUGAUAAAGUCUGUGACUAUUUCAAAUUGUUCACUAGACAUGUAUGGAUGCAAGGGGAUGCUAUACAAUGGUCCAGCUGGCUCUUCACUGCCGAAAUCCAUGACUAUUACAAAUGUUUUGGCGUUUGGAAAAUUAUUGAAGCCUGAAUUUCAGAUAUUAGAAACUUUGGUAAUUGACAAUUCUGAACAGCUCAUGUCAUGGAGGCAGCGUGGGAAUUUCCGAGAAGAAUAUUUGGCCGUUCGCCGAAGGCUUAUCAAACCAUUACAAGGGCUAAAUAUGCUCGCUUCCCCAGAAGAGGUAACAAUUGAAGAAAGUUGUGUGAGUUUUGUUUUAUUUUCAGAGAUCAAUUUCUUUCCCAGAAAUCUGCGCUCUCUUCUAAUUUGCAGCAGCACAGCUUUAAAAUCCUUACCCGAUGAAAUGAUGGACAACAGUUCACAACUCAAAAGGUUGUAUAUCAGAGAUUGCGAUUCUCUAACAUUCAUCACAAGACGCAAGCUACCUUCAUCUCUAAAAAGUAUAGAGAUUCAGAAUUGUGAGAAACUGCGACAUUUGUUCGAUGAUAAAGAGGAUGCUUCUUCUUCUUCUCCUCCUUCAUCCUCGCCCUCCCCAGUGAUGCUGAAACACCUGAGUAUAAAUAAUUGCCCAGAGCUCACCAGUUUAUCAACAGGAAUCCAAUUACUUGAGGCGCUUGAACACCUCGACAUACGGGAUUGUCGAAAGCUGGAGUCAUUACCAGAUGGCCUUCACAAUCUUAACUGUUUACAGGAGAUUACUCUAAACAGUUGUCCAAGUCUUCUUAGAGGGCUUCCCAACACGAUUUCAAGGGUUGACAUUUACAGCUGUCCAAGUCUUGUUUCCUUCCCAGAAAGAGGACUUCCCAACACGAUUUCAAAGGUUGACAUUUUUAAUUGUGAGAAGCUCGAAGCCCUGCCCAAUGACAUGCACAAACUCAACUCUCUUCGAGAUUUAAGCAUAUUGGGGUGUCGAAAUCUUGUAUCCUUUCCAGAAGAAGGUUUUCCUACCAGUCUAACAUCACUUAGAAUUGGAGAUUUCAAAAUGUAUAAGACACUCAUCCAGUGGGGGUUGCACAGGCUUACCUCUCUUAGACGCCUCUAUAUCGUUGAUUGUGAUGACGAAGCAGAGUGUUUUCCAGACGAGGAGAUAGGAACGAUGCUGCCUACCUCCCUAACUCAUCUAUCCUUUCGGGGAUUCCGAAAUUUGAUAUCUCUGUCUUCGACGGGUUUUCAGAGCCUCAACUCUCUUCAAUACUUGUGGAUCAGGGAUUGCCCGAAUCUCACAUCAUUCCCAGAGGUGGGCCUUCCAUCCUCACUUUUGGCAUUAUGCAUUAUCGAUUGUCCAAAGCUUAAAAAAGCGUGCAAAAGAGAUCAAGGAAAAGAGUGGUCCAAAAUUGCUCACAUCCCUCGCAUUGACAUAGACAGGAAAUUCAUAUACGAUCCAGAAUCAGAGGAGUAGAUUCUACUAUUAAGGUCAGUUGAUUUGUAUUAUCCGCCAUAACAAGCUCCUCCUUUUUUUUUAAAUAAUAAUAAUAAUUCUUACCAAUUAAUGAUGGUAAGAUGUGUACUUAUUCUUUCUUCCGGACAACCUUGCCUUCUUUCUUCGGUAGCAUAUCUAAUGAAUAUUUCUCUGUUUAGUUAAGGAUGAAUGCUUGGAGUGGAGUAUUUGGUAACAUUUCUGCCGUAGAUGAAACCUUGAAGAAAUGCCUGCACUUCCUGAGACCAAAUACAGGUCUGAUUCACAACAACACCUGUCCCAGAAAAUAUGAUACAAGCCAAAGCCAUGUUCUGAAGCAGAAAUAACGCAUUUCAAUUUUUAUCUGGUAAAAAUACACAGCCCUCGCCUACAAAAUUCUUAUCUUGGCUUUCACGGAUAUUUUUAUCACGUAACCACGUGAGGAAGCAUGUGCUGGAGCCUGAAUUCAGUUAGUUAAAGUUUGUUAACCACGUGUCAACAAACUGUAUAAUCUGGAAAAUACGCUAGCUAUUGAAACAGGGUAUAAAGGCUGGUUUUUCAGGGACUAUCGAGAGCUGAUUCUAGAGUCUUGUAGAAAGAGGUUUGUGAGAGAGAAAGUGUCAUCUUGUUCUCUGUAAAAUCCGAUAUAGGGCUCUGUAACGAUCUCCAUUGUUGAAUCAAUAAAACUCAUCUAGAAGCUUCUCCCGUGGACGUAUUCUGAGCAUUCAAUGCACAGCUGAACCACGUAAUAUCUUGGUUUCAGUGGGUUCUUGUUUUGGUUCUUGAUAAAUUCUUGUUGUUGUAUUGAGGUGUGAUUUGAUGUGUCUAAACUUGCAUCUGUGCAACUUGAAUUGAUUUGAUGAUAAUAAUCUUGGGCAGUGAUCAGAUUCGUUUAGUUUAAAGAACAAGCUGAUUACUACCGUACCUAUGCAUGGACCUGUAACCUGUGCUGACAAAACUGAAACUAUGAGUUUGAGGUAAAAAGGUCCUGGACCCUCACAGUUUAACUUGGACUUGUAGCUUUCUGGAUAAACACAUUUUAGAAGUUUGCAAUUUGUUGUUAAUUACGGUAUGUGAUUUUCUUUUUUGUUUUCGCUUUUGUAGAAUCUACCGUAUUACAUAUUGGCAGUUGUAUCUGAGGUACCAUUUUUGCAUUUAACUUGCCUUUAUCUGUUUUGCCUGUUACUUAACAACACAUCAUUUCCCAAAGAUUUGGAGAAGCAUCUCAAGAUGCUUAACAAACUUGACAAACUUCAAGAUGCUCCCAAGCCUUGAUUCUUCACAAAGGAAGACCUGUGAGUACACUUAUGCCCGCAAUUAUUGUGAAGUGAUUGCAACUUUGAUGCAGCGAAACGGUUUGCUGGUGCAAAGCUUUAAAACUGUUAAGAAUUACCCUGCAGGCUUGUUGGAUGUUGUAUACUCCGAAAGCCACCAACACCAAGAACUAUAACAGCAAGACUAGGUUUGCAUUAAUUCAAUUAGCUGAAAUAAUGAUGCAAAUGGCACUAUCCAGCUCGACUUAGAGACUAGUCAGGUCAAUCAUCCAUUUCAUCAACAGUUAAUGUCAGGAUGGUGGCUAGCAGAGGAAACAAAGGAUAUGUUGGAAUCAAUAAGAACAGUGAGAAGCAUGAGAGGAGCUUUGAUUAUAAGUAGGCUCAAUGAACUAGUGUUGGUAAGUGGUAAUUAGAGCAAUUUGUGAGCUUAGUAGAGUUUCAAUAUUUUCUGUUUGGGAUAUAGUUGAUAAGUUGAUACUCUGAUAAAGAAGGCUGAUUAUAGUAGCUGACUAUAUUAACCGGGUUCUCUUUUUUGGUUUGCUGUUGUUUUUUCUUUCAAUAUCUUUUUCAACAUUAGGUUUAAGAACAAGCUUGGGUUUGAUUAUCAGGUAAGAACAAAUGAAUGCUUUAACCAUGUUUCUCACUUAUCACAAUGCACGGAUUGAAGGCGUCUGAGUUGAUCCUGAAACGUGCCUCAGCAAGUAUUAUGAUUAUUAUUUUAAAAAACUCAACCUAAGCAACGUGCCUCAGCAUACAAUAUUUAUUGACAACUAAAAAGUAAUAGUGGGUGGGGGUUGCCCUGGGUUUUGUUUAAAAAUUGAAGUAAAAAAUUUUCAAAUUUCAAAUUUCUAGUACAAAGAAAAUUGAUGACUAAAUUAAAUUCUGCAAAUUAAUUUCUAAUAUUACAUGAAAAUAUUAUCAAGUUAACUGGUAACAUCGUUAAUCACUUAAUUCUCAGUCUAAUACGUUAUGUAUUUGUUACUCUGUCUUAAAUCAAAAGUGGCGGUGAUUUAUUUUUAUUUUCACUAAUCAGAAAGGCAUGUUAGAGCUUUUAUUUUGUCGAAAAUGAACCAAAAAAACUCCGAUUGGGAGAUUAUAAAUGUAAUUAACAAUAAUUUAACUUCCAUUUUGAAAGUCAUUAUAUUGUUUAUUCAGGAGAAGCGUUCUUUUAUAUUUUAUAGAUAUAAUGUUUGCUAAUCCUAAUUUAAGCUAAAGCAUAUGCAUUUCCUAAUUAAUUCUAAUUUAAGCUUAUUCAACUGCAUUCAAUUAAUGUUCGAUAAUACAAAUUCUAAAUACUAUAUACUCUAAGAAUUUUAAUCGUAAUGACAAGGUGAUCAUUUAAUUAUUACCGUUAAAUUAUAUAUGUAUGGUGGAGACGAGUCCACACGGUUUUGACGAGAAAUUAAAGACAAUAUUUAGUUAAGCUAGUAGUAUUUGUUCUGUUUAGUACGUCGUUUUACCAGCAAGCAUCCCGGCAAUGCACGCAUUAAUAAAAACAUUUAUCUGUUUGGACUGACUGGUAGUGAAAAAUUCCACAUACUUUAAAUCAAGAAAAUGCUAAGCAUCUUAAAGAAAACAAUUAAAAUAUUGUCACUUGAUGCUUGAAUCAUUAUUGUUAAAUAUCUCCGUUGAGUUGUAUUCCCCAGUUGUGAGUAUCAUUAUUGUUGUUUGUGCGAUAUGUUUCGACGAAGACCAGCAGUGAUGAGCAGGCGUCUGGUAGCAGGGUUCCUCGAACAGGUAUAUCUUGCAAGAGUCUGGUAGCAGGGGGAGCAAGAGCAGGAGUAUCCUGCUCGUCCACGAGUACGUCAUCCACGAGGCCGGUCUCCUGUUGGGAGCGUAAAGCCAUUCCUGCUAUAUUCCUGCUAGCGGUUGAGUCGAGGAGACCCGGUCAACGACAGUUGACGAGACAUGCUCUCCAGUCCGAGAAUCAAGGCGCGAAGGCCACGCAACCACCCACGACUACGGAAAUGGAGCAUCCACUUUCGAGAAGUGGGAGGAUGACAAGCGCAAAGGGAGGAAAUGCAUGGGCUCAGAAGUGGCCUAUAAAAAGGUAACCAACGAAGGUAAAAGGGUUAGCAAUUUUGAGAUUAUAACAGAGACUAAGGAAAUUCUAAAGAAGAGAAAACUAUUAAAAAGCCAUAAGAUCUGUGGCAAGCGUUCCCAGAGCCUUCAUAUCUGACUUGAGCGUCGGAGGGUUUACGCCGGGAAAACAACCGGCGUGCUCUGACUUGUUUCUGUGGACGCAGGAAUACUUGGAGAAGAAAGCAUACAAGGAGAGAUCCUGGUCGAGGUGAGGUUGAUUGAGCAGAUAUCCUGGUCGUAGGAAGAGCGUAACCAGAAUCUCGCAUCAAUAUUUUGGCGCCGUCUGUGGGGAGCUGAGCAAAAAGUUUCUGUUGAUAGCAAAGAAGAGGAGUGAAGCAAGUGAAAAGCAAUGGAGACAGGAGGAAGUAGUGCACAAGGGGGUGAUAUGAGGCUUAACGAUUCCGUGACGCUGAGGGAGAUAGCCAGUGAAGCACGGGAAAAAGCCAUGUUCGACCGGAUGGAACGGAUGGAAAAGCAGAUGGAGACCUUGACAACCAUCCUACAUGAGCUGCGGAGCGAACGAAGGGUAACCCAGGAGGAAAGGGUGAGAGGUGGUGGAGUGGCACCAGGUCCCGAUAGUGCGAGGAGAAGUCAAACCACCGGGAGAUUUGGUGGUGAGAGAGGUAACAUACCUCUGCAGGGAAAUUGCAUAGAGAGGAAGAGCAGUCCCCGGCAAGACAGAUUUUUGACGAGGACGACGGGGUGGCGAAUGCAGAGGAAGCAGAGUUGAGGCAAUACUUGCAUGAUGUAGUGCAAGAGCGGGAUCAAGUCGCAGCACGUGACCCUGGUCGUGCAGAGCAGCUGGAGGAGGAAGUGUGCAGGCUAGCGCAGAUAAUUGACGACAUACAAGGAAGGAGCAGAGCUCCUGGUUGGAGGAUAAUGCUGGACGGAGAAUCACCGCUCGCAGCAGAGAUCAUGAGGGCAGUUAUUCCAAGAGAUUUCCGCCUCCCAGACCUUAGAUAUUCGGGAUGAACUGAUCCGCUGGUGCACAUAGAGCGCUUCAACGACAUAACUGGGGUACAAGGAUUAUCUCAAUCCUAAAGGUGCAGGGUGUUCCCACUAUCCCUUGAGGGACGCGCACGAGAGUGGUACAGGAAACUUCCUCGGGGGAGCAUUAAAACCUUCGAGCAGAUGUGCCAGGAAUUUGCAGAACAGUUCCGUGGGGCAAUGGCACCAGAAGAUGACAUGAUGGAGUUGAAAAACAUGAAGCAGGGGGAACAAGAAACACUUCGGGAAUUCAUCAAGAGGUUUCACCGUGCUGUCCUCGACUUGGGAGCCUUCAACCACCCUCAAACGUUAAGGGGAUUGAAAGAAGGGGUGAAGAUAGGAAGGCUGUGGUACAACUUGAGAAGCCCAGUUAUUCAGACGUAUGCGGCCGCAUACGAGCAGGCUAAGAGAGACAUUGAGAUUGAAGAGGAGAAGGCAGCACAGAUUAAGACAGACCAGUUAGAAGGGUGGGGGAGGAAAGAGAAGAAAGCAUUACCGGGGAAUGGGCCGAUCAGGAGGAGGAACCACCAGGCCUCGAGUAGUGGAGCAGAAGGUCGGGUAACUGCUUACCAGCCUCAUCAGAGGCCACUACAGUAUCAGCACAGCAGGGCGCAACCUCCUCGUUCCCCAGCUGGGGAGCCUUGGAGAAGGCAUGACUCGGCGUAUGGUGGUCUUCAUCAACACUCCCACGGUAGUAGAAGGGGCAGACCAGAAGCGCUGCCACCGCCUCCAACUCAGAACGGAGCAAAUAGAGAAAGGGCAGUGCACCUGAUCGACCAGAACCAGGACUAUGGGCGAUAUACUUCCUUGAAGAUGUCCCUGGCCGAGGUGUACGAGGCCAUAAAGGAUCGAGGGUCGUUAUACCUCCCUGCCCCAAUAACAAAGCUACCCAGCAGGAGGGAUAGGGGACGCUAUUGUAAGUUCCAUGGCACUCAUGGCCACACCACAGCAGAUUACAGGGAUCUCAAGACCCAGGUUGAAGAUUUGGUGAGAAAUCGGUAUCUGGACGAGUUUAUAGAUGGGACCUUCCCAAUGGUAGCCUCGACCAGCGAAUGGGAGCAGAGUGACAGGAACUUGAGGCGCGAGCAGCCUGCAGUAAGGGUGAUAGCUGGGGGCCCAACAUUGGCCGGAGAUUCCAACAGGUUGAGGAAGAAUUACGCUAGAUACGCCAUGACCAGCAAAGAUGUAUUCUUCACCACCCCAGCAGCCAAACGUGCAAGAGUCAGGCAAGUGCCAAUUAUGUGGACAGAUGAGGAUGAAGAAGGGAUUCUAUACCCCCACGAGGAUGCUUUGGUCAUCAAGGCCACUGUUGCCAGCAAGAAGUUUGACAGGAUACUGGUUGACACAGGGAGCUCAGUUGAUGUGUUGUUUAAGUCAACCCUGGAGGAGAUGGGAAUAGCAGACCUGAAGUUGGAUUACACCAAUACCUCCUUGAAGGGGUUUGGAGGAGGAAAGUUGGUCCCUCUGGGCGUGGUCGAGCUGCCUAUCACGAUUGGGAGCUCCCCGACAGAAGGGACAAUGAUACUGGACUUUGUGGUAGUGGAUGAGGAAGGUCCUUAUCAGAUGAUCCUAGGCCGGCCAUUUCUGACGAUGAGCAAAGCGGUGCUGUCCAGCCAUUAUCUGGCUCUCAAGUACCGGGUGAAUGGGGUAGUUGGAGUGGUACGAGGAGACCAGAGGAUCGCAAGAAGCUGCUACUCCUCGGCAGCAAAGGAAGCAAUGCAGAUAACAUCCCUUGAUACCCGAGUGGAAGCCAGGAAUGGCAGCUAGUUGGACCCGGAGUUUACAAGCUGGUUCGCACGGAUGGCCACAAGGUGAAACGCCCAUGGAGCGCGACACACCUCAGGAAAUAUUUCUAGUAAGACUUACUCAUCUUUUAAAGUUAUUUCUGUUCGUGCCCGUUGUUUUCUAUUUUUCAUUUCUUAUUUCAAAGCAAUCUCAUGUAAGCCGAAUUCAAUAAUAAAUGAAUCAAUGAGGAGUUUCAGUCAACUACACUGUUCAAGAAAUUAUCAAAGGCAUGCAAAGGCUAGUCAAGUCUCAAAGCCUGUUUAUGGCGAGACCAGAAGCCAAGCGUGCCAGGAUCUGCUCGACCACGAGAAGGCGAGCAGAGUCCCAAGCUUUCAAGAAAUUAUCAAUGGCAUGCAAAGGCUCACCAAGUCUCAAAGCCUGUUUAUGGCGAGACCAGAAGCCAAGCGUACCAGGAUCUGCUUGACCACGAGAAGGCGAGCAGAGUCCCAAGCUUUCAAGAAAUUAUCAAAGGCAUGCAAAGGCUCACCAAGUCUCAAAGCCGGUUUAUGACGAGACCAGAAGCCAAGCGUUCCAGGAUCUGCUCGACCACGAGAAGGCGAGCAGAGUCCCAAGCUUUCAAGAAAUUAUCAAAGGCAUGCAAAGGCUCACCAAGUUUCAAAGCCUGUUUAUGACGAGACCAGAAGCCAAGCGUGCCAGGAUCUGCUCGACCACGAGAAGGCGAGCAGAGUCCCAAGCUUUCAAGAAAUUAUCAAAGGCAUGCAAAGGCUCACCAAGUCUCAAAGCCUGUUUAUGGCGAGACCAGAAGCCAAACGUGCCAGGAUCUGCUUGACCACGAGAAGGCGAGCAGAGUCCCAAGCUUUCAAGAAAUUAUCUAAGGCAUGCAAAGGCUCGCCAAGUCUCAAAGCCUGUUUUAUGGCGAGAUAGAAGCCAAGCGUACCAGGAUCUGCUCGACCACGUGAAGGUGAGCAGAAUCCCCAAGCAUCGGAAUAUUUUCCAAGGCAUGCAAAGGCUCGCCAAGUCUCAAAGCCUGUUUUAUGGCGAGACAGAAGCCAAGCAUGCCAGGAUCUGCUCGACCGCGCGAAGGCGAGCAGAAUCUCAAGCAUUGAAGAAUUUUCCAAGGCAUGUGGCAAAACCAUAUGCCGAGCCAGAACCUGCUAAACUAGACGAAGACGAGCAGAUUCUCAGACGAAAAAUAACUCAUGAUUACAACACAAGAAAGUAAUCAAAAACAUUUUUAUUAAUUUGUUAAUAAUUAACAGAGGAGAUAAUCUUCACAAACAUUGUUCAUUACAAUACAAGAAAUAUAUUAAGAGGACGGUGGAUCCGUAAGCCGAGCAGCCUCAGUCGGUUGGUCCACCUCAGGUGCUGGGGGAGUAUCACCGGUCGCGUCCGGGGGGGUGCUUGCCUCACCCACAUCAACAGGAACGGCACGAGGAGGAGAGUUUUCCUCAACUACGAUUGGUUCCACCGUUUCGGCAUCUUCCUUUGCAGCCUCCUCGUCCAUAUGUUGGGCGACACCAGUUGCAAGGUCGUCCAUCUUCAGAUCAGGAUGCUGCUUCCCGAGGACGACCAUGAUGCAACGAUAGGAAUGCCGAAGCCCCUAGUCGUACUGGUUGUCGGCCUCCCUCUCCAAGUUCUCGACCUGAGCUCGGUGGGAAUCGCGGAGAGAUUCGAGCUGAGCCUCAUAUAUAGCCUUCUGCCUUUGCAGAUCCUCCUCGACCUUGGUCAGCUCCUCCUCGAGGGUAAUGGCUUUUGCUUGAGCAAGAGAUUCUUGCUCUAUCAGCUUGAGGUUCUCAACAUUCAGCUCCCCUGCUUUCUUCUCGGCAGCGUCAGCUCUGGUCGUCGCCGAUUGAAUGUCCUCCUUAAUCUUGCGGUCGUAGCGGCCAACCUUCGCCUUGUAAUAGGUGGUCAUGCAGCUGAGGUAGAAAGCGCUAUACUGCAUGGCCCCCACCAGCUCACCCAAGGUGCAGCCGUCAAAGUCCUCCAGGUCCUUCUUGCUCACGAGUUUAGAUAACUCAUUGAGGUAGGGGACCAAGUGUUCUGCUUGGCUGUCAGGUAAGCGAGAUCGAGGCCCGACAGGAGGAGAAGAGGAAGCAGGAUCCGUGGCUGCUCCACUAGUUUCCCCAACUUUGGCAGGAGCAGGAGGUAAAGUCUUCAAGGGAGAGACUUGCUGUACGAUGUUGGCCUGCUUUGCAGAAGGGGCGUCCUUGUUCUGGUCCCUCUUCGUGGCUUGAGGUUGAGAACGUUUCCUGUUCAGAGCCCCAAUCACAGCGUCCUCCAUCUUAUGGCCAGGGAGUACCAAGCGAGACUCGAGCAAGUUGUAAACAGUUAUCAAUUCUCGGCUCGGGCAAGAGUUGGCUAGUAUAGCCUCGACCCGUUUGAGCUGAUCAGGUUGGAGCGAGAAGUGAACACCCCAAGAACCUGCAACACAAACAAACAUUUGAUUAGAGACAAACCAGUAAAGUGCAAACAACAAGGGAGACAAGACAUCUAAUACGAGCAGGCAACCUGGGACCAUGAAACGGGGUGGGACGCGACAAUCCUUCCCGUCUAUUUGUGCAACUUGACCCCAAGGACCCCCAGCAAAAAAGAAUUUCCUCUUCCAAGUCCCACCACCACCAGUUGGAAGAUCAGUUAUGGGUUUCUUGCUCUUGGUACUAGAUUGGAAGUAGUACCAGCCGGCAUCUUUGGGGCUGCUCUUUAGCUGGUACAGGUGCUUCACCUCAUCAACCGUGGGCUCGCUUUGGCAACAUCUGUCCCACAAUAUGAACAGACCAGAGAGCACCCUCCACCCAUUGGGGUUCAGUUGACCAGGAGCUAGAUUGAGCCCGUGGAGUAUGCGAGCAAAAUAGGGUUGCAAGGGGCACCUUAACCCGUACUUAAAACUCUCCUGGAACAAGGUGACAUAUCCCCUAGGAGGCCUGCUAGGACUAUCUUUUUUUCCUGGGAUCCUAAGGAGUACUUCACCAGGAAUAUGAUACCUGAGCCAGAGGUCAUCCAGCUCGUUGAAUGUGGUCGUGCAGGUCAUGUAAUCAAUAGCAUAAUCCCGCAACAAGGCUCUACCUCCUACUGUACUACGCCCUUCUGGUCGCAGUGUUCCCGGUGAAGAUCCCUCACCAGAGUCACCUCCUUGAUCCUCACUUAGGGUGUCUUCCGAGCCAGAAGGUCCUUCCUCGCCACUACUUCCGCUCGUGGAGGUUGUUUGGGGGGACAUCCUCCUAGCGCUAGUCCCGACACUAGACCUAGUGGGCUCUAAGGGGAUCCCGGGGUCAAAAGCAGAAUCAGUGAGCAGACUAGGCAAGAAACCUAGUUCGUCGUCAUCAGUCUCAAUGACUUUCUCCUUACCCUUCGACAUUCCCUAAGUUCUAACCAAAACACCACCACCGACUACAACCCCAAGUAAAGCAAAGAGAAAAGAAAUUAUCUACAACUAUCCGAGACCGAGGAGAUAGAAGUAAUACCUGAAGUAAUGGUUCAGUUAGAGAAAGGCAGGGGAGGAGACUUUUAUGCCGAGACUUCUUUGCCGGAGAGACAGAGACAGAGAUGGAGUAAAUGACGAAUUUUCCCUUUGAGAGGUUUUGGGUUUUCCUAAUGGAGAAUGAACUUUUGGAUUGCCAGCAUUUAAUAGCAUCGAAUCCCAAGGGUCUCGUAACCGUCGGUUUAAAAUUCAAAUAGAUGGGUAGAUUUCUGCCACAUCACCUGGUCCACAAUUAAAUGCGACACGACUCUUGGCAGCCUUUUCCUAUCCCGCGCGAGCAAGAACUGUCGAGUUUCUACUGUUGGCUCACUACGCUACCCAACACAAGAAACUGGGGGACUGGUGUUUGUGCGAUAUGUUUCGACGAAGACUAGCAGUGAUGAGCAGGCGUCUGGUAGCAGGGUUCCUCGAACAGGUAUAUCUUGCAAGAGUCUGGUAGCCGGGGGAGCAAGAGCAGGAGUAUCCUGCUCGUCCACGAGUACGUCAUCCACGAGGCCGGUCUCCUGUUGGGAGCGUAAAGCCAUUCCUGCUAUAUUUCUGCUAGCGGUUGAGUCGAGGAGACCCGGUCAACGACAGUUGAUGAGACAUGCUCUUCAGUUCGAGAAUCAAGGCGCGAAGGCCACGCAACCACCCACGACUACGGAAAUGGAGCAUCCACUUUCGAGAAGUGGGAGGAUGACAAGCGCAAAGGGAGGAAAUGCAUGGGCUCAGAAGUGGCCUAUAAAAAGGUAACCAACGAAGGUAAAAGGGUUAGCAAUUUUGAGAUUAUAACAGAGACUAAGGAAAUUCUAAAGAAGAGAAAACUAUUAAAAAGCCAUAAGAUCUGUGGCAAGCGUUCCCAGAGCCUUCAUAUCUGACUUGAGCGUCGGAGGGUUUACGCCGGGAAAACAACCGGCGUGCUCUGACUUGUUUCUGUGGACGCAGGAAUACUUGGAGAAGAAAGCAUACGAGGAGAGAUCCUGGUCGAGGUGAGGUUGAUCGAGCAGAUAUCCUGGUCGUAGGAAGAGCGUAACCAGAAUCUCGCAUCAACAAUUGUCUUUGCUCUCUAAUCUAUUCAAUUUUCUUUCUGGAGACAAGAUUUUGAUUCCUUUCAUCGUUACAAAAACGGAACCAUGGUUGAUGUGGGAGAGAUCUUACUCAACGCCUUCUUUUAGGUGAUGUUCGACAGGUUGGCUUCCCGUGAUUUGCUCAGCUUUGUCCGUCAACUUGGAGGGGGGGUCGAUUCCGAGCUCAAGAAGUGGGAAAGAAAGCUGAAGAUGAUUCAGGCGGUGCUCAACGAUGCAGAGGAGAAGCAACUGACGGACGAGGCUGUGAAGAUGUGGCUGGACGAUCUCCAAGACUUGGCUUAUGACGCUGAGGACAUUCUUGAUGAGUUUGCUACUCAAGCUUUGGAAAGCAAGUUGAUGGCGCAAAAUCAGGAUAGCUCUGGCCAACUUCUCAGUUUCAUCCAGGCUAGUUUGAAUCCGAAUGCUAUUAUGUUCAAUUAUAGCAUGGGGUCCAAGAUUAAAGAUAUCACUAGCCGGCUGGAGCAACUCUGCCAAGAAAGAAUUGAACUUGGACUGCAACGGAUUACUGGAGGGGCAUCAUCAACUACUGCUGCUGCACACCAGAGGCUACCCGGUUCAAUUGUCCCAACAGAACGUGAAGUAUUUGGAAGAGAAGAAGAUAAGGCCAAAAUUCUUGAUAUGGUAUUGGCCGAUACCCUAAGUGAUCAUGCCAACUUUGCUGUAAUACCCGUUGUUGGCAUGGGCGGGAUAGGAAAAACAACUCUCGCUCGGGAGGUUUACAAUGACAAGGCCGUUGGCGGUUCCAAGUUUGAUGUAAAAGCAUGGGUUUGCGUAUCUGAUGUCUUUGAUGUUUUGGGCAUCUCAAAGGCACUUCUCGAGUCAAUCACCCGCAGGCCUUGUCUUCUAAACAGUUUAAAUGAAGUGCAGGUUGAAUUGAAAGUAGCUGUGGAUAAAAAAAGAUUCUUGCUGGUCUUAGAUGAUGUUUGGAACGAGGACUACAGCUUGUGGGUAGACUUAAAAGCUCCGUUCCUGGCUGCUGCACCAAACAGUAAGAUGAUCGUCACCACACGCAAUUCAAAUGUUGCAUCAACAAUGGGACCAAUUGAACAUUACAAUCUCAAGAGUUUGUCAGAUGAUGAUUGUUGGUCCAUUUUCAUAAAGCAUGCAUUUGAAUAUAGAGAUCUUAACGCACAUCAAAUUUCAGAAUCGUUCCGCGGGAAAGUUGUUGCCAAGUGUGGAGGCUUGGCCCUGGCAGCAAAAACACUCGGAGGCCUUCUGCAUACGACGAGGCAUGAUGCGUGGGAUGAUACGUUAGAGAGCAAAAUAUGGGAUUUACCUCAACAAAGUGGGGUUCUCCCCGUAUUAAGAUUGAGUUACCAUCAUCUUCCUUCUCAUUUGAAAAGAUGUUUUGCUUACUGUGCAAUCUUUCCAAAAGAUUAUGAAUUCAAUCAGAAGGAGCUGACUUUCUUAUGGAUGGCUGGAGGAAUUAUUCGACAGUCACGAAACAGUGAGCAGCUGGAAGAUUUGGGCAGCAAGUGCUUUCAAGAUCUAGUGUCAAGGUCUAUUUUUCAACAAACCAGCUCUGGUAGUUCUAAAUUUGUAAUGCCCUAUCUUAUCCAUGAUCUUGCUGAAUUGGUUUCUAGAGGGACCAUUUUCAAGUUAGAGGAGUCCACCAACUUGUCGUCGAGGAGAUUUGAAAGAGUUCGCCAUUCUUCCUAUGCCCGCGGUUGGCAUGACGGUAAAAAUAAGUUUGAGGUUUUCUAUGAAAUUGAACAUCUACUAACAUUCUUGCCAUCACGCAUAAGAGGUGGCACUAAUACGAGUUACAUAACUCGAACGGUUCUAUCUGAUUUGUUGCUGAAUUUCAAAAGUUUGAGGAUGUUAUCUUUACAAGGAUACUGUAUUGGUGAGUUACCAAUUUCAUUUGAAGAUUUGAGACUUUUAAGGUUUCUCAACCUUGCUUACACUGACAUAAGAAGUUAUCUGAGUCAACAUGCAAAUUGCUGAACUUGGAAAUUUUGAUAUUAAGAAAUUGUUCUCGUUUGAUAAAGCUUCCACCCAAAAUGAGGAAUUUGAUCAAUUUACGCCAUCUCGAUAUAAGAGGUGCGAAGUUGCUGAAGGAGAUGCCAUUCGGAAUGAAAGAGUUGAAGAAGCUUCAAACAUUGUCCAAUUUUAUUGUGGGCAAGGGUGAAACUGCAUCUUGUUUGGAAGAUUUAAAAUGUUUAAACUUUCUUUGUGAUAAACUUUGCAUUGCUGGAUUAGAGAAUGUUAAUAAUCCACAGAAUGCAAGAGAAGCCGCAUUAUGUGAGAAACACAAUCUUGAAGCAUUGACUCUGGAUUAGGGGUUUCAAUUUGACAAUUCCUGAGGAGUAGUAGAAGAGCAUGUACUGGAAAAUCUACAGCCUCAUAAAUGUAUAAAAAAGGUGGCGAUCCGGAACUAUGGUGGUGCAAGAUUUCCCCUUUGGAUAGGAGAUCCUUUGUUCUCCAGGAUAGAGCUCCUAAAAUUGGAGAACUGUGACAAUUGUGUAUCUUUGCCAUCGCUUGGCCUAUUGAGUUCACUUAGACGGCUUGCUGUUAAAGGGCUGAAUAAACUAAAAAGCAUAGGGUCUGAGGUUUAUGGGGAGGGUUUCUCAAUGCCUUUUCCAUCAUUGGAGAUUCUAAGUUUCGAGAAUUUGCCAGAAUGGGAGCAUUGGGACACCGAUGUCAAAGGAAAUGUGCUUGUUGAAAUAUUUCCUCGUCUCCAUCAACUUUCCAUUGUGGAAUGUCCCAAACUCUCGGGAGAACUGCCUGAGCUCCUGCCCUCCUUGGAGACACUUUUUGUUAGUAAAUGUGAAAAGUUGGUAGUUCCAUUGUCUUGCUAUCCGAUGCUCUGCAGAUUAGAAGUUGAUGAGUGCAAGGAACUAGCAUGCGGGACUCCAAUUGAUUUUAAGUUGAUAACGUCUGUGACUAUUUCAAAUAGUUCCUUAGACAUGAAUGGAUGCAAGGGGAUGCUAUACGAUGGUCCAGCUGGCUCUUCACUACCAAAGCCUAUGAUUACUACAAAUGUUUCGGAGUUUGGAAAAUUAUUGAAGCCUGGAUUUCAGAUAUUAGAAACUUUGGUAAUUGCCAAUUCUGAACAGCUCAAGUCAUGGAGGCAGAAUGGGGAUUUUCCGGAAAAAUACACGGCCCCUGAACAUAGGUUUAAGAAACCAGUACGAGGGCUGAAUAUGCUCGCUUCCCCUGAAGAGGUAACAAUUGAAGAAAGUUGCGUACGUCUUGUUUUGUUUCCAGAGAUCAAUUUCUUUCCCAGAAAUCUGCGCUCUCUUCUAAUUAACAACAACACUGCUUUCAAAUCCUUACCCGAGGAAAUGAUGGAAAACAAUUCACAACUCGAAAGGUUGUAUAUCAGAGAUUGCGACUCUCUAACAUUCAUCGCAAGACGGAGGCUACCAGCAUCUCUUAAAAGGCUUGAGAUAGAAAAUUGUGAGAAAUUGCAACGUCUGUUCGAUGAUGAAGAGGAUGCUUCUUCUUCUUCACCUUCACCCUCGUCUUCCCCAGUGAUGCUGCAACACCUGAGUAUAGAGAACUGCCCAGAGCUCACCAGUUUAUCAUCGGGUGUCCAAUUCCUUGAGGCGCUUGAAGACCUCGACAUACAGGGUUGUCCAAAGCUGGAGUCAUUACCGGAUGGCCUGCCCAAUCUUAAAUGUUUACAGAGCAUUUAUAUACGGGGAUGUCCAAGUCUUGUUUCCUUCCCAGAAAGAGGGCUUCCCAACACGAUUUCAAGGGUUGACAUUUGCAGUUGUGACAAGCUCAAAGCCUUGCCCAAUGAUUUGCACAAACUCAACUCUCUUCGAGAUUUAAGAAUACGGCUGUGUCGAAAUCUUGUAUCGUUUCCAGAAGAAGGUUUUCCUACCAAUCUAACAUCACUUACAAUUGGAAAUUUCAAAAUGUAUAAGACACUCGUCCAGUGGGGGUUGCACGGGCUUACCUCUCUUAAACGCCUCUCGAUCAGUGGAUGUCAUGAAGCAGAGUGUUUUCCAGACGAGGAGAUAGGAAUGACGCUGCCCACCUCUCUCACUCAACUGCUCCUUUAGGGAUUCGAAAAACUGAUAUCUCUGUCUUCGACGGGUUUUCAAAGCCUCAACUCUCUUCAAUACUUAUUGAUCUGGGGUUGCCCAAAUCUCACAUCAUUCCCAGAGGCGGGUCUUCCAUCCUCACUUUUGGAUUUAGGCAUUUACAAUUGUCCAAAGCUUAAAAGAGCGUGCAAAAGAGAUCAAGGAAAAGAGUGGCCCAAAAUUGCUCACAUCCCUCGCAUUGAGAUAGACAGAAAAUUCAUAUACGAUCCAGAAUCAGAGGAGUAGAUUCUAUUACAAAGGUCAGUUGAUUUCUAUUAUCCUCUAUAACAAGCUCCUCUUAAUUUUUUUUUUCUAAGUAAUAAUUUUGCAGUUCUGUAUAAUUAUUAAUCGUCUGCUCUUAAUUGAAAAUGUCACUCACUUGAUUCCGUUUUCACUAGUCAAAUUGUAUGUUGAGGCUAUUUGCUUUUUAAUUAUAACACUUAUCUUAAAAUUUAAUACCAAAUUUUUUUGAUUCACUUCAAUUAGCAUUUUGUUUUCCCCAAAUUAGGCAAGCCGAGAGCUUCAUUAACUAGAGUUUUUUAUUUUUCGGACCUUGCAUCUGAAAGGUUCAGUGUAUUUUUUUUUUUUUCAAAUUUAUUGUUCAGAUCUCAGACGAGUAUACGGUUUAGAUUACAAAACACCUAUGAUUAAUUUCUUUUUUUUUUUUUUAAUUUCAGGGAGAAGAAGUGGUCAGUUUCAAUCCGGAAUUGGAAUAUGGCAAUUUGGUUCAAGCACACACACCUGGUCACUUGGUCAGUGAACCUGAACUUUACGCAGUUUUUUCAACUCAGUGAUUUUUGGAACGCAUAUUGGUGUAAGGAAAUCAAUAGAAAUUUAUGCAUAGUCAAAUUCUGAUAUUUGCUAUAAUAUUAUACAUUCUAAAGUUUCUCCAGUUUGUUCUCAGAUUACCAUCAUUUUUUGCCUUCACCAAAAAAAAAUCGAGUGGCUUUCCAGUGGAUAUUUAAUCGGAGGUAUGACUGGAUUUUUUUCACUUCUGUAAAUCUUGCAUUUUAAACUGGCAAAUUUAACUUUAAUUUUAAUACGACUUGUUUGAGGGAAAUACUCCGACGAGACCAGACGUGAUGAGCAGAUGUUUGGUGGCAGAAGUCUGCGAGCAGGUGUGUCCUGUAAGAGCCAGGUAGCAGGGAAACAGGGGCAGAAAUAUCCUGCUCAUCCACGAGCAUGUCAUCCGCGAGGCCAAUUUCCUGUAAGAAACAUAAAGCCAUUCCUGCUGUAUUCUUGCUAAGGGUUGAUUCGAGGAGACCCGGUCAACGACAGUUGGCGAGGCAUGCUCUCCAGCCCGAGAAUCUAGGCACGAAGGCCACGCAACCACCCACGACUACGGAAAUGGGGAAUCCACGUUCGAGAGGUGGGAGGAUAACAGACGUAGACUGCGGAAAACUGGGAUUCAGAGGAAGCCUAUAAAAAGGUAGCCAACGAAGGUAAAAGGGUUAGCAAUUUUGAUUCUAAAAGAGAGAAAACAACCUAACAACCAUAAGAUUUUUGGCAAGCGUUCCCCGAACCUUCAUAUCUGACUUGAGCGUCGGAGGGUUUGCGCCGGGAAAACAACCGGCGUACUCUGACCUGUCUGUGUGCGCAGGAACCUCUGGAGAAGAAGCUUUACGAGGAGAGAUCCUGGUCGUGGUGAAGUUGAUCGAGCAGAGACCCUGGUCGUAGAACGAGGAGAACCAGAAUCUCGCAUCAACACGACUUUGUUGGUGCCUUGUGUUCCAGAAACUAGAAUGAUGUGUAGUUUUCAGAUUAAGGGGCUUGUAAAUUCUCUAGUAAGAAUCCAAUAAUUUGCUUUUGCACAUUCAUUUUAUUUGUGGAUCCUUGCAUCUGAAUUUGAUCAAUCCAAAAGGAAUUGCUUUUAGACAGAAGAAGAAUUGCAGUACCUAGCCUACGACAUAGUAAAUGGACCUGCAAACCUGUAACUAUUAGUUUGAGGUAAAAAAUUCAUGACCCUCACAUGUUAACUUCUUCUAGUUACUUUCAUCAAAAACACAUUUAAGAAAUUUGCAAUUUUUUGUUAGUUUUGUAUACCGAUGUUGUUUUCUGUUUUAGCAUUUGUAUAAUCUACUGUAUUAUAUUUUGGCGGUUGCAGUAUCUGAGGUAUCUUUUGCAUUUAACUUGCUUUAUUUGUUUUGCUUGUGACUUAAGAACACCAAUAUUUGCCAGAGAUUUAGAGAAGCAUAUCAAGAUGCUUGGCAAACUUGACAAACUUCAAGAUCCUUCAUUCUUCACGACCCAAAACUUGUGAGUACACUUAUGCCCGCAAUUAUUGUGAAACGCUUGCAAUUUUGAUGCAGCGAAAUGGUUUGUUGAUGCAAAGGUUUAAACUUUUAAGAUUUACACUGCAGGGUAGUUGGAUGCUGUAUAGUCGAACGGCCACCAACAUCAAGAACUAUAACUCCAAGACCGGGUUUGCAUUAAUUCAAUCAGCUGAAAUAAUGAUGCAAAUGACACUAUCAGCUGGACUUAGAGACCAGUCAGAUCAAUCAUCCUUUUAUCAACAGUUAAUGUCAUGAUGGUGUCUAUCGGAGGAAACAAAGGAUGUGUCGGAAUCAAUAUGAACAGUGAGAAGAAUGAGAGGAGCUUUGAUUAUAAGUAGGCUCAAUGAACUCAUGCUGGUAAGUGGUAAUUAAAGAAAUUUGUGCGCUUAGUAGCAUUCAAUAUUUUCUGUUUGGGAUAUAGUUGAUGAGUUGAUACUCUGAUUAAGAAGCCUGAUUAUAGUAGCUGACUUUUUUUUUGUGGUUUGCUGUUGUUUAUUCUUUCGAUUAAUUUCAACAUUAGGUUGAUCUGUUGAAGAACAAACUUGGGUUUGAUUAUGCUUUAACUACAAGGAAGAGCCAGACUUGGAUGCAGGCGUUCAGCUUUUAAUGGGUAAGAACAAAUGUAUGCUUUAACCAUGUUUCUCACUUAUUACAAUGCACACAUUGAAGGCAUCUGAGCUGAUCCUGAAAAUGUGAUGGAAAUACUUCUCUGUUUACAUAAAACAGACAAAUAGAGAUCUCUGAUCAUGCCUGAGAAUUCGUUGCAUUUAAAAUUUCUACCAUUGCCAAAAAUAGAAUAAACUACGGAUACAUUAGCUUAAGACUCAAUUUUGAGAAGGAAGUUUGCACAUGCAGCCUAAAAAAUCACGUCCGUGUUGUAUACUUGUAUGUUUCUUUGGGAAAUGAAAGAUUCUGUGUUCUUUUAUUUCAAGUUUGCUGAAAUCACAUUUGUUUUCUUAGAUGCUUUUGGGAAGGUAACAACAUCAAUUUCAUAAAUGCUGGGGUAAGAUGCAUCACGCAGUGCUACUCAACAUGAGAAUUCCCGGCCGCAUUACCUGUAUGUUGAGUGAUCGCACAGUACAACCUUUAGAAGCUUGUAAGGAGUAGACAACUAGAUGCGAAUAGUUUCAAUAUGGAUUCGCAUCAAAUGAUCUCUUGCCAGUGAUUACUAUAACCUCUAUCCCAAAAUUCUUGGAACUGGUCAUACCAAUAAUGAAGUAUUGUGUACGUUGAAGACGUAGCUCAAGGCCUUGCGAAAGCUCCGUCAGCCUUUGUAUUGGAAAACAGUUGGUUGUAGUUGCUUCUGAAUGAUAUUAUUAAUAGAUACUGUAAAAAUGAAGUGUGCCACUCAUUUUCAGAGCCCUGUUAAGAUGUGUUGGUAAUGUGUUUGAAGGUUGUUUGAUUUGUGUUGUAUUCAGCUAUAAAUCAAAGAUUCAGAACAUGGUUAUGUUACUGGUUUCCAAAUAAAAAAAUUGCCUUGUGAUGUUAGUGUUCAUUGUUUUCACAGGAGAUCAGGUUCCCUGUUGAUGAAUCAAGAAGGCAAACGCAUCCAUGCCUUAAGUUCAAAUGUGUCUCUUCUAUUUUCUAUUACUGACUCCUUUAUUUUGAUUUCUUCAUUGUAAUGGAAUUGGUUUUCAUUCCAAAUUAGUCAAAACCUCCUAGAGUCAUUAAGUUCUGUUAGCAUUUGAAGAUAGAACUAGAACUAAAUGAUUGACUGGAUUAAAUUCCGAUAAAGAAUUAAGUUAUGUAUUUAGAGAUAUUUUGUUUUUUUUUUCAUUUGUUCAAUUUGGUUAGUGGUGAUUUCUUAAAGACUCAAUCCAUGUGCGUUUAUGCAUUUUUCUUUUGCCUUAAUUUCUGUUUCUUGGGGAGUUUAUACAGAUUCUUAUUUUAUGCUUCACAUGCCACAUGAAAGAUCGAAGCAUUUUGUGUGAUUAGAACUGACUUGCAUCACAGUAACUUUAAACCACUGCCACAUUUUUAUAAUAACAGUCUGAGAUCUCCCUGAAGGAUUCAAAGCAUUUUAUUUUAUAUUAACCUCCUUUAAGUGGGUUUCGACACUACCACAAGUUCUUUAAAUACUAAAACGAUUUUGAGUCUUUUGUAUCAUCUGAUUGAAAUACCUGAAAGCACUCGUGGCUGCAAAAAUAUAUCGAUUUUGAGUAUGGCGUGCAUGUAAAUUAUAUCGAUUUUUUCUAUAUGACAAGUAAGACUCUCUUUUACAAUGGCACGGAUGCGUCAUUGAGUAAUCAUGAUUCUUGCUGGUAGUGCUUUGUUGUAUCAAUCUGCUAGCUAUUCAGCUUUCUUUCUUUCUUUCUUCUUUUUUUUUUUUUUUUUUUGUUUUCAAAUAGCUUGUGGUUGUAGAAAUAUUUCAAUUAAACUAUACUUAAGUACUUAUUUAGUAUAACUUCUUUACUAGCCAAAAUAAUUUUUUUUUGGUUUUUUAUAAUUUAAUUAUACUUUAACUAGAGUUUUUGGGAUUAAACAAGUGAUAAUUUCUCUCUAUUAAGAAAAACUCAAAAUUUUUUAAUUACUAGAAUGCGUCUAAAUUAAAUUACAAUUAUAGACACUAAAAUAUAGUAAAUUUUUUUUUUUACUCUUUAAAACUGUCUUUACAUUCGAUAUCAUAUUUUUUUCUUAAAAUCUAAAUUGAUAUUUUUAUUUUAUUUUUGAUUAAUCUUAGAACACAUAUAAAGUGAUUCAUAUUGAUUUUAUACUAACAAACUAUCAUAGCACAUUCGAAAAUAAUUAACUCGUUCUUAUUUGCAUAGUGAAAAAGGCAAAUAGCUCACCCAAAUGUUAAGGAACUGGAGAGCUGCUGCUGGAGACGAAAGGAUGUGAAAAGCAUGGUAAAGAAAAAUUGCAUAAUUCUCACUUAGAAGAGGAAGAAAAAAAAAAUACAAUUAGAAUGAGAGGUAGCCAGUAGCCAGUAGCCGCCACCACCACCAGUCAAACUAUUUCGACACACUAAUACUGUAAUACAUAUCAAAAUGCAAUAUCGGUCCUAACAAAAUGAAAAUAAAAAUUCAUUACGAAUAUGUGUUAAAGAUAUCCCAAGUAUUGAUGUGAUUGAAAUAUUUGAGAUUGAAGUAGAAAUAAGACUCAAAAUCAAUUGAGAGGAAUAAAUGAGAAACUCUAAUACUAAUAAAAUAUAUUCACAAAUCCUAAUGCUAAUUAAAAUCACGGAUUAAAAAAAAUAAUAUGAAUGAAUUACAGGCGCAACUGUUUCAUUAAAAAAUUAAUAAAAUCGUGUAUUAAUAUUUUGUACACAUACAUUUUUCCAUAUAUAACUUUUGGUAAUUUAGUUUUCCACUUAUCAUUUUUACUCCAAAAAAAUAAUUGAGAAUAUUAUUUAUGUUUUGGUGCAAAAUAUUUAAACAACAUAAAAAUUUUCAGUUUAAUAAAUCUAAACAAUUCUCAAGUUAUAAAUGAAUUUAAUGGGUUUAAUUAGUAAAAAUACUAUUAUUUUAUAAAUUGGGUUUAGUAAUGGUAUAUUGGGUAUUUAAAUGGGUUUGUUGAGUAAAUUUUAAAAUUUUAAAGUUCAAGGGUAGGUUUAUUUAGUAAAUGGGUUAAUGCAGCAAUUUUCAAACUAAAUUUUUGGAAAAAGAGGCUAUUGAGUUUUUUUUAAGAAAAAGAAUUAAAAUGUUGAGAAUACCUUUAUUUAAUUUUAUAAUCUAAUUUUAAAAAAUUUACCCAAUAAAUUUUAUAAUUUUUUAUAAAAAUUAUCAUUAACAUCCAAACAGCUGAAGAUUAAAAAAAAAAAAAGAAGGGAACUGUACUAGCAAAAGUUAGAUUAACAAUAAAUUUAGUCCAAAGAAUAAAGUUAUAGCUAAAAAGUGCUCCUAUCCUAUUUUUCUCUAUUUUAACAAUAAUCUUCCAAUCCAUUUUACAAUGGACUUAACAAAUGGGCUCAAUCUCUAAACUUCAUUUUCUUUUGCUAACCCAUGGCCAUUAGCCAGAAAGCCUAAAACAAUUUUAGGAUCACAUGUGUAAAUGGAACCCCAAGAUUGAUCAAGAAUUAACAAGACAAGAUGAAGAGAUGAUCUUGUAACUAAGAAUGAAGAAAUUGAAUCAAGACAGUACUCUAGUAAAACCCAGAAAACAGAGCUUGAAGAAUCACGCACAAAGCAGUAAAUUUGUAAAACCAGAAUUGGAGCUUCACUUCUCAAGAUAGACGAAACAGGAUACAAUCUAGCUUUGGUCAACUUCGUUUGGCCACGUCAUAAAGUCUUCCCCCACAGUCUUUCCCGCCAAAACAGAAAAGCUUUAAAAGCCAUUUACCCUCCUGAGUUACUUGCUCCUAUUACAUCAAGGCCCUGUAAGUCUAUAUUUAUUAUUACAAAAGCACCCUUAAACCGAGAUUUGAGAUAUUUUUUCAAAGAUCGAAGCGCAUGAUUUCACGGCUAUGUUGCAUAGUGAAUUUUAGUGCUUUACAGUUAAGGGAUAGUUUAAAUUCAUUACAAAGCAUUCGCAAAGAAAUUGUUUUUAAAUGAAACUCCUCGUCUUGACCAGAUUAUUUAUUAUUAUUAAAAAAAAAAUGUUCAAAACUUAGCCAAAGUGAUAAACUCGUAAUUAUUCUACAAAGGGAACAAUUUUGAACGGUGGGAAAUUCCAUAAUUAUGCUUUUCUGUGAAUUAUUUUAAAUAAAAUUAUAAAAAUUAAUAUAAAAUUAUAAUAAUGAUAGAGCCACAAACUCUUGUACAAAUUUAUUUUAUACAAACUCAUGUGGCAUGAUAAGAUUGGUUGAAUUAAAUAUUACUUGGCCCACAUGAUUUGUUUUUAUUAUUUUAUAUUUUUAUUCAACCAAUAAAUUAAUACCACGUCAGUUUGUACAAAAUAAAUUUAUACAAAAAUUUGUGACUCGAUCAUCACUCAUAAAAUUAAUACCCGGUAAAGACUGUAGAGAGACAAGUGCCCCCAACAGAAUCAAGUGAAUAUGCCCCACAAAGAUCACAUGAUCAUUUCUGUUCUUUUUCUUUUUGAUAAUUUUAUCUGUGGUUUCAACUUUUAUGCUUUAUUGUCGUAUCCCGUUGAGGGCUCCGCUGCACCCAUUACAACUUACCCCUAAAUUGCCUCUUACUAACUAAACCGUUAGAUUUUAUGGAAGCACGUUCAAUGUUGAAUUUUAAUUAUGUCAUCGAAUUUCGUUUAGCUCCUUAAACUCCAUUUUAUUUGUAAUUUCUUCAUAAAAUAUUCAAAGCUUCAUCAAGCUCCUGAUGGACCAUCAUGGCUAGGGGUGCAUUAGAGCCGAACUGAAAUAUGUUAGUUCAGUUCAGUUUGGUCAGUUUAAAUCGAAUGGUUUAGAAUAUAUAAACUGAUCAAUUUUAAUUUUGAAUUGAACCGAACCGAAAAUCAAUUGGUUCACUAUUAGUAUUUUUGUAUAAACAAGAAUGAUUAGUGAUUAUAAUUAAAUUGGACUAAAAAAAAUUCAAACUAAGGUGAAAAAUAUCAAAUCUUAGACAAUAUAAAAAAAAAUAUUAAAUUUUUUUAACCGAAACGAACCGAAUUAUUUUGACUCAGUUUGGUUCAUAAUUUUUUAAACCAAACUGAUUUAUUCCCACCCCCUAAUCGUGGCUCUCUAUCUUUAGUCAUUCACCCUUGAGUUUGAUGCCAAUUGUUGGGUUUCAAAUGAUUAUACACUCAAAUGGAACCCUCAUAACAAAAAACUAACAGAAACAAUAAGAACACGAUGUUAAAAUCUUAAAUCAAUCGCAAAAAAGCACCCAAAACAGAUCGAUUAGGAACAGUUAAGAACAAAAGAUUUGAUGGUUCAAAAUCAUAAUGUGACCUACGUACUUUCAUCCAAGAAUCAUACUAAUUGCUUUACUAGUUGUCAAACUCAAGAUCACAAGAUUGUUUAUCACUCUACAUAAAAAUUUUUUUUAGAAGAAAUACUCCCCAAUUUUUCUCUUAAUAGUUAUGAAUCAACACCCCUAGGAAGCCUGUUGAUUUACUUUUCCUUAUUUCCUAUGAUCGGUUGCUGCAACUUAAUCCUUGCCAAGCUCCAACAUAGUCCAAACACUUUUAACGGUACAGGCAUAGUGCACCUUCAGAAACUUUACAGCUCCUCUUAAAACCUCAGGCAUCGUAAGCACAUUAAGCAGCCGACAACACUCUUCUUCAUUUCUUCAUUGUCAAUUUCCUUCUUGGAACAUUGCUCCAUUGAGAGUCUGCUAGAAUUGCUCCAAUUAUUAUUAUUAUUUAAAAAAAAAAGAAAACCCUGCAAUAAGAGUAUAAGACUAAGCAACGGUCCUUUUUUUUUCCCCAUUCUUGAACCUAAAGUAUUUGAGUAUGCAAAUUAAUAAAUAAAUUCAUUUAUUUUUAUUAAAAUUUUGUAAAAUUAUAAUUUUUAAUAAAAAUAAUUAUUAAAAUUUUGUAAAAUCUAAAUUUAGAAAAAUUCAGUUGGGCACCUCUAUUUGAGAUUUAUUUUUUAUUAAAUUUAGGGAUAUUUUUAUAAUUAUAAUUUUUAAUUUUAAAAGUUUUUAUAAGAUAAAAUAGUCUUUUAAUUUAUUUAGGGGGUAAAAUUGGUGUUUUAUUAAAAUUAUUUAAUUGUGUUAAUGCAAAAGUGGCUAUUUGAUACAAAUGUGAAAAGAAAGGUGGUGCAAAAUAUAUGUUAAAAUUUUAUAUUGGUUGGAUGAACAUAAGCUAAAAUAAAGGUGGUGCAAUGAUAAUUUCCCUAUCCUAAAACUUAAUUGACUUAAUUCUUACGGUGCAAGGAAGAGGUUUCCAAGUUUAAAUCUAAAGGCUUGUAUUUAAUUUGGGGUUGGGAAAGCACUGAGAAAUAAAUGUAACUAAGGAAAAAAAAAAAGUCACGCAGUCCAAAUAAGUAGAUAUAUUUAAUAUGAGGUGGGGAUGGGUGAACUGUAAUUCAGAAAAAAAUAAAAUAAAAUUUUAUAUAAAGUUGAGGGUGUGUUUUAAUGGUUUCUUAUGCUGCGUUUAUUUUUUGGACUAGAGUGAGAAUUCUAAAAAGUGAGAAUCCUAUGAUUAGGUGUGUGGAGUGGGAGUGGGAGUAUGGUAUUUACUUAGACUAAAUAAAAGUAUGGAUUGUCAAUCAGAAUCUCAAUUAUUUGUUACUUUGUCUUGGAUUGAGAGUAAAUUAUUUUAAAUUACAAUUUUAUCCUUAUGUAAAGAAUUAUAAUUUGUAAUUAAAAAAUUAAUAAAAAUAUAUUGGAAAAUAAAAUAAAUAUUUUAUUAUAUUUAUAAAAUAAUAAUAAUUAAUAAAAUUCUUAAUUAUGUAAAUCAUAAUUUUUUAUUAAUUUAAAUUUAAAUUAUGUGAAUAAAAUUAUUAAUAAUAGCAACACAAAUGAAACAUUAUUAUUAAUAAUAUAGUAUAAAAUUAAUAUUUUUUUAGAAUAAAAUAUUUAUUAUUAUUAAAUAAAUAAAUAAUAUUUAUUAAAAUUAAUGUUUAAUAUUAUUAAUUUAAAUAUAAUAUUUAUUUAUUUUUAUUUUAUUUUAUUAAAUUUAAUAAAAUAAAUAUGUUAUAAUUAUUAUUUUUAAUAAAUAUGAUAUUAUUUAUUUUAUUAAAUAUUAUUUAUUUAUUUUAAUUAUGAGGGUAAAAAUGGAAGAGGGGGAGUGGAUUCCCACUCCCACCUCCCCCCAUGGGAGUGGGAAUCCCACUCUCCCCUUAAAAAUGGUAAGUAAAUAUUAGAAUGGGAAGAAUCUACACUCUACACUUUCUAGAAAAUAAACACUACCUUUAUUUAAAUCGAUUUGUUGGAUAUUUAGCUAAAAUGAGAGUAGCUCUCUAAUAAUUAUUGCAUUAUUACAAACAUAUCCAACGGUUAUAAUAGCGCGCUGAAUCAAUGCUUCAGAAGGAUGACAGUCUGAGUGAAAAGGAAAUAAACGCUUUCAAUUGAAUUACUACCACUACACUCCAAUACUCUAUUAUUGUUUGUGUGCUUGCUUGUGGACCUUUUUACUUCUUACUAUCAUUAUUGAAUUCCAUUUCCAAAUUUUCAGCAUACUUUUGCUUUCUUUCAGUAUCUUCAGUUUCUCUUUUGCUUGCUAUCAAUUCAGUUUUCUUCUUGUGAAGAUCGAACGGAACCAUGGUUGCUGUGGGAGAGAUCUUACUCAACGCCUUCUUUCAGGUGUUGUUUGACAGGUUGGCUUCCCGUGAUUUGCUCAGCUUUGUCCGUCAACUUGGAGGCGGGGACGAUUCCGAGCUCAAGAAGUGGGAAAGAAAGCUGAAGAUGAUUCAGGCGGUGCUCAACGAUGCAGAGGAGAAGCAACUGACCGACGAGGCCGUGAAGAUGUGGCUGGACGAUCUCCAAGACUUGGCUUAUGACGCUGAGGACAUUCUUGAGGAGUUUGCUACUCAAGCUUUGGAAAGCAAGUUGAUGGCGAAAAAUCAGGAUCGCAUUGGCCAGGUUCUUAGUUUCAUACCGGCUAGUUUGAAUCCGAAUGCUAUUAUGUCCAAUUAUAGCAUGGGAUCCAAGAUUAAAGAUAUUACUAGCCGGUUGGAGCAACUCUGCCAAGAUAGAAUUGAACUUGGGCUGCAACGGAUUGCUGGAGGGGCAUCAUCAACUACUUCUGCUGCACAUCAGAGGCGAGACAGUUCGAGUGUCCCAACAGAACGUGAAGUAUUUGGAAGAGAAGAAGAUAAGGCCAAAAUUCUUGAUAUGGUAUUGACCGAUACCCCAAGUGAUCGUGCCAACUUUGUUGUAAUACCCAUUGUUGGCAUGGGCGGGAUAGGAAAAACAACUCUUGCCCGGGAGGUCUACAAUGACAAGGCCGUUGAAGAUUCCAAGUUUGAUGUAAAAGCAUGGGUUUGUGUCUCUGAUGUCUUUGAUAUUUUGGGCAUCUCAAAGGCACUUCUCCAGUCAAUCACCUCCGCAGCUAGUGAUCUCAAGACUUUAAAUGAGGUGCAGGUUCAACUGAAAAAAGCAGUUGACGGAAAAAGAUUCUUGCUGGUCUUAGAUGAUGUUUGGAACGAGAACUACAACUUGUGGGAAGACUUAAAAGCUCCGUUCCUGGAUGCUGCACCAAACAGCAAGAUGAUCGUCACCACACGCAAUUCAAGUGUUGCAUCAACAAUGAGACCCAUUGAACAUUUCAAUCUCAAGAGUCUGUUGGAUGACGAUUGCUGGUCCAUUUUUAUAAAGCAUGCAGUUGAAGGUGGAGAUCUUAACGAGGAUCAAAUUUCAGAAUCAUUCCGCAAGAAAGUUGUUGGCAAGUGUGGAGGCUUGCCUCUGGCAGCAAAAACUCUCGGGGGCCUUCUGCGUACGACGAGGCAUGAUGGGUGGGAUGGUAUAUUGGAUAGCAAAAUAUGGGAAUUACAUCAACAUAGCAGCAUUCUCCCUGUGUUAAGAUUGAGUUACCAUCAUCUUCCGUCUCAUUUGAAAAGAUGUUUUGCUUUUUGUGCCAUCUUUCCAAAAGAUUAUGAAUUCACUGAGAAGGAGCUGACUUUCUUAUGGAUGGCUGGAGGUAUUAUUCGACAGUCAAGAAACAAUGAGCAGCUGGAAGAUUUGGGCAGCAAGUGCUUUGGUGAUCUAGUGUCAAGGUCAAUUUUUCAACAAACAGCAAUCUCUGAUAGUUCUAAAUUUGUAAUGCACGACCUUAUCCAUGAUCUUGCUGAAUUGGUCUCUGGAGGAACCAUAUUUAGGUCAGAGGAGGCCAAUACUCUAUCAAGAAGAUUUGAAAGGGUUCGCCAUUCUUCCUAUACCCGUGAUUGGUAUGAUGGUAAAAAUAAGUUCGAGGUUUUCAAUGAAAUUGAACAUCUACGAACAUUCUUGCCGUUAAGAGGUAACUAUUGUACUAGUUACAUAACUCGACCGAUUCUAUCUGAUAUGCUGCCAAAGUUCAAAAGGUUGAGAACGCUAUCUUUACAAGGAUACUGUAUUGGUGAGUUACCAAUUCCAUUUGAAGAUUUGAGACUUUUAAGGUUCCUCAACCUUGCUGACACUGACAUAAGAAGUUUACCUGACUCAACAUGCAAAUUGCUGAACUUGGAAAUUCUGAUAUUAAGAAAUUGUUCCCGUUUGAUAAAGCUUCCGCAGAAAAUGAGGAAUUUGAUCAAUUUAUGCCAUCUGGAUAUAAGAGGUGCGAAGUUGCUGAAGGAGAUGCCAGUCGGAAUGAAAGAGCUGAAGAAGCUUCAAACAUUGUCCAAUUUUAUUGUAGGCAAGGGUGAAUCCGCAUCUGGUUUGGAAGAUUUAAAAAGUUUAAACCUUCUUUGUGAUGAACUUUGCAUUGCUGGAUUAGAGAAUGUGAAUAAUCCACAGAAUGCAAGAGAAGCCGCAUUAUGUGAGAAGCACAAUCUUGAAGCAUUGACUCUAACAUGGUGGCCUCAAUUUGACAGUCCUCGAGGUGUAGUAGUGGAAGAGAAUGUACUUGACGUUUUGCAGCCUCAUAAAUGUAUAAAAAAGGUGGCAAUCAGGAACUAUGGUGGUGCAAGAUUUCCACCUUGGAUAGGAGAUACUUUAUUCUCCAAGAUAGAGCUCCUUGAAUUGAAGAACUGUGACAAUUGUGUGUCUUUGCCAUCGCUUGGCCUAUUGAGUUCACUUAAACACCUUGCUGUUAAAGGGCUGAAGAAACUAAAAAGCAUAGAGUCUGAGGUUUAUGGGGAGGGUUUGUCAAUGCCUUUUCCAUCGUUGGAGGUUCUAAGUUUUGAGAAUUUGCCUGAAUGGGAGUAUUGGGACACCAAUAUCAGAGGAAAUGUGCUCGUUGAAAUGUUUCCUCGUCUCCAUAAACUUUCCAUUGUGGAAUGUCCAAAACUCUCUGGGGAACUGCCUGAGCUCCUGCCCUCCUUGGAGACACUUGUUGUUAUUAAAUGUGAAAAUUUGGUAGUUCCAUUGUCUCGCUAUCCGAUGCUCUGCAGAUUAGAAGUUGAUGAGUGCAAGGAACUAGCGUGCGGGACUCCAAUUGAUUUCAAGUUGAUAAAGUCUGUGACUAUUUCAAAUAGUUCCUUAGACAUGGAUGGAUGCAAGGGGAUGCUAUACGAUGGUCCAGCUAGCUCUUCACUGCCAAAGCCCACGAUUACUACAAAUGUUUUGGAGUUUGGAAAAUUAUUGAAGCCUGGAUUUCAGAUAUUAGAAACGUUGGUAAUUGGCAAUUCUGAACAGCUCAAGUCAUGGAGGCAGCAUGGGGAUUUUCUAGAAGAAUAUAUGGUCGCUCGCCAAAGGUUUAAGAAACCAGUACAAGGGCUGAAUAUGCUCGCUUCCCCUGAAGAGGUAACAAUUGAAGAAAGUUGCGUACGUCUUGUUUUGUUUCCAGAGAUCAAUUUCUUUCCCAGAAAUCUGCGCUCUCUUCUAAUUAACAACAACACUGCUUUCAAAUCCUUACCCGAGGAAAUGAUGGAAAACAAUUCACAACUCGAAAGGUUGUAUAUCAGAGAUUGCGACUCUCUAACAUUCAUCGCAAGACGGAGGCUACCAGCAUCUCUUAAAAGGCUUGAGAUAGAAAAUUGUGAGAAAUUGCAACGUCUGUUCGAUGAUGAAGAGGAUGCUUCUUCUUCUUCUUCUCCUUCAUCCUCGUCUUCCCCAGUGAUGCUGCAACGCCUGAAUAUAAAGAACUGCCCAGAGCUCACCAGUUUAUCAUCGGGUGUCCAAUUCCUUGAGGCGCUUGAAGGCCUCGAGAUAUGGGAUUGUCCAAAGCUGGAGUCAAUACCGGAUGGCCUGCACAAUCUUAAAUGUUUACAGAGCAUUCAUAUAGAUGGAUGUCCAAGUCUUGUUUCCUUGCCCAAUGACAUGCACAAACUGAACUCUCUUCGAGAUUUAAACAUACGGGCGUGUCCAAUAUCGUUUCCAGAAGAAGGUUGUCCUACCAAUCUAACAUCACUUACACUUGGAUAUGUCGAAAUGUAUAAGACACUCGUCCAGUGGGGGUUGCACAGGCUUACCUCUCUUAGAAGCCUCGACAUUUUUGGAUGUGAUGAUGAAGCAGAGUGUUUUCCAGACGAGGAGAUAGGAAUGACGCUGCCCACCUCUCUCACUCAUCUGCACCUUUUUGAUUUCGAAAAAUUGAGAUCUCUGUCUUCGACGGGUUUUCAGAGCCUCACCUCUCUUCAAUCUUUGGAUAUCUGGUUUUGCCCAAAUCUCACAUCAUUCCCAAAGGUGGGCUUUCCAUCCUCACUUGUGGAAUUACGCAUUAGAGAUUGUCCAAAGCUUAAAAAAGCGUGCAAAAGAGAUCAAGGAAAAGAGUGGCCCAAAAUUGCUCACAUCCCUUGCGUUGAGAUAGACGAUAAAUUCAUAUACCAUCCAAAAUCAGAGGUGUAGAGUGUAUUAUUAAGGUCAGUUGAUUUAUGUUAUCCACCAUAACAAGCUCCUCCUUUUUUUUUAAAUAAUAAUUUUGCAGUCACUCGCGUGAUUCCGUUUUCACAAGUCAGAUUGUAUGUUGAGGCUAUUUGCCUUUUAAUCGCAGAUUAAAUUAUAACACUUAUCUUAAAAUUUAAUACCAUAGACAGAUAGACGAUUUUUUAAUCCAAAGUUUUUUUAUUCACUUCAGUUAGCAUUUUUUUUUUCCCCAAAUCAUGCAAGCCGAGAGUUUCAAUCAACAGAAUUUUAUUCACUCAUUGACUUUUCAACUGCUGUGGUUAUUUAUGGGUGAAAGAUAAAUUUCUUAGAUGGUAGAUAUAUCGACAUUUUAGAUUUCAGAUAUUUGUCACCAAUUUCAUUCCUUUUUUUAAAAUUUUUUUUAAGCAAGUUUGACUAAUUUUAACCAGAAUUGGAGUAUAAUAUUUUGGAGCAAGCAUACUUGAAAUUUCUGUCUUCAAUUUUUUUGAUGCUUUUUUAAUUUUGAUCUAGUAAAAAUACAUAGCCUUCACCGGCAGGAUUCUAGUCUUGGCUUUCACCUCUCUAACUCAUCUGUCCCUAUUGGGAUUCCAGAAAUUUAAAUUUCUGUCUUCAAUGGGUUUUCAAAGCCUCACCUCUCUUCGAUUUUUGUGGAUUGGGAAUUGCACAAAUCUCACAUCAUUUCCCGAGGUCGAGGAAAAGAGCGGCCCAAACUAUCAGCGGUGUUGAUUCUCUUAUUAAGGUCAGCUGAUUUCUAUUAUCCACUCUGACAAUCUCCUAUUAGUGUUUUUUUUUUAAAAAAUUUGCAGUUCUGUAUAAUUGAAAUGCCACUCACUUGUUUCCUUCUUCACAGGUCAGAUAGUAUGUUAAAGCUAUUAGUGCUGCCUCAUAGGUUGAUUACUCACAGAUGAAAUCAUAACUUUUAUCUUAAAAUUUAAUAGCAUACACAGAUAGACGAUUUUUAGUCCAAAGUUUUUUUUAUUCACUUCAAUCAAAAUUUUAGAUUGCAGAUUUUUGUCGAGUAUUUUCAUUCCAAUUUUUUCAUUUUUUAUUUUAAACCAGAAUUGGAGUAUAAAAUUUUGGAGCGCGCAUACUCUGAUGCAUGCAAUUAACUGUUUUUAAUCGUUGGAUUUUGAAAUUAAUGAUGGUAAGAUGUGUACUUAUUCUUUCUUCCAACAACCUUGCCUUCUUUCUUCGGUCGCAUAUCUAAUGAAUAUUUCUCUGUUUAGUUAAGGAUGAAUGCUUGGAGUGGGGUACUUGGUAACAUUUCUGCCUUAGAUGAAUCCUUGAAGAAAUGCCCGCAGUUCCUGAGACCAAAUACAGGUCUGAUUCAAAACAGCACCUUUCCCAGAAAAUAUGAUCCAAGGCAAAGUCAUGUUCUGAUAAUGUUUCCUUAAGUACUAAGUUGCAAGGAAACUUGAUUCAUUAACUACAGUUUUUUAUUUUUAGGACCUUGUAUCUGAAAGGUUCAGUGUUUUUUUUUUUCAAAUUUAUUGUUCAGAUCUCAGAGGAGUAUAUGGUUUAGAUUACAAAACACCCAUGAUUAAUUUCAUUUUUUUUUUAAUUUCAGGGAGAAGAAGUGGUCAGUUUCAAUCCGGAAUUGGAAUAUGGCAAUUUGGUUCAAGCAAACACACCUGGUCACUUGGUCAGUGGUCACUUGGUCAGCGAACCUGAACUUUACGCAGUUUUUUCAACUCAGUGAUUUUUGGAACGCAUAUUGGUGUAAGGAAAUCAAAAGAAAUUUAUGCAUUGUCAAAUUCUGAUAUUUGCUAUAUAUUAUACAUUCUAAAGUUUCUCCAGUUUGUUCUCAGAUUACCAUCAUUUUUUGCUUUCACCAACCAAACAAAAACAAAAUGAGUGGCUUUCCGGUGGAUAUUUAAUCGGAGGUAUGACUGGAUUUUUUUCACUUCUGUAAAUCUUGCAUUUUAAACUGGCAAAUUUAACUUUAAUUUUAAUAGGACUUUGUUGGUACCUUGUGUUCCAGAAACUAGAAAGAUGUGUAGUUUUCAGAUAAAGGGGCUUGUAAAUUCUCUAGUAAGAAUCCAAUAAUUUGCUUUUGCACGUUCAUUUUAUUUGUGGAUCCUUGCAUCUGAAUUUGAUCAAUCCAAAAGGAAUUGCUUUUAGACAGAAGAAGAAUAGCAGUACCUAGCCUAUGACAUAGUAUAUGGACCUGCAAACCUGAAACUAUUAGUUUGAGGUAAAAAAUUCAUGACCCUCACAUGUUAACUUCUUCUAGUUACUUUCAUGAAAAACACAUUUAAGAAAUUUGCAAUUUUUUGUUAGUUUCGUAUCCGAUGUUGUUUUCUGUUUUAGCAUUUGUAGAAUCUACUGUAUUAUAUUUUGGCAGUUGCAGUAUCUGAGGUAUGUUUUGCAUUUAACUUGCUUUGUUUGUUUUGCUUGUGACUUAAGAACACCAAUAUUUGCCAGAGAUUUAGAGAAGCAUAUCAAGAUGCUUGGCAAACUUGACAAACUUCAAGAUCCUCCAUUCUUCACAACGCAAAACUUGUGAGUACACCUAUGCCCGCAAUUAUUGUGAAAUGCUUGCAAUUUUGAUGCACUGAAAUGGUUUGUUGAUGCAAAGGUUUAAACUUUUAAGAUUCACCCUGCAGGGUAGUUGGAUGCUGUAUAAUCGAAAAGCGACCAACAUCAAGAAUUAUGACUCCAAGACCGGGUUUGCAUUAAUUCAAUCAGCUGAAAUCAUGAUGCAAAUGACACUAUCAGCUGGACUUAGAGACCAGUCAGAUCAAUCAUCCUUUUAUCAACAGUUAAUGUCAUGAUGGUGGCUAUCGGAGGAAACAAAGGAUGUGUCGGAAUCAAUAUGAACAGUGAGAAGAAUGAGAGGAGCUUUGAUUACAAGUAGGCUCAAUGAACUCAUGCUGGUAAGUGGUAAUUAAAGAAAUUUGUACGCUUAGUAGAGUUUCAAUAUUUUCUGUUUGGGAUAUAGUUGAUAAUUUGAUACUCUGAUUAAGAAGCCUGAUUAUAGUAGCUGACUUUUUUUUUGUGGUUUGCUGUUGUUUAUUCUUUCGAUUAAUUUCAACAUUAGGUUGAUCUGUUGAAGAACAAACUUGGGUUUGAUUAUGCUUUAACUACAAGGAAGAGCCAGGCUUGGAUGCAGGCGUUCAGCUUUUAAUGGGUAAGAACAUAUGUAUGCUUUAACCAUGUUUCUCACUUAUUACAAUGCAUGCAUUGAAGGCAUCUGAGCUGAUCCUGAAAAUGUGAUGGAAAUACUUCUCUGUUUACAUAAAACAGGACAAGAGAUCUCUGAUCAUGCCUGAGAAUUCGUUGCAUUUAAAAUUUCUACCAUUGCCAAAAAUAGAAUAAACUAGGGAUAGAUUAGCUUAAGACUCAAUUUUGAGAAGGAAGUUUGCACAUGCAGCCUAAAAAAUCAUGUCCGUGUUGUAUACUUGUAUGUUUCUUUGGGAAAUGAAAGAUUCUGUGUGUUCUUUUGUUUCAAGUUUGCUGAAAUCACAUUUGUUUUCUUAGAUGCUUUUGGGAAGGUAACAACAUCAAUUUCAUAAAUGCUGGGGUAAGAUGCAUCACGCAGUGCUACUCAACAUGAGAAUUCCCGGCCGCAUUACCUGUAUGUUGAGUGAUCGCACAGUACAACCUUUAGAAGCUUGUAAGGAGUAGACAACUAGAUGCGAAUAGUUUCAAUAUGGAUUCGCAUCAAAUGAUCUCUUGCCAGUGAUUACUAUAACCCCUAUCCCAAAAUUCUUGGCAUUGGUCAUACCAAUAAUGAAGUAUUGUGUACGUUGAAGACAUAGCUCAAGGCCUUGCGAAAGCUCCGUCAGCCUUUGUAUUGGAAAACAGUUGGUUGUAGUUGCUUCUGAGUGAUAUUAUUAAUAGAUACUGUAAAAAUGAACUGUGCCACUCAUUUUCAGAGCCCUGUUAAGAUGUGUUGGUAAUGUGUUUGAAGGUUGUUUGAUUUAUGUUGUAUUCAGCUACAAAUCAAAGAUUCAGAACAUGGUUAUGUUACUGGUUUCCAAAUCAAAAAAAUGCCUUGUGAUGUUAGUGUUCAUUUUUUUCACAGGAGAUCAGGUUCCCUGUUGAUGAAUCAAGAAGGCAAACGCAUCCAUGUCUUAAGUUCAAAUGUGUCUCUUCUAUUUUCUAUUACUGACUCCUUUAUUUUGAUUUCUUCAUUGUAAUGGAAUUGGUUUUUUAUUCCAAAUUAGUCAAAACCUCCUAGAGUCAUUAAGUUCUGUUAGCAUUUGAAGAUAGAACUAGAACUAAAUGAUUGACUGGAUUAAAUUCCGAUAAAGAAUUAAGUUAUAUAUUUAGAGAUAUUAUGUUUUUUUUUUUUUCAUUUGUUCAAUUUGGUUAGUGGUGAUUUCUUAAAGACUCAAUCCAUGUGCGUUUAUGCAUUUUUCUUUUGCCUUAAUUUCUGUUUCUUGGGGAGUUUAUACAGAUUCUUAUUUUAUGCUUCACAUGCCACAUGAAAGAUCGAAGCCUUUUGUGUGAUUAGAACUGACUUGCAUCACAGUAACUUUAAAUCACUGCGACAUUUUUAUAAUAACAGUCUGAGAUCUCCCUGCAGGAUUCAAAGCAUUUUAUUUUAUAUUAAACUCCUUUACGUGGGUUUGGACACUACCACAAGUUCUUUAAAUACUAAAACGAUUUUAAGUCUUUUGUAUCAUCUGAUUUAAAUACAUGAAAGCACUCGUGGCUGCAAAAAUACAGUUGGGGCUAUUUCUAAAGUCUUCAACAGCAUUUUCUUUUUAACCUUUAUCCUCAUGGUUGUUUUUGCAGUUGUUCUUUAAGAAAACAUUUAAAAGGUUCUCUUUAUGGAUUUUUGAAAAUAAUUUUAACAUGAGCAAUUUUCAGAAGCACUUUAGAUGUCUGGCAUUUAGGAAAUUUUAUUUCGGUGUCACAUAAAAUACUUAGGAAGUUAAAUUUAUUUAUUUAUGAGCAUGUGCCAGUGCCCAGUGGCAUCCUCUUCACUUGUGAUAGUCAAAUGUAUUAUACGAUACAAUAUUAGCUUGACUGUAGCACAGAGGAGAAUAGGGUUGGUGUUGGUCUGAACCAGCUUAUGUAACAGCUGCCAAAGGAUAAUUUAAUUGUACUUUGAGUAAAGCUUUUGCGAAUUAAACAAGUGAUAAUUUGUUUUUAUUAAGAAAAACUUAAGGAAUUAGGCUAUUUUAACUGACCAAAUUACACAUUAAAAAUUCAUUUACAAAAAUAGUUUUUAGUUAUUAAAAUAUUCCUAAAUUAAAUUAUAAUUAUGGACACUAAAAUAUUUUUUUUAUAUUUUACUCUUUGAAACUGUCUUUAUAUUCGAUAUUAUAUUUUUUUCUUAAACUCUAAAUUGAUUUUUUUUUUUGAUUAAUUUUAAAACACCUAUAAAGUGAUUCAUAUUGAUUUUAUACUAACAAACUAUUAUAGCACAUUCGAAAAAUAAUUAAAUCGUUCUUAUUUACAUAGUGAAAAUGCAAAUAGCUCGUUCAAAUGUUAAGGAAUUGGAGAGCUGCUGCUGGAGAUGAAAGAUGUGAAUUAAACAUCAGAAAAAAAAUUAUGUUUACUAUCUUGCCAGACCAAGCACCGAAAAGCAUCGUAAAGAAAAAUUAGAUAAUUUAGAAGAUAAAGCACGUGGAAUGGAGGCAGAAAGCAAGUAAUGAUAACUCUUUCGACAAACUAAUAUAUACCAAAAUGCAAUAUCAAAAAUGAAAAUAAAAAUUCAUUACGAAUACGUGUUAAAGAUAUCCCAAGUAUAGAUGUGACUGAAAUAUUUGAGAUUGAAGAAGAAUUAAGACUCAAAAUCAAUUGGGAGGAAUAAAUGAGAAACCUCAAUACCAAAAAAUACACGCGCAAAUCCUAAUACUAAUUGUAAUUGCAGAUAAAUAGCAUAAUACGAAUAAAUUCCAUGGGCAACUAUUUCAUUGAGAAAUUAAUUAAAUCGUGUAUUAAUAUUUUGUAUACAUAUAUUUUUCUAUAUAUGACUUUCGGUAAUUUAAUUUUCCACUUAUCAUUUUUACUCCAAAAAAAUAAUUGAGAAUAUUAUUUAUGUUUUGGUGCAAAAUAUUUGAACAAUAUACAAAUUUUCAGUUUAAUAAAUCUAAACAUCUAUUAAGUUAUAAAUGAAUUUAAUGGGUUUAAUUAAUAAAAUUACUAUUAUUAUAUAAAUUGGAUUUAGUAAUGGUACAUUGGGUGGGUUUGUUGAGUAAAUUUUAAAAUUUUGAAAUUUAAGGAUGGGUUUAUUUAGUAAAUGAGUUAAGGGAGUAGUUUGUUGGGAUUCACAUAACGCCACCAAAUUCAAAUGUAAAAUUUAUGGAAAAAGAAGCUAUUGAGUUAUUCUUUUUAAAAAAAGAAUUAAAAUGUCAAGAAUACCUUUAUUUAAUUUUAUAAUCUUAUUUUAUAGUCAUAUUUUAUUUCCACCUUAACAUAAUUUUAAAAAACCUUAACUAAUAAAUUCUAUAUUUUUUUUAUAAAAGUUAUCAUUAAUAUCCAAACGGCUAAAGAUUUUUUUUUUUAAAAAAAAAGAAACUAUGCUUACAAAAGUUGUAUACAUUAACAAUAAAUUUAGUCCAAAGAAUAAAGUUAUUCCAAACAAGCACUCCUAUUCAUCUUGCUAAUGAAUCAAGAUGACUGAAUCCAUUCUCUAAGCCAAAUCUAUUUUCACUUCUAGGUCAGAAAUUGUCAUUAAAAAAGUGUUUGAUAAAAUAUGCUCUGGGAACACUAAUUCGUCAGAUGGUUACUCCAAGUUUAUGAAAUCAAUGGGGUUUCAUCAUAUUCAUAACAUUCUUCUUUAAUGUCUAUUCUAACAAAGAAAUUACUAGAAAACUUUUACUAGAAAAACUAACCACAAUUCAUCAUUCAUUUAUAUCUUAAGUAAGCGUAAGAUUUUAUCAUUAAAAUCUCAUCAUGAAAAAACUCAUGGGAGAAAAACUAUAAAAAUUGAAGAAAAAAGAGUAUGGCGUGCAUGUAAAUUAUAUCGAUUUUAUCUAUAUGACAAAUAAGACUCUCUUUUACAAUGGCACGGAUGCUUCAUUGAGUAAUCAUGAUUCUUGCUGGUAGUGCUUUGUUGUAUCAAUCUGCUAGCUAUUCAGCUUUCUUUCUUUCUUUCUUCUUUUUAUUUUUUUUGUUUUCAAAUAGCUUGUGGUUGUAGAAAUAUUUCAAUUAAACUAUACUUAAGUACUUAUUUGGUAUAACUUCUUUACUAGCCAAAAGAUUUUUUUUUUGGUUUUUUAUAAUUUAAUUAUACUUUAACUAGAGUUUUUGGGAUUAAACAAGUGAUAAUUUCUCUCUGUUAAGAAAAACUCAAACGGUAGGGUUAUCUCAAUCCACCAAACUAUUUAUUAAAAAUCCACUUAUGAAAAUAAUUUUUAAUUAUUAGAAUGCCUCUAAAUUAAAUUACAAUUAUAGACACUAAAAUAUAGUAAAAAAAAUUUUUUUUUACUCUUUAAAACUGUCUUUACAUUCGAUAUCAUAUCUUUUUCUUAAAAUCUAAAUUGAUUUUUUUUUUAUUAAUCUCAGAACACAUAUGAAGUGAUUCAUAUUGGUUUUAUACUAACAAACUAUCAUAGCACAUUCGAAAAUAAUUAACUCGUUCUUAUUUGCAUAGUGAAAAGGCAAAUAGUUCAUCCAAAUGUUAAAGAAUUGGAGAGCUGCUGCUGGAGAUGAAAGAUGUGAAAAGCAUGGUAAAGAAAAAUUACAUAAUUCUCACUUAGAUGAGGAAGAAAAAAAAAAGAAUACAAUUAGAAUGAGAGGUAGCCAAUAGCCACUAGCCGCCGCCACCGCCACCAGUGAAACUAUUUCACAUAAUAGAAGAUAAAGCACGCGUAAUGGAGGCAAAAAGCAAUUAAUGAUAACUCUUUUCGACACACUAAUACAUAUCAAAAUGCAAUAUCGGUCCUAACAAAAUGAAAAUAAAAAUUCAUUACGAAUAUGCGUUAAACAUAUCCCAAGUAUUGAUGAUGUGAUUGAAAUAUUUGAGAUUGAAGUAUAAAUAAGACUCAAAAUUAAUUGAGAGGAAUAAAUGAGAAACUCUAAUACUAAUAAAAUACAUUCACAAAUCCUAAUGCUAAUUAAAAUCACGGAUUAAAAAAAAUAAUAUGAAUGAAUUACAGGCGCAACUGUUUCAUUAAGAAAUUAAUUAAAUCGUGUAUUAAUAUUUUGUACACAUACAUUUUUCCAUAUAUAACUUUUGGUAAUUUAGUUUUCCACUUAUCAUUUUACUCCAAAAAAAUAAUUGAGAAUAUUAUUUAUGUUUUGGUGCAAAAUAUUUAAACAACGUAUAAAUUUUCAGUUUAAUAAAUCUAAACAUUUCUCAAGUUGUAAAUGAAUUUAAUGGGUUUAGUUAGUAAAAAUGCUAUUAUUAUAUAAAUUGGGUUUAGUAAUGGUAUAUUGGGCAUUUAAAUGGGUUUGUUGAGUAAAUUUUAAAAUUUUAAAAUUUAAGGGUGGGUUUAUUUUAGUAAAUGGGUUAAGGCAGCAAUUUCCCAAACUAAAAUUUUUAGAAAAAGAGGCUAUUUAGUUUUUUUUUUUAAAAAGAAUUAAGAUGUUGAGAAUACCUUUAUUUACUUUUAUAAUCUUAUUUUAAAAAAUUUACCCAAUAAAUUUUAUAAUUUUUUACAAAAAUUAUCAUUAACAUCCAAACAGCUAAAGAUUAAAAAAAAAAAAAAAGAAGGGAACUGUACUAGCAAAAGUUAGAUUAACAAUAAAUUUAGUCCAAAGAAUAAAGUUAUAGCUAAAAAGUGCUCCUAUCCUAUUUUUCUCUAUUUUAACAAUAAUCUUCCAAUCCAUUUUACAAUGGACUUAACAAAUGGGCUCAAUCUCUAAACUUCAUUUUCUUUUGCUAACCCAUGGCCAUUAGCCAGAAAGCCUAAAACAAUUUUAGGAUCACAUGUGUAAAUGGAACUCCAAGAUUGAUCAAGAAUUAACAAGACAAGAUGAAGAGAUGAUCUUGUAACUAAGAAUGAAGAAAUUGAAUCAAGACAGUACUCUAGUAAAACCCAGAAAACAGAGCUUGAAGAAUCACGCACAAAGCAGUAAAUUUGUAAAACCAGAAUUGGAGCUUCACUUCUCAAGAUAGACGAAACAGGAUACAAUCUAGCUUUGGUCAACUUCGUUUGGCCACGUCAUAAAGUCUUCCCCCACAGUCUUUCCCGCCAAAACAGAAAAGCUUUAAAAGCCAUUUACCCUCCUGAGUUACUUGCUCCUAUUACAUCAAGGCCCUGUAAGUCUAUAUUUAUUAUUACAAAAGCACCCUUAAACCGAGAUUUGAGAUAUUUUUUCAAAGAUCGAAGCGCAUGAUUUCACGGCUAUGUUGCAUAGUGAAUUUUAGUGCUUUACAGUUAAGGGAUAGUUUAAAUUCAUUACAAAGCAUUCGCAAAGAAAUUGUUUUUAAAUGAAACUCCUCGUCUUGACCAGAUUAUUUAUUAUUAUUAAAAAAAAAUGUUCAAAACUUAGCCAAAGUGAUAAACUCGUAAUUAUUCUACAAAGGGAACAAUUUUGAACGGUGGGAAAUUCCAUAAUUAUGCUUUUCUGUGAAUUAUUUUAAAUAAAAUUAUAAAAAUUAAUAUAAAAUUAUAAUAAUGAUAGAGCCACAAAUUCUUGUACAAAUUUAUUUUAUACAAACUCAUGUGGCAUGAUAAGAUUGGUUGAAUUAAAUAUUACUUGGCCCACAUGAUUUGUUUUUAUUAUUUUAUAUUUUUAUUCAACCAAUAAAUUAAUACCACGUCAGUUUGUACAAAAUAAAUUUAUACAAAAAUUUGUGACUCGAUCAUCACUCAUAAAAUUAAUACCCGGUAAAGACUGUAGAGAGACAAGUGCCCCCAACAGAAUCAAGUGAAUAUGCCCCACAAAGAUCACAUGAUCAUUUCUGUUCUUUUUCUUUUUGAUAAUUUUAUCUGUGGUUUCAACUUUUAUGCUUUAUUGUCGUAUCCCGUUGAGGGCUCCGCUGCACCCAUUACAACUUACCCCUAAAUUGCCUCUUACUAACUAAACCGUUAGAUUUUAUGGAAGCACGUUCAAUGUUGAAUUUUAAUUAUGUCAUCGAAUUUCGUUUAGCUCCUUAAACUCCAUUUUAUUUGUAAUUUCUUCAUAAAAUAUUCAAAGCUUCAUCAAGCUCCUGAUGGACCAUCAUGGCUAGGGGUGCAUUAGAGCCGAACUGAAAUAUGUUAGUUCAGUUCAGUUUGGUCAGUUUAAAUCGAAUGGUUUAGAAUAUAUAAACUGAUCAAUUUUAAUUUUGAAUUGAACCGAACCGAAAAUCAAUUGGUUCACUAUUAGUAUUUUUGUAUAAACAAGAAUGAUUAGUGAUUAUAAUUAAAUUGGACUAAAAAAAAUUCAAACUAAGGUGAAAAAUAUCAAAUCUUAGACAAUAUAAAAAAAAAUAUUAAAUUUUUUUAACCGAAACGAACCGAAUUAUUUUGACUCAGUUUGGUUCAUAAUUUUUUAAACCAAACUGAUUUAUUCCCACCCCCUAAUCGUGGCUCUCUAUCUUUAGUCAUUCACCCUUGAGUUUGAUGCCAAUUGUUGGGUUUCAAAUGAUUAUACACUCAAAUGGAACCCUCAUAACAAAAAACUAACAGAAACAAUAAGAACACGAUGUUAAAAUCUUAAAUCAAUCGCAACGGUCCUUUUUUUUCCCCAUUCUUGAACCUAAAGUAUUUGAGUAUGCAAAUUAAUAAAUAAAUUCAUUUAUUUUUAUUAAAAUUUUGUAAAAUUAUAAUUUUUAAUAAAAAUAAUUAUUAAAAUUUUGUAAAAUCUAAAUUUAGAAAAAUUCAGUUGGGCACCUCUAUUUGAGAUUUAUUUUUUAUUAAAUUUAGGGAUAUUUUUAUAAUUAUAAUUUUUAAUUUUAAAAGUUUUUAUAAGAUAAAAUAGUCUUUUAAUUUAUUUAGGGGUAAAAUUGAUGUUUUAUUAAAAUUAUUUAAUUGUGUUAAUGCAAAAGUGACUAUUUGAUACAAAUGUGAAAAGAAAGGUGGUGCAAAAUAUAUGUUAAAAUUUUAUAUUGGUUGGAUGAACAUAAGCUAAAAUAAAGGUGGUGCAAUGAUAAUUUCCCUAUCCUAAAACUUAAUUGACUUAAUUCUUAUGGUGCAAGGAAGAGGUUUCCAAGUUUAAAUCUAAAGGCUUGUAUUUAAUUUGGGGUUGGGAAAGCACUGAGAAAUAAAUGUAACUAAGGAAAAAAAAAAAGUCAUGCAGUCCAAAUAAGUAGACAUAUUUAAUAUGAGGUGGGGAUGGGUGAACUGUAAUUCAGAAAAAAUAAAAUAAAAUUUCAUAUAAAGUUGAGGGUGUGUUUUAAUGGUUUCUUAUGCUGCGUUUACUUUUUGGACUAGAGUGAGAAUUCUGAGAAGUGGGAAUCCUGUGAUUAGGUGUGUGGAGUGGGAAUGAGAGUAGGGUAUUUACUUAGACUAAAUAAAAAUAUGGAUUGUCAAUCAGAAUCUCAAUUAUUUGUUACUUUGUCUUGGAUUGAGAGUAAAUUAUUUUAAAUUACAAUUUUAUCCUUAUGUAAAGAAUUAUAAUUUGUAAUUAAAAAAUUAAUAAAAAUAUAUUGGAAAAUAAAAUAAAUAUUUUAUUAUAUUUAUAAAAUAAUAAUAAUUAAUAAAAUUCUUAAUUAUGUAAAUCAUAAUUUUUUAUUAAUUUAAAUUUAAAUUAUGUGAAUAAAAAUUAUUAAUAAUAGCAACACAAAUGAAACAUUAUUAUUGAUAAUAUAGUAUAAAAUUAAUAUUUUUUUAGAAUAAAAUAUUUAUUAUUAUUAAAUAAAUAAAUAAUAUUUAUUAAAAUUAAUGUUUAAUAUUAUUAAUUUAAAUAUAAUAUUUAUUUAUUUUUAUUUUAUUUUAUUAAAUUUAAUAAAAUAAAUAUGUUAUAAUUAUUAUUUUUAAUAAAUAUGACAUUAUUUAUUUUAUUAAAUAUUAUUUAUUUAUUUUAAUUAUGAGGGUAAAAAUAAAAGAGGGGGAGUGGAUUCCCACUCCCACCUCCCCCCAUGGGAGUGGGAAUCCCACUCUCCCCUUAAAAAUGAUAAGUAAACACUAGAAUGGGAAGAAUCCACACUCUACACUUUCUAAAAAAUAAACACUACCUUAAUUUAAAUUGAUUUGUUGGAUAUUUAGCUAAAAUGAGAGUAGCUCUCUAAUAAUUAUUGCAUUAUUACAAACAUAUCCAACGGUUAUAUAUGCUUGCCUGUGGAAAUAAAAGUCCCAAGUUUCUUUGAAAGGUAAGCUAGUGUGAAUGUUUUCAUCCGUGCAACUUACUUGAUGAAUGAAGUUUUCAUCCCUGACCUUGAUGUUUCUGGUGGCUACAAUCAUUUCAGCUGAUCUAUUCCAUUUUGUUAAGGUGAGAAUUUAGAGUGGCUUUAACUGUUAGCAAAUAGCCUAAUGUAAGACUUGAUCAACUUCCUGCCCUGUUGUAUGCUUAUGAAUUUUGAUAGAGUUAUGAGUUUGCAGAAGCUACUGUAUUAUAUGUUGUUAGAGGCUGUAAAAAUGAGGCAGAUCAAACACACAUUUAAAUUUCAAUGACAAUUUACUAGAAGUAAAUUUCCUAUGACCCUCCAGGUGACUAAUCAAUGAGAACUUGACAAUAACAAAAGAAAGUGUAUGAGCUUUGCAGGCGGGCACGCCAAUCUUGACUGCAUGGCACCAUCCGCCAUUUGCAAGUGAAUAUCAUUAUUGUUUAAUCAACAUGGUGGAGUCCACUGGGACCACACCACAUGGUCAGUCUUAUCUCUAUUCCUCAAUUUUCAGUAUUCCAUACAUCAAAACAAUUUCAGUUUUGUUAUCAAUUAUAAUUUCAUUGUUGGAGACGAUUCUGAUUCCUUUCUUUCUGACAAAACGGAACCAUGGUUGCUGUGGGAGAGAUCUUACUCAACGCCUUCUUUCAGGUGUUGUUUGACAGGUUGGCUUCCCGUGAUUUGCUCAGCUUUGUCCGUCAACUUGGAGGCGGGGUCGAUUCCGAGCUCAAGAAGUGGGAAAGAAAGCUGAAGAUGAUUCAGGCGGUGCUCAACGAUGCAGAGGAGAAGCAACAGACUGACGAGGCUGUGAAGAUGUGGCUGGACGAUCUCCAAGACUUGGCUUAUGACACUGAGGACAUUCUUGAUGAGUUUGCUACUCAAGCCUUGGAAAGCAAGUUGAUGGCGCAAAAUCACGAUAGUUCUGGCCAGGUUCUCAGUUUCAUCCCGGCUGGUUUGAAUCCGAAUGCUAUUAUGUUCAAUUAUAGCAUGGGGUCCAAGAUUAAAGAUAUCACUAGCCGGCUGGAGCAACUCUGCCAAGAAAGAAUUGAACUUGGACUGCAACGGAUUACCGGAGAGGCAUCAUCAACUGCUGCUGCUGCUGCACACCAGAGGCCACCCAGUUCGAGUGUCCCAACAGAACGUGAAGUAUUUGGAAGAGAAGAAGAUAAGGCCAAAAUUCUUGAUAUGGUAUUGGCCGAUACCCCAAGUGAUCAUGCAAACUUUGUUGUAAUACCCAUUGUUGGCAUGGGCGGGAUAGGAAAAACAACUCUUGCCCGGGAAGUCUACAAUGACAAGGCCGUUGAAGAUUCCAAGUUUGAUGUAAAAGCAUGGGUUUGCGUAUCUGACGUCUUUGAUGUUUUGGGCAUCUCAAAGGCACUUCUCGAGUCAAUCACCCGCAGGCCUUGUCUUCUAAACAGUUUAAAUGACGUGCAGGUUGAGCUGAAAGCAGCUGUGGAUAAAAAAAGGUUCCUGCUGGUCUUAGAUGAUGUUUGGAACGAGGACUACAGCUUAUGGGUAGACUUAAAAGCUCCGUUACUGGUUGCUGCACCAAACAGCAAGAUGAUCGUCACCACACGCAAUUCAAGUGUUGCAUCAACAAUGAGACCCAUCGAUCGUCACCACACGCAAUUCAAGUAUUACGAUCUCAAGAGUCUGUUAGAUGAUGAUUGCUGGUCCAUUUUCAUAAACCAUGCAUUUGAAUCUACAGACCUUAGCGCACAUCGAAUUUCAGAAUCAUUCCGCGAGAAAGUUGUUGGCAAGUGUGGGGGCUUGCCUCUAGCAGCAAAAACACUCGGGGGCCUUCUUCGUACUAAAACGCAUGCUGAGUGGGACGGUAUAUUGGAUAGCAAAAUAUGGGAUUUACCUCGGCAAAGCAGCAUUCUCCCCGUGUUAAGAUUGAGUUACCAUCAUCUUCCUUCUCAUUUGAAAAGAUGUUUUGCUUUUUGUGCCAUCUUUCCAAAAGAUUAUGCAUUCACUGAGAGGGAGCUGACUUUCUUAUGGAUGGCUGGAGGUAUUAUUCGACAGUCAAGAAACAAUGAGCAGCUGGAAGAUUUGGGCAGCAAGUGCUUUGGUGAUCUAGUGUCGAGGUCAAUUUUUCAACAAACAGCAAUCUCUGAUAGUUCUAAAUUUGUAAUGCACGACCUUAUCCAUGAUCUUGCUCAAUUGGUCUCUGGAGAAACCAUAUUUAGGUUAGAGGAGGCCAAUACUCUGUCAAGAAGAUUUGAAAGGGUUCGCCAUUCCUCCUAUGCCCGUGAUUGGUGUGAUGGUAGAAAUAAGUUGGAGGUUUUCAAUGAAAUUGAACAUCUACGAACAUUCUUGCCAUUUUGCAUAAGAGGUGGCGUUACUUCUGGUUGGAUAACUAGCACGGUUCACUACGAUUUGUUGCCGAAGUUCAAAAGGUUGAGGAUGCUGUCUUUAGAAGGAUACCAUAUUGGUGAGUUACCAAUUCCAUUUGAAGAUUUGAGACUUUUAAGGUUCCUCAACCUUGCUGACACUGACAUAAGAAGUUUACCUGAGUCAACAUGCAAAUUGUUGAACUUGGAAAUUCUGAUAUUAAGAAAUUGUUCCCGUUUGACAAAGCUUCCCCAGAAAAUGAGGAAUUUGAUCAAUUUACGUCAUCUGGAUAUAAGAGGUGCAAAGCAGCUGAAGGAGAUGCCAUUUGGAAUGAAAGAGUUGAAGAAGCUUCAAACGUUGUCCAAUUUUAUUGUAGGCAAGGGUGAAUCUGCAUCUGGUUUGGAAGAUUUAAAAAGUUUAGACCUUCUAUGUGAUGAACUCUGCAUUGCUGGAUUAGAGAAUGUGAAUAGUCCACAGAAUGCAAGAGAAGCCACAUUAUGUGAGAAGCACAAUCUUGAAGCAUUGACCCUAGAAUGGGGGUCUCAAUCUGACAGUCCUCGGGAUGCAGUACUAGAAGAGAAGGUACUUGACACUCUACAGCCUCAUGAACGUAUAAAAGAGCUGGCAAUCAGGAACUAUGGUGGUGCAAGAUUUCCACCUUGGAUCAGAGAUCCUUCGUUUCCCGAGAUGAAGGUCCUUAAAUUGGAGAACUGUGACGAUUGUGAAUAUCUGCCAUCACUUGGCCUGUUGAGUUCACUUAAGCACCUUGCUGUUAAAGGGCUGAAGAAACUAAAAAGCAUAGGGUCUGAGGUUUAUGGGGAGGGUUUGUCAAUGCCUUUUCCAUCAUUGGAGGUUCUAAGUUUUGAGAAUUUGCCUGAAUGGGAGUAUUGGGACACCAAUAUCAGAGGAAAUGUGCUCGUUGAAAUGUUUCCUCGUCUCCAUAAACUUUCCAUUGUGGAAUGUCCCAAACUCUCUGGGGAACUGCCUGAGCUCCUGCCCUCCUUGGAGACACUUGUUGUUAGUAAAUGUGAAAAGUUGGUAGUUCCAUUGUCUCGCUAUCCGAUGCUCUGCAGAUUAGAAGUUGAUGAGUGCAAGGAACUAGCAUGCGGGACUCCAAUUGAUUUUAAGUUGAUAGAGUCUGUGACUAUUUCAAAUAGUUCCUUAGACAUGAAUGGAUGCAAGGGGAUGCUAUACGAUGGUCCAGCUGGCUCUUCACUGCCAAAGCCUAUGAUUACUACAAAUGUUUCGGAGUUUGGAAAAUUAUUGAAGCCUGGAUGUCAAAUAUUAGAAACUUUAGUAAUUGGCAAUUCUGGACGGCUCAAGUCAUGGAGGCAGCAUGGGGAUUUUCUAGAAGAAUAUAUGGUCGCUCACCAAAGGUUUAAGAAACCAGUACAAGGGCUAAAUAUGCUCGCUUCCCCUGAAGAGGUAACAAUUGAAGAAAGUUGUGUGAGUUUUGUUUUGUUUCCAGAGAUCAAUUUCUUUCCCAGAAAUCUGCGCUCUCUUCUAAUUUGCAACAGCACUGCUUUGAAAUCCUUACCCGAGGAAAUGAUGGAAAACAAUUCACAACUGGAAAGGUUGUAUAUCAGAGAUUGCGACUCUCUAACAUUCAUCGCAAGACAGAGGCUACCAGCAUCUGUUAAAAGGCUUGAGAUAGAAAAUUGUGAGAAAUUGCAACGUCUGUUCGAUGAUGAAGAGGAUGCUUCUUCUUCUUCUUCUUCUCCUUCAUCCUCGUCUUCCCCAGUGAUGCUGCAACACCUGAUAAUAGGGAAAUGCCCAAAGCUCACCAGUUUAUUAUCGGGUGUCCAAUUCCUUGAGGCGCUUGAAUUCCUCAAGAUAGAGCAUUGUCCAAAGCUGGAGUCAAUACCGGAUGGCCUGCCCAAUCUUAAAUGUUUACAGAGCAUUUAUUUACUCAAUUGUCCAAGUCUUGUUUCCUUCCCAGAAAGAGGGCUUCCCCACACCAUUUCAUUUGUUUGCAUUUGCGGAUGUGACAAGCUUGAAGCCCUGCCCAAUGACAUGCACAAACUCAACUCUCUUCGACAUUUAAGCAUACAGCUCUGUCCAAAUCUUGUAUCGUUUCCAGAAGAAGGUUUUCCUACCAAUCUAACAUCACUUACAAUUGGAGAUUUCAAAAUGUAUAAGAUACUCGUCCAGUGGGGGUUGCACAGGUUUACCUCUCUUAGACGCCUCUAUAUCGUUGAUUGUGAUGACGAAGCAGAGUAUUUUCCAGACGAGGAUAUAGGAAUGACGCUGCCCACCUCUCUCACUCAACUGGAACUUUCGGGAUUCAAAAAAUUGAUAUCUCUGUCUUCGACGGGUUUUCAGAGCCUCACCUCUCUUCAAAGAUUGCGGAUCUGGGAUUGCCCAAAUCUCACAUCAUUUCCAGAGGUGGGCCUUCCAUCCUCACUUUUGGAAUUACACAUUUACAAAUGUCCAAAGCUUAAAAAAGCGUGCAAAAGAGAUCAAGGAAAAGAGUGGCCCAAAAUUGCUGACAUCCCUUGCGUUGAGAUAGACAAUAAAUUCAUAUACGAUCCAGAAUAAGAGGAGUAGAUUCUACUAUUAAGGUCAGUUGAUUUGUAUUAUCCGCUAUAACAAGCUCCUCCUUUUUUUUUUUUAAAUAAUAAUUUUGCAGUCACUCACGUGAUUCCGUUUUCACAAGUCAGAUUGUAUGUUGAGGCUAUUUGCCUUUUAGUCGCAGAUUAAAUUAUAACACUUAUCUUAAAAUUUAAUACCAUAGACAGAUAGACGAUUUUUUAAUCCAAAGUUUUUUUUAUUCACUUCAGUUAGCAUUUUUUUUUUUCCCCAAAUCAUGCAAGCCGAGAGUUUCAAUCAAGAAUUGGAGCAUGGGAAUGGAAUUUUUGUGAAAACAUAAUGGAUGAACGAACAUUUCAUCUGUGAUCUCAAAGUCAACAGAAUUUUAUUCACUCAAUGACUUUUCAACUGCUGUGGUUAUUUAUGGGUGAAAGAAAGAUAAGGGCAAUUACAAAAAAUUUGCAAAAUUUGUCAAUUUCUUAGAUGGUAGAUAUAUCGACAUUUUAGAUUUCAGAUAUUUGUCACCAAUUUCAUUCCUUUUUUUUUAUUUUUUCAAGCAAGUUUGACUAAUUUUAACCAGAAUUGGAGUAUAAUAUUUUGGAGCAAGCAUACUUGAAAUUUCUGUCUUCAAUAUUUUGAUGCUUUUUUAAUUUUGGAUCUAGUAAAAAUACAUAGCCUUCACCGGCAGGAUUCUAGUCUUGGCUUUCACCUCUCUAACUCAUCCGGCCCCAUUGGGAUUCCAGAAAUUGAAAUUUCUGUCUUCAAGGGGUUUUCAAAGCCUCGCCUCCCUUCGAUUUUUGUGGAUCGGGAAUUGCACAAAUCUUACAUCAUUUCCCGAGGUCGAGGAAAAGAGCGGCCCAAACUUGCUCGCAUCCCUUGGGUUAUGAUAGAUGGAAAAUUCAUAUACGAUCCAGAGUCAGAGGUGUUGAUUCUCUUAUUAAGGUCAGCUGAUUUCUAUUAUCCACUCUGACAAUCUCCUAUUAGUGUUUUUCCCUUUUUUUUUUUCAAAAUUUUGCAGUUCCGUAUAAUUGAAAAUGCCACUCACUUGUUUCCUAUUAGUAUGUUGAGGCUAUUUGCUUUCUAUCGGUGUUUGUUAAGGUAAUUACUCACAGAUGAAAUUAUAACUUUUAUCUUAAAAUUUAUUGCCAUUGACAGAUGGACGAUUUUUAGUCCAAAGUUUUGUUAUUAACUUCAAUCAAAAUUUUAGAUUGCAGAUUUUUGUCAAUUAUUUCAUUUUUUAUUUUUAUUUUAAAGCAGAAUUGGAGUAUAACAUUUGGAGCGCGCAUACUCUGAUGCAUGCAAUUAACUGUUUUUAAUCGUUGGAUUUUGAAAUUAAUGAUGGUAAGAUGUGUACUUAUUUUUUCUUCCGGACAACCUUGCCUUCUUUCUUCGGUAGCAUAUCUAAUGAAUAUUUCUCUGUUUAGUUAAGGAUGAAUGCUUGGAGUGGUCUGAUUCACAACAACACCUCUUCCAGAAAAUAUGAUACAAGGCAAAGCCAUGUUCUGAAGCAGAAAUGAUACAGCAGUUGCGGUACCCGAGGUACCUUUUGCAUUUAACUUGCCUUUAUUUGUUUUGCUUGUGACUUAAGAACACAUCAUUUCCCAGAGAUUUGGAGAAGCAUCUCAAGAUGCUUAACAAACUUGACAAGCUUCAAGAUGCACUUGCUCCCAAGCAUUGAUUCUUCACAAUGGAAAACCUGUGAGUACACUUAUGCCCGCAAUUAUUGUUAAGUGUUUGCAAUUUUGAUGCAGCGAAAUGGUUUGUGGAUGCAAAGCUUUAAAACUGUUAAGAACUACCCUGCAGGCUUGUUGGAUGUUGUAUACUUCAAAAGCCACCAACACCAAGAACUACAACAGCAAGACUAGGUUUGCGUUGCUUCAAUCAGCUGAAAUAAUGAUGCAAAUGACACUAUCAAGCUGGACUUAGAGACUUGUCAGGUCAAUCAUCCAUUUCAUCAACAGUUAAUGUCAUGAUGGUGGCUAUCAGAGGAAACAAAAGAUCUGUUGGAAUCAAUUCAAACAGUGAGAAGCAUGAGAGGAGCAUUGAUUAUAAAUAGGCUCAAUGAGCUCAUGCUGGUAAGUGGUAAUUAAGAAAUUUGUGAGCUUAGUAUAGUUUCAAUUUUUUUCUGUUUGGGAUAUAGUUGAUAAGUUGAUACUCUGAUUAAGAAGCCUGAUUAUAGUAGCUGACUGUGCUAACUGCGUUCUUUUAUUUUUUAUUUUUUUGGUUUGCCGUCGUUUUUUCUUUUGAUUAUUUGUUCAACAUUAGAUUGAUCUGUUGAAGACUACGAGGAAGAUCCAGACUUGGAUGCAGGCGUGCAGCUCGUAAUAGGUGAGAACAAAUGAAUGCUUUAACCAUGUUUCUCACUUAUGACAAUGCACGGAUCAAAGGCAUCUGAGUUGAUCCUGAAAAUGUGAUGGAAAUAGGUCUCUGUUUUCAUAAAACAGAACAAAUAGAGAUCUCUGAUCACGCCUGAGAAUUCAUUGCAUUGAAAUUUCUACCAUUGGCAAACAUAGAAUAAACUGGGGAUACAUUAGCUUUAGACUCUAUUUUGAGGAGGAAGUUUGUACUUGCAGCCUAUAAAAUCAUAUCCCUGUUGUAUGUUUCUUUGGGAAAUGAAAGAUUCUGUGUGUUCUUUUAUUUCAAGUUUGCUGAAAUCACAUUUGUUUUCUAAGAUGCUUUACAGAAGGUACCAACAUCAUUUUCAAAAAUGCUGGGGUAAGAUACAUCGUGCAGUGCUCCUCAACAUGAGAAUUCCUGGCCGCAUUACCCAUAUGUGGAAUGAUCUGAGAGUACAACCGUGAGAAUGUUGUAAGGAGUACACAACCAGAUGUGAGUAGUUUGAAAAUGAAUUCGCAUGGAAUGAUUUCUUGCCAGUGCAGAAAUGGCUUGGUUCAAAAUAUGCUCAGCUUCAUUGACACUCUUCGGUAGGCCUCUCCGUCCUUCCAUUCUUAACUACAAUACUACUCUUGUCUGUCUAGUUAUGGAAUCUCUCUUUUAAUCCUCAAAGUUUGAAUUAUAUUAUAUUGCCUCUGUGUUACCGCAGAAACUGAGUCAGUUGGUGAUCCUUCAAAACAAGAAAAACCAAAAACAGAUACAGCGCGCGAUAAGAUAAUGAGACAGAUGGCUCCCGUUGCUGCAUGCCACUUGCUUGUGUGCGUAUUGGGACCAUCAUCAACAACAUUGACGUAAACCCAGCUCAAGGUGGGAAGCUAGUUCGAGCUGCAGGGACGUUAACCAAGAUUUUGAGAAAGAACCCACUUCAAGGUGUUGCUUAGUUAGGCUACGUUGUGGAAAUGAGAAAGUGAUUGACCCUAGAUGUCGCGCCACCAUUGGUACAGUGUCUAACCCCAGCCAUGGAGCUAAAAAGCUUAGUAAGGCAGGUCAGAGAAGUUGGUUGGGUCGAAGAGCUGUGGUUAGAGGAGUAGCCAUGAUUCCAGUUGAUCACCCUCAUGUUGAACAAAGCAAAAGUAGCGGUAACAAUGGAAGGUGUUCACUCACACCUUGGGGCAAGCCUUGUAAGUCUGGGAAUUAAACUGCAUCUCCUAAGAAGAAAGAGAAAUCAGCUGUCUGAUAAUAUUGUCCUUUUCUGCUAUUUGGUCUUUUUAACAUUGUUACACUGUUUUUACAUCUUUGAGGUUAGUUUUAGACCAAUUUUUAACUGAUCCAUAAUGAAACUGAAGUUUAAUUUUUGAUUAAACUUUCACUGGUUUUACUCUUCUGUCACUUCAAUUUAGCAUUGAUUUAAGAUACUGAAUUCUGUGCUUGGAGCUUGUAAAUUGGAAAGAGAUAUUUUGGGAUAGAAUGUAGAUUUUGUGUUUUGCUUUCUCAAGCUAGUUGUGACUUCUUAAAAGAGUCAAUCCAUGUCUUUAUAUAUUUUUCUUUUGUCUUGAUUCUGUUUCUUCAUACAGAUUCUUAUUUUAUGCUUCACAUACCACAUGAAAGAUGAAAGCCUUUUCUGUGAUUAGAAUUGACUUGCAUUAUAGUAACUUUAAACCACUUGGAUAUUUUUAUAAUAGCAGUCUGAGAUCUCCUUAAAGGAUUCAAAAGCAUCCACUGGCAUCCACUUUACUCGUAUCGGUCAAAAGUUUUGUGCAAUACAAUAUUAGCUUGACUGUAGCGCAGAGGAGAACAGGUUGGUGUUGGUCUGAAUUCUGAUAUUUGAAUAAAUAUAACAGCUCAUGUGACUCCACCACUUUUUACUUGUUCUGUAGUCUGUACCUACCUCCAUUGUCGGCACUGCCCAUACAAGGUCUUUUAGCUUUUUAAAAAGUUUCAUGAUAUUCCAUAGUUCACAUGGAUUUCUACAGUUUGUAGAAAACCUAAUUAGGGCACAUUUAAUUACUAUGCAGAAGAUUCUUUUAUCUUGCUCACCAAUAAUUCUUUGUACUUAUUUGAAAGAUGUGUUUCAAAAAAAUAAAAAAAAACUAUUUGAAAGAUGAGAAAUCCCUUAGCCGAACGACAAACUCAUCUAUCAGUCCUAUCAAAAAAAAAAAAACUCAUGUUUUAGUGGUUUUUUUUUUUCACUUGUAUUCAGUCGCACAAGUGAAGAUUGUGGGCAAUUUUUUCCUUGAGUAAAAUUGGAAUAGAUGUUUUUAUUGACACAAAUUUUUGAGCUAUGUUUGGGAAACCCUUAGACUUAAGACUUUGUUACGAUGAUAUGUAUCUAAGCUUUCAACAGACCGUUGAGGUCUUAUUAUCAAAAUACUAGAAAUUUACAAUUCAAUUUUGGUAAGGACCAAUUUAAUAAUGCUGUAAUUUUUAAAAUAAUUACCGUUAACUGUGUUGUAAAAAUAAUCAAUUAUGAAGAAAAUUAAUUAAACAUUUAGUAAACUUUAUUUUUACAAGUGCUUUGAAUUUUAAAAAUAGUCAUAUGUGUUCAGAAAAUCUCACUUCUAAAAUAGUAUAAGAAUGGAAAAAACUUAAAAAGACAAAUGUAUAAUAUUUAUUUACACAUGCAUUUAUAAAUAUGUGUAUAUAAUAACAUUUUAUGUGUACAUAUAAUAAUUGAUAACUAAAAUAAAUAUUUUUAUUUAUUAAUUAUUUUUUUGUCUCAAUGUAAUUGGUAAUACUUUUUUUUAAUCUUCUCAUCCUAAGUUUUUUUAUUGUUUUGUACAAAAUUCAAGGUUUGGACUUUUAUAAAAUGUCCACUCAAAAAUAAAUUGUUUUCUAACUAAGAUUUGUUGCUAAUGUAUAACUCAAAGUAAUACUAGCUAUUUGUAAUUUUAUUUCAAAAUUUUUAUUCAAAUGAUAUGGUAACUAAUGUACAUUAGUUGAUAGCAAUUUUUUUUUUUUUACAAUAUUCAAAUCAAUCAAUUGCAUCAUCUCAACAUUUUUAUGAUGUCGUGUUAUUUUAAACGAAUUUUUUAUUUUUAUAUAAAAUUUAUUAUGUUUAACAUCAUUUGCAUAACUUGACCUUUUUUUUUUCCUACAAAUAUUAAGUCAAAUUUACUCACCCUAUAUUUCUAUCUAAAAUCUACCUAAAACUCAUGCAUCACUGUAAAACAAAUCCAAAGAUUGCGGUACGUUUUUCUUGGUAACAAAUCAAUAAUUAGGUCAAGUACUACUACUAAGCGUGCUCAAUUAAUUCUAAAAUACUACGGUGAUCAAAAUCAUACUUGACGCAAGAGGAUAAGGGCUAAACCUCAAUUAGGCAUUAUUCAUCCAAAAUUCGUUGACCCGGCAUUCUUUGCAAGUUGUAGCACGGGACAGCUAAGAUUAGCAAAUGCUGUGGACCAUAUGCCCCCAUACAUUUGUGACAUGUGAAACUUGGCAUUAAAGGAAAGGCAACGUGUUAAAAUUUAAUAGCGCCCAAUUCUUCAUUGAAUGAUUAUCAGAUCCAAUGAGCAUCCUUUGAUUGGAUUAUUUUAAGUCAAUUAUUGGUGGAUUGGGGCCCACUUGACUCUACCAAAUCGGGCUCCACCAUAUCACCUAUUAACGACCACCUGUCCUUAUCAUAAAUAGCAAAUGUCACUUGUUUUAUUUUGUAUUUUACCAAAAGCAAAGUCACUAUGAACCCAAAUGAAAGUGACCCCAAUUUUGGGGGUCAUGAGCUUUGGAUUAUUAUGGACACAAGAGACAAGCGCAAAGUUUCUCAUUUAUCACCGGAUAAGAUUUAAGUUAUCAACCCAACAUUAAUAAAUUCUGCUUAAAGUAAAGUUUGAAGCUUCAUUUUGCGAAUAUUCAAUGGUUAACAUUUAAGUAAUUAACCUGAUAUUAAUCCAAUUAAACUUUUUAUGUAAUCCAAGUCAAAAAUAUGUUGAUAAACCUAAAUUAAUCUAAUUGGACAUAUUAUUUCAACUUGAAAAGGCGAAUCUAUCAUUUUUCAAUUAAUUUUGAAUCAAGCUAUGUAAAAUAUAAGCUUAUUAAAGACAUAUUUUUAUCAUGUUAAAAUAUCGAAAUACUUCUUACUCGUUUCGUAAUAACAUUAACAAACCUUUUGGUAAAUUUGACAGUCCAAUCAAUUCAGUUGGUUUUUUGUUAUUGAAACUCCAACAAAAUUCAUCACGAUUAUUAAAAACCCAUUAAAAAAAAAUGAAGGUAACUAUUUAAAAAAUUCUAAUUGAAUUAUUUAACAACUACAUUUCAACUAAAUUGUGUUGCUAAUUAACUUCCUCAACUUAAACUAUAUUUUUCUCAAUUAAUUCAUAACAAAUAAUGUUAGAUAUUUUAUUCGAAUAAUAACAUUCAACAUCCUUAUUCUUUAUGAUUAUUGCAUAAAAACAUAUUUUAUCCAUUUACAUCACAUAUGUUCCUAAAUUGUAUAAGAAAAUCACCAAAUUUACUCUUGUAAGUUACUAUAUCAAUGAACAUGAAAUUCACUAAUCAUUAAAGUCUCGGAAUGACAUCAUGAGAGGGAUUCAGUUACAUUUAUUGAUAGGAUUAGAUAUAUGUCUUCUCAAAUAUUAGUAGGAGCAAUUUAACAGAUGCAGCUACUAAAAAUAUAGAAUUACUUAUCUCGUCAAUAACUAACGAUAUUUUUUAUCUAUGCUCAAUAAAUUGUAAUAUUUGUAGAUUGUAACAAUUGUUAAAAAAAAAGAGCUCCCUGAGACUAAAUGACAAAAGGACUGUUUUGAAAUAGAUAGAUAAAAUAUGCCCUUAUUUGAGAAAAUGUAAAACACUAGGGAUCUAAAUGUUAUUAUAAUCCCAUGCACAAAAAUACCAAAAAUAACUAAUAACAACUAACCGAAAAUCCCAGGCGUCAUAUUCCUUUUUUCCGCGUUUUAAAAUGCCCUCUGAUUCAUUCACAGUCAGACGCUGUCGGCAUUUCUCUUCUCUCCCUCUCUCUCCACGUAUUAAAACAUGUAAAGUACGGAAAAAUUUAAAAAAAAUUUUAAAAUUACAUAAUUUAAAAGAUAUAAAAUUAUAAAUUUUUAAAAUUAUACGGUUUUAAAAUUUUUUUAAAUUUUUUCGUAUUUUAAAAUUUCAGACUAAAAAAUUAUUAUACGAAUACUUCGUAUAACCGCUUUGCGCUUAAAAUCUGUGCCUAACAAACUCACGAAAUCACUCCUCAUUUUCCUCUCUCCCUCUCCUCCUCUCAUUCCCUUUCAAAUCCUUCCACCACCUUCCCCGCCUCUCUCUCUUUCUCUCUCCCCUCACCGCCACAGCUCAACUUUUCCAUGUAAACCACCACGGGCGCCGUCGUUUCAACCUCCCACUCAUCCGACGUCGUUUUGUGUGAAUAAGAUAACGAUUUAAAUUAAAAUACGAAAAUGGAGAACUUAACGGCGCAGUUGAAGCGAGGGAUAUCGCGGCAGUUCUCGACGGGAUCGCUGCGGCGGAGCCUGACGAGGCAGAUGUCGAGGCAGUCGUCGUUCGAUCCGAGGAGGAAUAACAUGAGGUUUAGCUUCGGGAGGCAGUCGUCGUUGGAUCCGAUACGCAGGAGUCCGGUUCAGGACGAGUUGACGGUGCCGGAGAACCUUGACUCGACGAUGCAGCUGUUGUUUAUGGCAUGCAGAGGUGACGUCAAGGGAGUCGAGGAUUUGCUGAACGAAGGCAGUGAUGUCAACAGCAUUGAUCUUGACGGACGGUUUUGGCGAGAAAUCAAAGAAUUAAGAGACAAUAUUUAGUUAAGCUAAUAGUAUUUGUUCUGUUUAGUACGUCGUUUUACCAACAAGCAUCCCGGCAUUGCACGCAUUAAUAAAUUUUUUUUAUCUGUUUGGACUGAUGGUGGUAAAAAAUUCCACAUACUUUAUAUUAAAAAGGAAAAAGGACAAACACACCCCUAACGUCAACUUGGAGGGGGGUCGAUUCCGAGCUCAAGAAGUGGGAAAGAAGAAAGCUGAAGAUGAUUCAGGCGGUGCUCAAUGGUGGGUAUGACGGCAAAAAUAAGUUGGAGGUUUUCUAUGAAUUUGAACAUCUAAGAACAUUCUUCCCAUUACACAUAAGAGGUGGCUCCAAAACUGGUUACAUAACUCGUAUGGUUCUAACUGAUUUGUUGCCGAAGUUUAAAAGGUUGAGGGUGCUAUCUUUACAAGGAUACCAUAUUGGACCAAUUCCAUUUGAAGAUUUGAGACUUCAAAGUAUAAUUACCCAAAGUGUAUACAAUAAAAGCCAAAUUUAAGAAAUUCCUGAACCUUGCUGACACUGACAUAAGAAGUUUACCAGAGUCAACAUGCUCAAUGUUGAACUUGGAAAUUUUGAUAUUAAGAAAUUGUUUCCGUUUGAUGAUACUCCCACCCAAAAUGAGGAACUUGGUUAAUUUACACCCAGACUCUUUUCUUUUGACAUGGGGUUAACGAUCAAAGUUGGUUUCGUGCGGUAUAUAUUUACAAAUUGAUAGGUAUGCCUGGUGUUGAUGCAGGAUUCCGGUUCUUCUCGUUCUACGACCAGGAUCUCUGCUCGAUCAACUUCGUCACGACCAGGAGGUCUCCUCGCAAGACUUUUUCUCCAGAGAUUCCUGCGCACACAGACAAGUCAGAGUACGCCGGUUGUUUUCCCGGCGCAAACCCUCCGACGCUCAAGUCAGAUAUGAAGGUUCGGGGAACGCUUGCCACCGAUCUUAUGGCUUUUUCGUGGUUUUCUCUUCUUUUUAAUUCCUUUUCUAAUGAGAAAAAUGCCAACCCUUUUACCUCGUCGGCUACCUUUUUAUAGGCUUCCUCUGAAUCCCAGUUUUCCGCUCUUUUCGAGACGGUAUGGGACUCUGACUGCUGUGUUAUGGGCAAACGUGGGAUCUUGCGUGUUACGCCACCGUUCUGGGAAAAGCGCGGCAGUCGUGGUUCUGUGAGAUCUUGCGUGUUACGCCACGGUUCUGGGGAAAGCGUGGCUGUCGUGCUUAGGUUCUCGGGCUGGAGAGCAUGUCUCGUCAACUGCCGUCGACCGGGUCUCCUCGCCUCUCGACCUCUAGCCGGAAUGACCUUAUGCCUCUUACAGGAAAUUGGCCUCGCGGAUGACCUGCUCGUGGACGAGCAGGAUAUUUCUGCUCCUGUUCCCCCGCGUACCAGGCUUUUACGGGACACACCGGUUCGCAGAACUCUGCCAUCAGAUAUCUGCUCACCGUGCCUGGUCUCGUCGACGUAUUUCUCCCAAACACCGGUCCCCCAGUUUCUGGUGUUGGGUAAUGUAGUGGACCAGCAGUAGAAACUCGUUAGUACUCGCCCGCGUGGGAUUGGAAAAGGCUGCCAAGAGUCAUGUCGCAUUUAAUUGCGGACGAGGUGACGUGGCAGAAAUCCCCCCCUCCAUUUGAAUUUCAAACCGACGGUUAUGAGAUCCUCGGGAUUCAGCGCCGUUAAAUGCUGGCAACCCAAGAGUCCGUCCUCAUUAGGAAAACCAAAUCCUCUCGAACGGCAUAUUCGUCAUUCACUCCGUCUCCGUCUCUGUCUCCCCGGCAAAGAGGUUCCGGCAUAAAAGCCCUCCAUCUCUGAUUUUCACCGACUGAACCGUUACUUCAGGUAUUUCUUCUAUCUCCUUGGUCUCGGAUAGUUGUAGAUAAUUUCUCUUCUCUUCUGUUGGGUAGUAGUUGGUGGUGUUGUGGUUAGAGCUUAGGGAAUGUCGAAAGGCAAAGAGAAGGUCAUUGAGGUUGGUGACGACGAGUUGGACUUCCUGCCUAGUCUGCUCACCGAUCCUGCUUUUGACCCCGGGAUCCCCUUAGAGCCCAUUAGGUCUAGUGUCGGGACUAGUGCUAGGAGGAUGUCUCCCCAAACAACCUCUACGAGCGGAAGUAAUGGUGAGGAGAGAUCUUCUGGCUCCGAGGAUACUUUGAGUGAGAAUGGCGAAGGUGACUCUGGUGAGGUGUCUCCAUCUGGAACAUCACGACCAGAAGAACGGGGUAUAGUAGGAGGCAGAGCCUUGUCGCGCGAUUAUGCCAUUGAUUACAUGACGUGCACGACCUCGUUUGACGAGCUCAAUGACCUCCGGCUUAGGUAUAGCAUUCCUGGUGAGAUACCUCUCAAGGUCCCAGGAAAGAAGGAUGCUCCCAGCCGGCCUCCUAGGGGAUAUGUUACCCUGUAUCUGGACAGCUUUAAGUACGGGCUGAGGUGUCCCUUGCAACCUUACUUUGCCCGGAUACUUAACGGGCUAAAUCUAGCUCCUGGUCAGCUGAAUCCCAAUGGGUGGAGAGUGCUCUCUGGUCUGUUCAUAUUGUGGGACAGAUGUUGCCAAAGCGAGCCCACGGUUGAUGAGGUGAAGCACCUGUACCAGCUAAAGAGCAGCCCCAAAGAUGCCGUCUGGUACUACUUCCAAUCUAGCACCAAGAGCAGGAAACCUAUAACCGACCUCCCUACUGGUGGUGGUGGGAAUUGGAAGAGAAAAUUCUUUUUUGCUGGGGGUCCUUGGGGUCAGGUUGCACAAAUGGACGGGAAGGAUUAUCGGGUCCCACCCCGUUUCACGGUCCCAGGUUGCCUGCUCGCUUUAGAUGUCUUGUAUCCACAAUUGUUAUUGCUUUAUUGGCUUGUCUCUAACCAAGUGUCUGUUUGCGUUGUAGUUUCUUGGGGUGUUCACUUCCCGCUCCCACCUGACCAGCUCAAACGGGUCAAGGCUGUGCUCGCCAAUUCCUGCUCGAGUCGAGAACUGCUAACUACAUACAACUUGCUCGAAUCUCGCUUGAUACUUCCUGGCCAUAGGAUGGAGGACGCCGUGAUUGGGGCUCUGACCCGAAAACGUUCUCGACCUCCAACCACGAAGAGGGACCAGGGUAAGGAUGCCCCUGCUGCAAAGCGGGCCAGCAUCGUGCAGCAGGUCCCACCCUUGGAGAUUUUACCUCCUGCUCCUGAAAAAGUCGGGGAAGCUAGUGGAGCAGCCACAGAUCCUGCUUCCUCAUCUGUUCCUGUCGGGCCUCGAUCUCGCUUACCUGACAGCCGAGCAGAACACCUGGUCCCCUACCUCAAUGAGUUGUCUAAACUCGUGAGCAAGAAGGACCUGGAGGACUUCGACGGCUGCACCUUGGGUGAGCUGGUGGGGGCCAUGCAGCAUAGCGCUUUCCACCUCAGCUGCAUGACCACCUAUUACAAGGCUAAGGUUGGUCGAUACGAUCGGAAAAUGAAGGGGGAUAUUCAAUCGGCGACGACCAGAGCUGACAUUGCCGAGAAGAAAGCAGGGGAGCUGAACCUCGAGAAUCUGAAGCUGAUAGAGCAAGAAUCACUUGCUCAAGCAAAGACCAUUACCCUCGAGGAGGAGCUUACCAAGGUCAAGGAGGAUCUGCAAAGGCAGAAGGCUAUGUAUGAGGCCCAGCUCGAAUCUCUCCGGGACUCCAACCGAGCUCAGGUCGAGAACUUGGAGAGGGAGGCAGAGAAUCAGUACGACCAGGGACUUCGGCAUUCCUAUCGUUGCAUCAUGGCCGUCCUCGGGAAGCAACACCCUGAUCUGAAGAUGGAUGACCUUGCGGCUGGUGUUGCCCAACAUAUGGACGAGGAGGCGGCCAAGGAAGAUGCUGAAGGGGUAGAGCCGAUCGUGAUCGAGGAGGAAAGCUCUCCUCCUCGUGCAGUCCCUGCUGAUGUUGGCGAGGCGAGCACCCCUCCGGACGCAACUGGCGAUACCCCUCCCGCACCUGAGGAGGUCCAGUCAACCGAUGCUGCUCGGCUCACUGAUCUACCAUCUUUUUGAUAUAUUUCUUUUUGUAUUGUAAUAAACAACGUUUAUGAAAUUUAUCCCCUCUGUUAGCCAUUAACACAUUAAUAAAGAUGUUUUUUGAUUACUUUCUCGUCUUGUAAUCAUCACUUAUUUUCCGUUUGGGAAUCUGCUCGUCUCGUCUGGUCGAGCAGGUUCUGGUUUGGCAUAUGGUUUUGCAACAUGCCUUAGAAAAAUUUCUUUUUUUUUUUUUUUUUUUUUUUUUUUUUUUUUUUUUGCUUGGGGAUUCUGCUUGCCUUCGCGUGGUCGAGCAGGUCCUGGCAUGCUUGGCUUCAGUCUCGCCAUAAAAAGGCUUUGAGACUUGGUGAGGCCUUUGCAUGCCUUAGAAAACUUUUUCGAUGCUUGGGGAUUCUGCUCGACUUCGCUCGGUCGAGCAGACCCUAGCAUGCUUGGCUUCCGUCUCGCCAUAAAAAGGCUUUGAGACUUAGUGAGCCUUUGCAUGCCUUAGGUGGCUUCUUCAAAGCUUGGGAUUCUGCUGCCUUCUCGUGGCCGAGCAGAUCCGGGCAUGCUUGGCUUCUGUCUCGCCAUAAGACAGGCUUUGAGACUCGACGAGCCUUUGCAUGCCUUAGAUGGCUUCUUCGAAGCUUGGGAUUCUGCUGCCUUCUCGUGGCCGAGCAGAUCCGGGCAUGCUUGGCUUCUGUCUCGCCAUAAGACAGGCUUUGAGACUUGACGAGCCUUUGCAUGCCUUAGAAAUUUUCUUGGUUUCAAGCGAAAGGAAUUCCUCGACGUUCCAUUAAUGGCAGGAUUCGGCUUACAUGAACUUGUUUGGACAUAAAGCGUGAAAGAUAAACGAUAAUGAUCAUGAGCAAAAAUAGCUUUCAGAUGUGAACAAAUCUUACUGGAAGUAUUUUCGGAGGUGUGCUGCGUUCCAUGGGCGUUUCAGCUCGUGGCCGUCCGUGCGAACCAGCUUGUAAGCUCCGGGUCCCGCUAUCUGCUUGACUCUAUAUGGCCCUUCCCAAUUCGGUCCCAGCACUCCUUGAGUCGAAUCUUUGGUGCUCUGAUUCACUCUUCUCAGUACCCAGUCUCCGACCUUGAAUUGCCGUAUGUUCACCUUCUGGUUAUAAUACCGAGCAACCCUCUGUUGGUAAAGGGCUGAUCGCUCGGCUGCUUGCUCCCUCCUUUCCGUUAGCAGAUCAAGAUUCAAACAUAUCUGCUCGUCGUUCUCCUGCUCGUUGAAAUGACCUGUCCGGUGUGUGGUCGUUCCUAUCUCAGCCGGCACGACCGCUUCAUGUCCGAAAGCCAAAGCGAACGGUGUCUCCCCAGUUGCGGUUUUGUGGGUUGUUCUGUAUGCCCAUAGCACACCUGACAGCUCGUCAACCCACGCACCCUUUUUUGCUCCAAGCCUGGUUUUCAAAAGCCUCUUGAUGGUCUUGUUGGCUGCUUCUACUUGUCCAUUCGAUUGAGGGUGAGCAGGCGAGCAAUACUUCAGCUCUAUCCCGAGGUUCUGGCAGAAAUCCCUGAAGCUGUGAUUAUCGAACUGCCUGCCAUUAUCCGUUACCAAGGCAUAAGGGAUCCCGUAUCGACAGACCAGGUUUCUCCACACGAAGUCUGUUGUUUUCUUCUUUGUGAUCCUGCUAAGGGCUUCUACCUCUAUCCACUUCGUGAAGUAAUCUAUAGCAACUAUUGCAUGUGUUGCUGCUCCUUGUGCCUUUGGCAAUGGGCCGAUCAGAUCAAUUCCCCAUUGAGCAAAUGGCCAAGGGGAGGCCAUGGAGGUGAGCUUCUCUGGGGGUUGGUUAGAGAAAUUUGCAAAACUCUGGCAGCUUACACAACUCCUGGUCUUCUCUUGCGCAUCCUGGUGCAUUGUCGGCCAGAAAUAUCCCUGCCUAAGAACCUUGUGGGCCAGGGACCUCCCGCCAGAAUGAUUUCCGCAAAUUCCUUCAUGUACUUCUCUCAGUACGUAAUCCGCGUCGUCCUCAUCCAAACACCGAAGGAACGGUAGUGUAUAUCCUCGCCGAUACAGCGCCCCAUCAAUCAUCGUGUAUCUCGAGGCCUGGGCUCUAAUCUUGCGAGCUCGCAGCUUAUCUGGUGGUAAUACUCCGUCUCUAAGGUAUGAAACUAUCGGGUCCCUCCACGAGCAUUUUUGUUCUAUCCGCAACACCCCCGAAUUCUGAUCGAUACUUGGGCUGGACUUCACCUCCAGAGGGACCGACUUUGGCAUUUUUGGGUCGGCUACUGCUGCCAUCCUCGCCAAAAUGUCUGCUCGACUAUUCUGCUCCCUGGGGAUCUGUACCACCUCCACUGCUUCGAACUUCCCCAUCAUCUGCCUGACUAUCUUCAGGUACUGCUCCAUCUUCUCCUCUCUUGGUUGGAAUCUUUCACUGACGUGAUUCGCAACCAGCUGGGAAUCAGUUCUGAUCUUAACUCUGUCUUCUUUCACGGCCUUAGCCAAUUCCAGACCUGCUAUCAAGGCUUCAUACUCUGCCUGGUUAUUUGUGGCUGCAAAUUCCAACUUUACAGCAUAAGAGAUCUCCUCCCCCUCAAGGCCUUCCAGGACAAUCCCUGCUCCUGAACCCCGCUCCCCUGAUGACCCGUCCACAGACAUCUGCCAUACUUGAUUUUCGUCAUUGCCUAUAACUGCAUCCUGUUGAUCUGAGCAUACUUCGGGCUCUGUGAAUUCAGCUACGAAAUCGGCCAUUGCCUGGGCUUUUAUCGCUGCGCGGGGUUUAUAGUCUAUGUCGAACUCGCUCAGCUCUACAGCCCACUUGACGAGCCGACCAGAGGCAUCUGGCUUGUGCAGAGUUUGACGCAAUGGCUGGUUUGUUAUUACCGAGACCGGGAAUGCUUGAAAAUAUGGCCUCAACUUCCGAGCAGCAACCACAAGGGCAAGUGCCCAUUUCUCCAACAGUGGGUAUCUAGUCUCAGCGUCGAGUAGGGCCUUGCUGGUGUAGUAUAUCGGAUACUGAACUCCUUCUUCCUCUCUCACCAGAACAGAACUGGCGGCCCGAUCCGACACCGCCAAAUACAGAUACAACUUGUCCCCAUCCCUUGGUGUGGACAGCAGCGGAGCUUGCUGCAAGUAUUGCUUCAAGUUCUGGAAGGCUUCCUCGCACUCUGGGGUCCAUUCUGUUUUCUUUCCCCUCCUUAUCACUUGAAAGAAUGGCUGACACUUAUCUGUAGCCUUGGAGAUGAAUCUGCUCAACGCCGCCAACCUCCCUGUGAGGCUCUGCAUCUCCUUCAGGUUACGAGGAGACGUCAUUUGCACAAUCGCCUGGAUUUUCUCGGGAUUUGCUUCAAUCCCCCUAUGGCUCACCAUGAAUCCAAGGAAUUUCCCUGACUCGACCCCAAAAGCACACUUUUCCGGGUUGAGCUUCAUCUUAUACUUCCUCAAAAGCUCGAAUGUCUCCUCGAGGUGUCUGACAUGUUCCUUCGGGAUUUUGGACUUGGUGAUCAUGUCAUCCACGUACACCUCCAUGGUUUUCCCAAUCAACGGCUUAAAGACUUUGUUCACCAGCCUUUGAUAGGUGGCCCCAGCAUUUUUGAGACCGAACGGCAUUACCCUGUAACAGAACAAACCUUGGUUAGUGACGAAAGCCGUGCUCUCCUCAUCCUGCUCGUACAUGGGGAUCUGGUUGUAUCCCGAGAACGCGUCCAUGAAGCUGAGCAGACCAUGUCCAGCCGUUGAAUCUACUAGCUGAUCGAUCUUUGGUAGAGGGAAGCUGUCUUUUGGGCACGCCUUAUUGAGGUCUGUGAAAUCCACACACAUCCUCCACUUGCCGUUUGCCUUCUUUACCAACACCACAUUCGAUAUCCACUCAGGGUAACUGACUUCCCGAAUGAACCCUGCUCUCAAGAACUUCUCCACCUCGCUAUUUAUUGCCUCAUACAUCUCCUGGUUGAAGCACCUCCUCUUCUGCCUUACUGCCCGAGCACCUUUCUUUAUUGCCAGCUUAUGACAUGCUACCUCAGGGUCAAUCCCUGGCAUGUCUUCAUGUGUCCAAGCAAACACAUCAGAAUGAGCCUGUAAGCAUUUCACCAACUCCUGCUUUUGCUCUCCCUCAAGCCUCGACCCGAUUCUGAUCAUCUUUCCCGGAUUCUCUGGUCCCAGGCUUACUGUUUCCAGAUCUUCUACAGGUUCUUGUCUGCCCUUCUUGUUUUCCACUCGGGUAUCGAGGGAUGUUAUCUGCAUUGCUUCCCUUGCUGCCGAGGAGUAGCAGCUUCUUGCGAUCCUCUGGUCUCCUCGUACCACUCCUACUACCCCAUUCACCCGGUACUUCAGAGCGAGAUAGUGGUUGGACAACACCGCUUUGCUCAUCCUUAAAAAUGGCCGACCUAGGAUCAUCUGGUAAGGACCUUCCUCGUCCACUACGACAAAGUCCAGUAUCAUUGUUCUUUCUGUCAGGGAGCUCCCAAUUGUGAUAGGCAGCUCGACCACGCCCAGAGGGACCAGCUUCCCUCCUCCGAACCCCUUCAAGGAGGUAUUGGUGUAUUCCAACUUUCGGUCGGCUAUUCCCAUCUCUUCCAGGGUUGACUUAAAUAACACAUCAACUGAGCUCCCUGUAUCAAUCAGUAUCCGGUCAAACUUCUUGCUAGCGACAGUAGCCUUGAUGACUAAAGCAUCAUCGUGGGGGUAUAGAAUCCCUUCCUCAUCCUCAUCCGUCCACAUGAUUGGCACUUGCCUGACCCUUGCUCGUUUGGCUGCUGGGGUGUUGAAGAGUACCUCUUUACUGGUCAUGGCGUACCUAGCAUAAUUUUUUCUCGAUCUGUUGGAAUCUCCGGCCAAUGUUGGGCCCCCAGCUAUCACCCUUACUGCGGGCUGCUCGCGCCUCAAGUUUCUACCACUCUGCUCCCCUUCACCUGUUGUGGCCACCAUCGGGAAAGUCCCAUCCAUAAACUCGUCCAGGUACCGAUUUCUCACCAAAUCUUCGACCUGGAUCUUGAGAUCUCUACACUCUGCCGUGGUAUGGCCAUGGGUGCCAUGGAACUUACAAUAACGUCUUCUAUCCCUCCUGUUGGGUAGCUUUGUUAUUGGUGUAGGGAGGUGCAGCAGACCUCGAUCCUUUAUGGCCUCGUACACCUCAUCCAGGGACAUCUUCAAGGAAGUGUACCGCCCAUAGUCCGGGUCCUGGUCGAUCAGGUGCACUGCUCUUUCUCUGUUUGCCCCGCUUUGAGUUGGGGGCGGUGGAAGUAAUUCUGGUCUGCUCGCUCUGCUACCAUGUUGGUGAAGACCACCAGAUGCCGACUCAUGCCUUCUCCAAGGCUCCCUAGCUGGGGAACGAGGAGGUUGCGCCCCGCUGCGCUGAUACUGUGGUGGCCUCUGAUGAGGCUGGUAAGCAGUUACCCGACCUCCUGCUCUACUACCGGAGGCCUGGUGGUCUCUCCUCCUGAUCGGCCCAUUCCCCGGUAAUGCUUUCUUCUCUUUCCUCCCCAACCCUUCCAACUGGUCUGUCUUAAUCCGUGCAGCCUUCUCCUCUUCAAUCUCGAUGUCUCUCUUAGCCUGUUCGUAUGCGGCUGCAUACGUUUGAAUAGCUGGGCUUCUCAAAUUGUACCACAACCUUCCUAUCUUCACCCCUUCUUUCAAUCCCCUUAACGCCUGAGGGUGGUUGAAGGCUCCCAAGUCGAGGACAGCCCGAUGAAACCUCUUGAUGAAUUCCCGAAGGGUUUCUUGCUCCCCCUGUUUCAUGCUUUUCAGCUCCAUCAUGUCGUCUUCCGGUGCCAUUGCCCCACUAAACUGCUCCGCGAAUUCCUGGCACAUCUGCUCGAAGGUUUUAAUGCUGCCCCGAGGAAGUUUCCUGUACCAUUCUCGUGCACGUCCCUCAAGGGAUAGUGGGAACACCCUGCACCUUUGGGAUUGAGAUAAUCCUUGUACCCCAGUUAUGUCGUUGAAGCGCUCUAUAUGCACCAGCGGAUCAGUUCUUCCCGAGUAUCUGAGGUCUGGGAGGCGGAAAUCUCUCGGAAUAACUGCCCUCAUGAUUUCUGUUGCGAGCGGCGAUUCUCCGUCCAGCAUUAUCCUCCAACCAGGGGCUCUGUUCCUUCCUUGCAUGUCGUCAAUUAUCUGCGCUAGUCUGCGCACUUCCCCCUCCAGCUGCAACGCACGACCAGGGUCACGUGCUGCAACUUGAUCCCACUCUUGCUCUACAUCAUGCAAGUGUUGCCUCAACUCUGUUUCCUCUGCAUUCACCACCCCGUCGCCCUCGUCACCAGUCUGUCUUGCUGGGGACUGCUCUCUUUCUCUAUGAAAUUCUCCCUGCAGAGGUACGUUACCUCUCUCACCACCAAAUCUCCCGGGGGUUUGACUUCUCCCCGCACUAUCGGGACCUGGUGCCACUCCACCGCCUCUCACCCUUCCCUCUUGGGUUACCCUUCGCUCGCUCCGCAGCUCAUGCAGGAUGGUUGUCAAGGUCUCCAUCUGCUUUUCCAUCCGUUCCAUCUGGUCGAACAUGACUUUUUCCCGUGCUUCGCUGACUAUCUCCCUCAGCGUCACGGAAUCGUUAAGCCUCCUAUCACCCCCUUGUGCACUACUUCUUCCUGUCUCCAUUGCUUUUCACUUGCUUCACCCCUCUUCUUGCUAUCAACAGAAGCUUUUUGCUCUGGUCCCCACAGACGGCGCCAAAAUGUUGAUGCAGGAUUCCGGUUCUUCUCGUUCUACGACCAGGAUCUCUGCUCGAUCAACUUCGUCACGACCAGGAGGUCUCCUCGCAAGACUUUUUCUCUAGAGAUUCCUGCGCACACAGACAAGUCAGAGUACGCCGGUUGUUUUCCCGGCGCAAACCCUCCGACGCUCAAGUCAGAUAUGAAGGUUCGGGGAACGCUUGCCACCGAUCUUAUGGCUUUUUCGUGGUUUUCUCUUCUUUUUAAUUCCUUUUCUAAUGAGAAAAAUGCCAACCCUUUUACCUCGUCGGCUACCUUUUUAUAGGCUUCCUCUGAAUCCCAGUUUUCCGCUCUUUUCGAGACGGUAUGGGACUCUGACUGCUGCGUUAUGGGCAAACGUGGGAUCUUGCGUGUUACGCCACCGUUCUGGGAAAAGCGCGGCAGUCGUGGUUCUGUGAGAUCUUGCGUGUUACGCCACGGUUCUGGGGAAAGCGUGGCUGUCGUGCCUAGGUUCUCGGGCUGGAGAGCAUGUCUCGUCAACUGCCGUCGACCGGGUCUCCUCGCCUCUCGACCUCUAGCCGGAAUGACCUUAUGCCUCUUACAGGAAAUUGGCCUCGCGGAUGACCUGCUCGUGGACGAGCAGGAUAUUUCUGCUCCUGUUCCCCCGCGUACCAGGCUUUUACGGGACACACCGGUUCGCAGAACUCUGCCAUCAGAUAUCUGCUCACCGUGCCUGGUCUCGUCGACGUAUUUCUCCCAAACACCUGGUAUGACUGCUUAUGCUGGAUUUUAUGAGGUGUGCUCUCCUAAGCAAGGAGAGUGGGUCUUAAUAUGGGCAAGGGUGCAGUUGGUCAGCUUAUGGGGCAGUUUGCAAAGUUACUGGGCUGCUAUGUUGUCGGAAGUGCUGGAAGCAAAGACCAGGUAUACAAACAAACAAUCCGUAUCAGUUGCUUGAUUGUUCCCAUUUUGCUUUCAAAAUAUCUAACUUACAUAAGGAAAAUUUUCACCAUCUCGUCUUUUCUUUGAUUUUGAACGCUAAGAUUGAUCUACUGAAGAAUAGGUUUGGGUUCGAUGAGGCGUUCAACUAUAAAGAAGAUCCUGAUUUGAAUGCAGCCUUGAUAAGGUUAGUAUAUCAGCAAACUACAAAUUAGAAGACAUUUUUUCCUGAAAAUCAAAUAAUGUUUCUAAUUUGACAGGUGGUUUCCUGAAGGCAUUGACAUAUACUUUGAAAACGUUGGUGGGAAAAUGCUCGAUGCGGUGCUGAUCAACAUGAAAAUCGGUGGUCGAAUUGCUGUGUGUGGGAUGAUCUCGCAGUACAACCUUGACGAACCCAAAGGCGUACACAACUUGACGCGUCUUAUUUCGAAACGGGUUCGGAUGGAAGGAUUCCUCGUAUCGGAUUACAAUAAACUCUAUCCGAAAUUUCUGGAAAUGAUCAUUCCUCACAUCAAGGGGGGAAAGAUUGUAUACAUUGAAGACACGGCUGAAGGUCUUGAGAGUGCUCGGGCAGCUCUCGUCGGUCUGUUCUCUGGCCGGAAUCUCGGGAAACAGGUGGUUGCAGUUGCUUCUGAAUGAAUGAAGGAUUUGGUUGUUUACAUCAUGCUUCUACUCGUCCAUUUAUUUAAUAAAAUGGUUACGCUCAAUGAGUGUAAUUUUUAUGAUGCUAAAUUAAAUGUGGAAUGUGGCUGCUGGUUUGAUAAUGUUAAAAGUGCUAAAAAAUUUCAUGUUAGGCGCGGUGUGCGUCUGUAUAUCAUUUUUAGGUACGGGCAUUCUAUCUUUUUUUUUUAAUUAAUACAGACACAUUCUUAAACUGUAUGGUUUAAGAGAGAGUUAAAAAAAACUUUUACCACAUGGUUUAAAAGCGUAUCCGUAUGGAAAAAAAAUGAAAGUCCAUUGGAGAAGAAUUUUAUAUAUAGUCCAGGAUAUUAAAGUGCGGGAAAACUAUAGAGUUUUAAAAACUUAAAAUUUAAAACGUUUAAACUGCACGAUUUAUGUGUUUUUCGAUGUGAUCCCACAUUUUAAAAUUGUGGAUUGGAACAUUUGUCUUUGAGGGAAAAAAAACAAUAACAACAACUUCUUUUGGAGACCGUGGGGCUCAUAUGCAGAUUCAACCCCGAGCUAUACACUGGAUCUGGUGGGCUAGGUUUGAACCCAAAACAAGCUCUAUUCAUUACACGGUUCAGCGGGUUGGUCCAUUUGACGCUUCUAACUUAACAAUUUAAUCAUAAUAAAUUGAAAAAAUAAAAUAAAACCCACGUAUCUAAAUUAUUGUAUUGAGCUAUUGGUGCAGAGAAUAAGUAUAUAUGAGAACAAAAACAACACGAUGUAGUCGCUCGUUUUGUCACUUCUAAAAUCAGGAUUUAGAGCAUCACCAAAAGGCUCUUCAAAUAAGAUUUUAUUACUCAUUUGAAGAGCCACAUCAAUAUUUAAAGCUCCAAAAGACACUCUAAUUAAGAUUCUUCAAAUAAGAAUUGAUUCUCUCUCUUCAAAUUUGGAGAGUUAAUUUCUCCCUCUUCAAUUUAUAUUUUAUUACUUUUCAUUAAAAAAAGAGAGAGAAGUGCUUUAAUUGCUAUUGACUUUUCCUUUUAAAAACUAAUUAUAUGAUUAAAAUAAUAUUAACUUAUUUCUAUUUGAAGAGUCUUUUGGAAAAUAUCAUAUUUUUUCACCCUUCUAUUUGCCACAUAGGUAAGCAAAUAGAUAUUUGAAGAGUAAAAUUUAUAGAGGCUUUUGGAGAUGCUCUUAUGAUAGAGUCAUAGUGUUAACAGUACAUCGGUGUAUAAUUAUUUGUAAUGAAAUUAAUUAAUAUGGGUUUUAUGUUGUCUUUGUCAAUAAUCAAUUAAAUUUUUCGUUUUCAUUUAAAUGUUACUGAUCGAUGAAACAUUUGACUGCGUUCAAGUUAUCUUUUAAUUUUGUGAGAUCCACAUUGUUUUUAUUUCAAAAACAUAAUUUUUCAUAUUAUUAAAAAGCUGUUGCUUGGGCCUAGAGAAAUUGGAUUAAUGAAAUACCUUAAGGGUGUGUUUGACACAUUAUAUUGUAUUAUGUUGCAUUGCAUUAUUUUAUUUGGUGUUGCACUAUACUUUACUAAUUUUUUUGCAAUUAAUUUAAAUUACAUAGUUAGCAAAUAAUAUUUAUUAGUGCUUAGAAAAAUACUAAAUAUAGAAGUCUUAAAUUUUAGAAAUUUAACAAUUUUUUUACUAUAAAUGUUAAAAAAUAUAAUAAUUCUUCAUAAAGAUGGAAGCUUACAGCCUUAAGUUUUUGGAAGCAGAGCAUUUAUUUUUUAGUAUCUUCUAAAUAUAUAAUUUUUGAAAUAAAGAUAUAAGCACAUAAUUUAAUCACAUAGUCUUUAAAUAAUAUAACAACAUAAAUAAAUAGUUAAAAUGUGCAAGAUUAGUUCAAAACUCAUCUUAGGAUGAUAUAAUAAAAGUUUAUACACACCACAAGAUAAUCACAAAAUAAUAAAGUGAUAAAAUUAUUAUAACAUAUUCACUACCAAAAUAAAUUAUAUUAAAUAAUCCAAGUGAGAGUUCUGUAGUUUAUAUAAUAAUAUUAUUUAUGUUAUUAUUAUUAAUUUUAAAUUAAUAUUAUCCAAAUUUAUUCAUACUUAAAUAUGUAUUAUUAGUUAUAUUACAUUAUUUUUACAUAUUAAUUAUUGUAAUAUAAUUAAAUAAUGUAAAAUUAUAUUAUAUUUUUAUAUACUAUUUAAGUAUUUAUUAUUAAUUAUAUUCAAUUAUAAAUUUAUUAAUAAAUUAUAGUGCAAAAAAAAAUAGAAAUAAAAAUUAAUAUUGUAUAAUAAAUAACAUUCUGCUCCCAAUUUCUGGAUUUUAAAUUCCAAAAAUAGUAUUCACGUUCGCCACAUUCAAAAAUCCAACCUGGGCUUGGAGAUUCGAUUCAUCUCAUAGAUUAAUUUUAUAAACUAAUGUUUAGUGAAAAAUUAACCUUAAUGGGUCCUCCUCUCCAGGCCUAAUUCUUAAUUUUUUUUUUAAUUUGGUCCUACUUAAGUGGCUUCUAACGUUACCGUGUCUUUAUUUUGUGUACAGUUGUUUUACUAAUUUGUCAUUUAGUGCAAAUAACAGCACUCAACUUGUAAUAUCCAGUAUCCACAAAUCAGCCACUUCGGCCAAGGCCGAAGUGGUGGGCUGCUGCCCUCACAAUGCUUGUGAGGGCAGCGGUUCUAGCCCCCACAAAAGCAUUGUGGGGGUUAAAUGUUCUUUAUAUUUCCAAAAAAAUCCUUCUCUCUUGCAAAAUGUAAGUGGAGUAUGGACAUCCCUCUCCUGUGAGGGGUUAUUUGUCUGGGCAUGUACUUCAUAGAAUUCAUUGUAAUAAUGUAAGUCCCAAUCAUGUAUAUCUGAUUGUAAAUAUCAGUGUAAUAUCUCUGCUACAAUAAGCAGUUGUUGUAAAUAUCUGUCUGAUGAUUAAUCAGUAUUCAAAAAAAAAAAAGUAUCCACAAAUCAUGAACUCAUUUUUUAGUUCUUUCAUGUGUACUAACAUUCGUACAAAUAUACAAUAAGUUCAUAAUUUAGUCCAAGUUGACGAGAAAUUCUUGACCCACCCCUAAAUAUCUGUCCGCCAAUAGCGUGAAGUGGCCGGCAUAAAUUUAAAGCAGCUGGGACAUUGUAACUCAUCCAAAGAUUGUAUAACAUCUCUUUUUUGCUUUAUCGUUUUUCUCCAGUUGCAUAGUUUCUUAUCCUACCGCUUUAAAAACAAUUAUUCCUAGAAAUUUUCAUUUAUCUAAUGAAUUUUAAGAAUUUUUUCAGCAAACAAUUUUUACUUUUUUUUUUUUUUAUCAUUGAUGGGUAAAGAAAAUAUUAAUGAAAAAUGAGGAGUUAUUGGCUGGUUCAACGGAUUAAUUGCAAUGAUAAAUACAGGGAGGAUUGGAUUAUAUGGCAAAUUUUUAUAGUAAAUGUAAUAUAUAUGCUAACACUUUUUAUUUAUGGCAAAAUAUCUUCCUCUUUUGAGACUUUUCCCUCUAAGAAAAUUGGAGGAUACGACAAUAUAUAUAUAUAUAUAUAUACUAAUAUUUAUCAUUUAUAGAAAAGUAUCUAUCCCACUUAAGAUUUGCCCCACUAGAAAAGGAAAAAAAAAUCCCUCAAAAUAAAAGAGCGAAAUGGAAACAGAACAAAAUUUGAUUUUGUGGAUCUUGUAUUGUGUGAUAAGUCCGGCAUGCAAUUUUGGGCCAGCUUACCGUGCGCAUGGGAGCAUUCACAAAGUAUCUCUCGUCACUAUCGAAAACUUUUAACAGUCAAUACAAAUGCUUCCGUUUCAUCCCAUAAACAAAUAAAAUUCACAUCUGUACACAUCUACUUUGCUUUGCUAGAUAGAGUUCCUCUGCAUUUCCCAAUUGCCUAAAGAGAAGGGGAAAAGAAAAAGAGGGCCAAAAAAUGCCUGAAAUGGUAAGGAACAAGCAAGUGAUAUUGAAGGACUAUGUGUCUGGUUUCCCAAAAGAAACAGACAUGUACAUGACCGAAAGUUCCAUAGAAUUGAAGGUGCCAAAAGGUUCAAAUGGGGUUCUUUUAAAGAACUUGUACUUGUCCUGUGAUCCGUACAUGCGACCAAGAAUGACCUACAUCGAAGGAUCUUAUGUUGAAUCCUUUAAACCUGGCUUGGUUAGUGCACUCGCUCAUGGCCACGCUUUUCAUUUCCAUGGCUUCUUGCUCUUUUGUUAUAGAAAAUUUAUUUUUGGUUGCAGUUUGGUUCGACUGCUAAAAUCUCGUGCGAUAAUUGUAUAAGAUAUCUAGAGUUUGAACUUCUUUCACAUUAGGGUUCAAGGAAGUUAACUUAAAUGAUUUUCAAAAUUUUAAAUGUGUACCAAUGAAUUUAAUUUCAUAGCUUAAACUUAUUGUUUGAUCAUACUCUAACUUUGGACAGGAAAAUUAUAUUUUUCCUUUUGUUCUUUGACUUCGUGUAUGUUGUGUGAAGUACUUGUGCUUGAAAAUGAAUUGCUGACACAGAAAUUUCUAUGAAUGCAUGCAGCCCAUAAGUGGAUAUGGGGUGGCUAAAGUUUUGGAUUCAGAGAAUCCAGAGUUCAACAAAGGUGACUUGGUUUGGGGAAUGACUGGAUGGGAAGAGUAUAGUCUCAUUACGGCUCCACACUUGUUUAAAAUUCAGCACACAGAUGUGCCUCUUUCUUACUAUACUGGAAUCCUCGGUAAACUUUUUGUUUGCGCAAUUUAUGUGAGCAAAUUGUGUCUUCUUUUUCAUAUGUAAAUGUUUUUGAUAUCUUGAUGUGAAGGUAGAAAAUUGCAUGUUUUGAGUUUUUGCAUAUUUGAUGGAAACACAGAACCGUACCUGAAUAUUUCAGAACCCCCUUUUCUUUGAAGUUUGAACACUUUUCUUGAAUGUAUCAACUUUAUUUAUGGGAUAUGUUGCCAAAUUGGCAAAUCUAUUCGUUAUAAAACUUUCCUUUGACAGUUUAAUCUAAGCAGAUGUUAAUUCUGCAAAUAGAGUGUGCCUUAGUUUAGAUUGAUAGAUUUGUCUCCUUCUGUACAGUAAAAACUUUGAGCAUUUUCGCCAUAUUCUGAUCAAUACACUCCAACUAGUUAGUUCUUGAGGCGUUUCCUGGUUUCGUGGAGUGAGCCAAGAUGUAUACGUUUGCAAAUUGGCAAUGUCUUUUGCUUGAUGUGUUGUGAGUUGUGAGUGUCAAUAGGAAAGUUUCAAAGUGCGCAGUGCUCACUUGAGCACCCAUAUUACUUGGUGACCUGUUGCCUCAGCAAACAAGACCUCUGUUUUAUGAACUCCAAAAAGUUAUUCUGUUAAAAAGAUCGAGACAGAGGCCAUACUAUAUUUAUUAUUGCUAUAAAAGUGUCAAACAAUAUUCUUUAUUUAAUAUUCUAAACGAUUGAGCCAUUUAGUUAUGAUACUCUGCUGUACUGGGGCUAAUAAUCUAAGUCGGUUCAAAGUGGUAAAUUUAUAAAUUGAUAGGUAUGCCUGGUAUGACCGCUUACGUUGGAUUUUAUGAGGUCUGCUCUCCUAAGCAUGGAGAGUGCGUCUUCAUAUCAGCAGCAUCUGGUGCAGUUGGUCAGCUUGUGGGGCAGUUUGCAAAGUUAUUGGGUUGCUAUGUCGUCGGAAGUGCUGGAAGCAAAGACAAGGUAUGUAAUCUGUGUGAACUACUUGAUUGUUUCCAUGUUACUUUCAAACAUUUAAAUUAAAAAGGAAAUUUUCAUAAUCUUGCCUUUUCUAUGAUUUUCAACACCAAGGUUGAUCUACUGAAGAACAAGUUUGGGUUCGACGAGGCAUUUAACUAUAAAGAAGAAGCUGAUUUGAAUGCAGCAUUGAAAAGGUUAGCAUCAAUAAAUGCCUUAGCUUGAUGCAGCUUGAUGAAGUAUGAUACACAUUUCUGACCAAUAUACUGCGUUCCCUGAUCUCUUACUUGAAAUAUCUUGGUUUGAGAAUCUCAUGCCAAUGCCUUUAACAUUUUGGCAGGUACUUUCCUGAAGGAAUUGAUAUAUAUUUUGAAAACGUUGGUGGAAAAUUGCUUGACGCAGUGCUACCCAACAUGAAAAUCCGUGGUCGAAUUGCUGCAUGCGGUAUGAUCUCACAGUACAAUCUUGACAAGCCUGAAGGUGUGCACAACUUGAUGUAUCUUGUUUCGAAACGGCUUCGAAUGGAAGGAUUCAUUGUUCUGGAUCACUAUCACCUCUAUCCAAAGUUUCUGGAAAUGAUCAUUCCUCACAUCAAAGAAGGGAAGCUUGUAUACGUCGAAGACAUGGCUGAAGGUCUGGAGAGUGCUCCGGCAGCUCUCAUCGGUCUAUUCUCUGGCCAGAAUGUUGGGAAACAGGUGGUUGCUGUUGCUCCUGAAUGAAGAACAAGUUAGUGUUGUGUGUUCUUUUACCCUUUGACACAAAACUUCAAUGUUAAAGAGAGAAUGCUGCUCAUACUGCUUUAUAAAAUAAUCAAAUGAGUGCAAGUUUCAUGAUAUGUGCUGAAUAAAAAUAUUGGAAAUUAAGCAGCUAGCCUAGCUCCUUCUUGUAGUUGCAGUUUGAAUGAUGCUGCUGCACAACUGCUGCCGAAAAAAUCCUUAAUAGAUGAUUAGCAAGGUUUCAAAAAUAAAAAUAAAUGUUUGUGCAAUGUGCCGAAUAUGACAGCCACAAAGAAAGAGCAUACAAAUUGACUGGUUUUAUGUCUUCUCUAGGAGAAAGCUACAAUACAAGAAAUUGUAUUGAUGCCAUGGACCAAAUUUCUUAUUUAAACUUUUAAUUUUUUUUUAUUAAAAUUACUUAUGUUAUUAUGGUUUAUAUUUUUAGAAAUUCUUUAGAAAUUAAUACAGAACUAGUAGCAAGUUGAGAAAUCUAAUGAAUGGUCGAGAUAUGAUCAUGUUUAUUGAAUUAAAUUGACAAUCAUCAUUUUGAUAAAUUAUUGUUAGGAUAUUUGAUUCAUCACAGGUGUAAGUAACUAAAUGUGCUAAAAAAAAAGUUAAUGAGUUGUGAGUGUUUGAUAUUCGUUUGUUGUAAUUCUUUUAAUAAUUGUUGUGGGAAAAAAAUUAUGGUAAAAAAAUUAUAAUUAUAAAAUAAAAAUUAAUAAUAUAUUAUAAAUAAAAUUUUUAAAUAAUAAUUUUAAUAAAAUAAUAAAUAUAUUAUGAAUUUUUCAUUAUAAAUUUUUAAGUUAAAAUAAUAAAUAUUUAUUAAAUAUUUUAAUAGCACAACUUUUAAAUUAUAACAGUACAAUGUAAAUACCAGAGGUCUUAAAAAAUAAAAUUACAGUCAAGUUUUAAAACUGUUAAUAAUGCUAUUCAUAAAGGCGCUCGUCGUGUAAACAACACAUGGGACCCAACCAAUAAAUGUUUAUGAUCCUCAACUUUCCUCCUCACCGUCCCUGCAAACAAUUCUGAUUUUCUUGUCUGAGAAAAAAACUGAGAAACAAUGGCGGCCGAACAAGAAGCUGUGAGCAAUAAGCGGGUGAUUCUAAGCAACUAUGUGACAGGUUUUCCAAAAGAAUCGGACAUGAAGAUAACAUGUGGAUCAAUAAAACUGGAGGUAGCAGACGGUUUAAAAGACACGGUGCUUUUGAAGAAUCUUUAUAUUUCUUGUGAUCCUUACAUGCGAGAGCGUAUGAGCAAGCUUGAUAGACCUUCUUUUGUUGAUUCAUUCCAUCCUGGUGAG